rnacentral:lncRNA from 1 species
CAGGACUGCCCCCUCUGCCAAGCAUUCCCUCAGUCCCCACAAUCCCAACUACAAUUCCCCCUAUUCCUUUCUCUUUUCCACCAUUGCCAUCUUUCCCUGAUCUCCCAAACCCUGGGGCGCUUCCUCCACUUGUUACCACAUUGCCAAGAGGACUGCCCCCUCUGCCAAGCAUUCCUUCAGUCCCCACAACCCCAACUACAGUUCCCUCUAUUCCUUUCUUUUCUCCACCACCUUCUCGUUCUACUCCUUGAAAUACCCCAUUUUUUUAUCUGCCGCAUACUAGAUCUGGUUUAAUAAGGUUUUUAGUGGUCUUUGUGUCUUUAUUAUGAGUAUUGAUUUUGCUCACUUAUAUUUAUUUGUAUAAAUGGGACUUCUCCAAUUCUCAUUAUUUGAUGUACUUUGAUACGUUGUUGCUUAUUAUAUAUGGGGUAUUUAUAUAUUGAUGUUCUGCCAAUGAUUAAUUACUGUUAUGAGUUUGGCUAAUUAAGAAAAGAAUCAAACGAUAAAUGCAGUCAAGAUAAUGAGCAGCCAUACAUCGAGAAGAUGCCACUGUUGAUAUAAUGAUUCCUGCUUCAUUAUCUCUUCCAAGUUAUCCAUUUACAUACGAUUACUUUCCUCUUUCAAUAUAUUUCCAAGAUAAUAUUUUAUAUGAAUGUCAAAUAAUGUAUUAAAUUAAGGAAGUCGGUUUUGUACAUAUUUUGGUUAUAUCAAAUCAAUCAAAUCAUUAAUUCUAGAUUCAAUAGGCUUAACUACUGAUACAAUUAAUUUACUAUUCAACAAUAUAAAAUAAAAGUAAUUAUUAAAACAAAAAAACUCUUCUAUUUUGACGGCUUUGAAUUUUAAAACCCUCUCCCCAUCUUUCAUCUUUCCUAAUUUGUCUUUUUUUUUCCUUUGAUUGAAUGUUAUAAGUCCAUCUUAAUUUUUUACUAGAAAAAAAAAACUUAUUUUAGUAGAAAAAGUAAGAAAAGAAAUGGUGGUUAUUUUUUUAUGUUGUGUUUUAUUUCAUUGAGUGCAGAGAUGAAGUGUAACAAAAGUUCAAGGGAUUUGAAGUGAAAUUAUUGUUUUUCAUAUUUAGAAAAUGUGAAAAUACGACUUAAUCGGUUGAUAAUUUGCAGUUUAAUUGCAGUUUACUCUAGUUCUAGGGUUCAUUAGUUCUUGGUCUAUUUGGCUCGAUUCAAUAACAUUGCGAAACACCCAACACCCUUUUUCUACGGUGGUGAAAAUUUUGGUUCGUACCAGUUGCACCAAUUCAUUCUGAUCAAUUCCAGUCACACCUGCCAAAACAUAGUGCACCGUCCUAUGCAUGAAUAAUAUUAAAAUUUUAAAACUUUUAAUUAUUAUUAUUGUGCUAAAAACUUAAUUGAAACAUGACUAAAUAAAAAUGCUACAUCGGAAUGUAACGUUUUUUUAAAAAAUGGAAUAUACUUUCACAUUCAAAAUAUAAUUAAGAAAAAACCAUUCACUUGAUUAUCAAAAAAAAAAAUCGUUCACCUUCCAACUUCUUUUAUUACGUAAAUGAGCUAAAUCCUUAAAAUUUCAUAUUAAAUGAUUGGAUUUUUAUUAUUAAUUUUGAAUUUAUUUGAAUGAUAAAUUUUUAUUUGUUAAAUUUAUUAAUAAAUAUUUUAUAUUUGAAAUGUAUUUAGUUUCAUUCAUUUUAUAUUUGUAAUAUAUUUAUAUACAUAUCUUAAAUAAUUUUAAAAAAUAUUGAUAAAUCUAAAAAGAUAUCUAUCAAUUUCAGUAAAAAAAAAAUCAACCGUCCACUAGAAAAGAAAUAUCAAUUCUUAAAAUUUUAAUCCCUUUAUAUUUAAAGUUGAAGACAGUAGAAGAAAAAUAGGAAUAGGUAUUAACAAUGAAAUUAGAUUUGAAUAACGCUGUCUGUAACAGUACGUUUUUAGGGUUAAUAGGAAUAGUAGUUUCGGAGACAUCAAAUUUGAUGAGUAGGUUUGUAAAUAUUAUAUUUAAUAUUUACGAGUUAAUUGUGAUUUUAAAAAGGUUUUUGAUAUUGUGAUUUUUGUUUUAUAAGCGAUUUAUUAAGUUUCAGUGGUAUGACCCUAAGGCCAAGUGGGUUUAAAAAAUGAGGUAUUGGGACCUUGUUUCUAUAAAUUGAGUCAUAAAUAUUUUUAUAAAUAAUAACGGAGUGGCAAUAAGAUGGUAUUAAAGUUUCGUUGAAAAAUUUUAUCAUUUCGAUUGUUAAUUAAGUAAAAAGGACUAAAUCGCAUAAAAUGAAAAAGUUUCAUUCUAAUUGUUUAAGUGUUUAUUUUCUAUGUUAUACUAAAUUAGAAGUCCCUAUUUAUUAAUUAAACCAUUAUUUUAUGAUAGUGGACAUUGGUGGUUUGGCAUAUAUGAAAUUAUGUAUUAUUAUAAAGGAUAAAAAGGUAAAUGGCAUUUUUAAAUGUAAUAAAUAAAAACAAAACAUAAAAUGGCCAUGCAAAUUUAUCUCUUGGCCGAAUAUUGAGGAGAAAAAGCUUCCUUAGUUUCGUCACUUGUAUGAAUUGAUUUAGGUAUGUUUUGUGUUCGGUUUUUAAUAAUUUUUAUGUUUUUGAGAUCGUUGCUUCGUAUUUUAGCUAGUCCGUAUUUCCAAUUUCAAAAUUGUUAAAGAUUUUGAAAGUUACCAUUGAUGAAUAUUGUAAUUUUUAAUGUUAGAUGAUGAAUUUGGAAUGUUGAUUUAUAUUUAAAAGUAAUUUGUUGAGUGAUUUUGAUGAAUUUUUCGAUUUGGGACUAAUUUGUCAAAUUGAUAAAAGUACAAUGAUUUAAUGUGAAAUUGUUGCAUAAAUGUGCUGUGUUGGAUACUAUGAACAUUCGUUUAGCUUGGUUUUGUGUUAAAAAUGGUUAAUUUGCAUGUUUUGGGCUCAGGGACUAAAUUGAAUAAAAGUAAAUUUUAGGGGCAAUUUUGUAAAACUAUAAAAAAUGACCAAAUUAUAUGAAAUGAAGUGUUUUACUGUCUAAAUUAAUAUAUUGAAUGAAAUUAUUAAUUUAGAUCAAGAUCGAGUGGAAAAUCAAGGAAAACAAAAAAAUUACCAAAAUACCCCUGAACUUUGAUAUCUAUACAACUUAGCCAAGUAAGUUCGUAUGUUAAUAAGCAUUAUUAUAAUUCAUUUUUAAUGCUUUAUAUUAAAUGGUUGAUGACUAUAAUUGUACGGAAAUAUUUGAGAUAGCUUCGACUAUGCAUUGGCACUUAGUGUGCGAGAUCGGGAUAGCUUCGGCUAUGCAUUGGCACUUAGUGUGUGAGAUCAGGAUAGCUUCGGCUAUGCAUGGGCACUUAGUGUGCGUGAUUGAUUUAGCUUCGUCUACGUAUUGGCACUUAGUGUGCGAGAUUCCCGAGAAACCAAUAUUACUCCAUAUAGUUCAACUUGUAAAUGAAAGAUGUGAUUGAGUAUGAGAUUGGUACAAGAUGGUACAUGUAUGUAUGGAAAUUGGUACGAGAUGGUACAGGUAUGUAUGGAAAUUCAAUUGAGUAUUGAGUCCAUGAAAAUUGUGAAUUCAUGAUCAUUGAGGAAAUGAAUAUGUAAUAAUAAUGUGACUAAUGGUUUAGUAAUAUAUUAUGUUAUAUCACUUGAAUAGUGAUUGAAUAAUAAAUUUGGUUGAUGAUUUCGUGUUAGACUUUUGUGUCAAAAUGAACUGCGAUAUACUCCAUUUUAUUCAUUUAAAUUGUGGCUCAACUAUUAUGAGAAAAGGGUACAGAGUGGCAAAUUCUUAGAUUUGAAUUGCUAUUGAAAGCAUGAAAAAGAACGAGUUUUGGAUGAUUUAUAGAUAUUUAGCCAUAUGCUUGAUAUGUGAAUACACAUAAGUAAUGUGAACUUAUGUCAUAAUGUUUUAUGAUAAUUUGCUAGUUCAUGUGAUGUUUAUAAUUUAAAAGCUAAUGUUGUUUAGGCUAAGGCCAAGACAUGUUGGAUUGACUUAAAUGGAUUAUGCUUAUAAAUUGAAGUUAUAAUUUUUUUUGUGAAGCUUACUUUGUAUUAUUUUUCUAUGCUUUGUAGUGUCUCAGAUGUUUGCUUUGGUUGGAAGUCAACGGAGAUCGCAUCACACUAUUCGGUUAUUAACUUACGGUAUUUUUACACUUUGGGGUUUGGAUAUAUGACAUGUAUAGGCUAAUGUUAAGAUGAUAUGAUUUGAGUGGUGAUUUUAACCAUGUGAUUUGGCUUGUAAAUGUUGAUAUGUAUUGGCCAUUUAAGUUAACUUAAAGUAUGUGUUUGAUAAAUGAUAUAUGUGAUGUAUAUAUAAUGUUUUUGUGGUGGCAUAUCUUAGUAUGAAGUAUAAAUGAUGAAUUGAUAUGUUUAAGAAACAUGAUUUAGGUGAUAAAAGAUUGAGAAAAAUGCAUAAGGAAGAUAGGAAAAAUUAUUGAUAAUGAUAUGUUGUUUUGGAUAUGUUUAAGGUUGAGUUUUGAGUAGUGAUUUGGAUUGUGAUAUAAUUGCUUGAUCUGUAUAUGAAUUUGGCAUGUUGUAAUUGCCUAUGUGUGUAUUGAAAUGGCAUGAAGUGUGGUGUUUAAGUAUGCUUAUGGAGGGUGAGAAAUGUGGCUUUAACCAAGCCUAUCUUCACUCCACACGGCCGAGCACACGGACAUGUGGCUCGACCGUGUGUGACACAUGGCCUUGGUACACGCCCGUGUGACCCAAGUCAGUAUGUAUUCCUUAUUUCCCCACGGCCUGGACACAGGCGUGUGGAUGAAAAAUGGACUAGAUACAUGAGCGUGUGGUCUGGCCGUGUGAGGUAAGUCAGUGAGCUCCACGGGGUUGAGCACGGGUUGGGACACGGCCAUGUGUUCCCAAUUUGAAUGUCCACACGGCCAGAGACAUGGGCGUGUCUCUUAGCUGUGUGAGUGACACGGCCAGGGCACAUAGGCGUGUGUGUGACCCCUGCAGAGAUGAAAAUUUUCUAAGUUUCCAAAAGCUUUAAAAUGUCAUCGAUUUAAUCCCGAACCUCUUCCGAGCAUGUUUUAAGGCUGCGAUGAGCCUAGUAAGGGGCAAUAUGAUUGUGAUUGAUAAAAGUUUUAAAUUGUAUGCAAGAUUUAUGACUUGAAAGUGUUUAAAUGUUUUGAUGUAAGUCUGGUAAUGCCUCGAACCUUGUUCCGGCUUCGGAUACGGGUAAGGAGUGUUACACUAUCGCUAGGCAUAAUUUAUUGACAAUUUUUAUAAGAGGUUACACGUAUUUAAUAUGACAUAAAAAACUGUUAAAUAAACUCUAAGUCAUUAUAAAUUUGUUAAUUAAAUAAUAUGUAAAAUUAAUUGAAAAUAAAAAUAAAACAAAAAUGUUGAUAAUAAGUUAAAAAUUAAUCCAAAUCAUUAUAUAUUUUUUAUUUAAAAAAUAAACUACAAUUAAAAUGGAAAAAAUAAAAAACAUGUGGCGCUAUUUUGUUUUGGGGGCAUGAAUGGAGCAUCGUUUAAGGGCAAGAGAUUUCUAUUCACUGCUCCAAUGCCUAUAUAAACCUCAAUACCAUGCUUUGUUUUCCUCACUCAGAACUAUUCAGAUAAAGUACUUCGUUUCAUCUGCUUCAUUUGUUUCGAAAUCUCUGAACAAAAAUGGCCUCUUUCAAUUGCUUUGCUUUAACAUUCUUGAUGGAUUUGUCAUUUGCAAGCAUUGAUGUUGGGGUAGCAGCUCCUCACCUUCUGCAUCAGCCUCAAACGUAAAGUUUGCCAUCUUUCCCUAAUCUCCCAACGCCAUCCCGACCAUCAUUCCCUUGGCCUGGGGCGCUUCCUCCACUUCCUACCACAUUGCCAACAGGACUGCCCCCUCUGCCAAGCAUUCCCUCAGUCCCCACAAUCCCAACUGUAAUUCCCCAUAUUCCUUUCUCUUUUCCACCAUUGCCAUAUUUCCCUAAUCUCCCAAACCCUGGGGCGCUUCCUCCACUUCCUACCACAUUGCCAAGAGGACUGCCCCCUCUGCCAAGCAUUCCUUCAGUCCCCACAACCCCAACUACAGUUCCCUCUAUUCCUUUCUUUUCUCUACCACCUUCUCAUUCUACUUUUUGACGUACCCUAUUUUUUUAUCUGCUGCAUACUGGAUCUGGUUUAAUAAGGUUUUUAGUCAUCUUUGUGUCUUUAUUAUGAGUAUUGAUUUUGCCCACUUAUAUUUGUUUGUAUAAAUGGGACUUCUCCAAUUCUCAUUAUUUGAUGUACUUUGAUACGUUGUUGCUUAUUAUAUAUGGGGUAUUUAUAUAUUGAUAUUCUGUCAAUGAAGUAAUUAAUUAAUGUUAUGAGUUUGGCUAAUUAAGAAAAGAAUCAAACGAUAAAUGCAGUCAAGAUAAUGAGCAGCGUACAUCGAGAAGAUGUCACUGUUGAUAUAAUGAUUCCUGCUUCAUUAUCUCUUCCAAGUUAUCCAUUUACAUACGAUUACUUUCCUCUUUCAAUAUAUUUCCAAGAUAAUAUUUUAUAUGAAUGUCUUUAAAUUAGGGUAGUCAAUUUCAUACAGAUUUCGGUUAUACUAAUUUGUGUGCAUUGUUUCAAUUUUAUACCAAAAUAUUAAUGUUUUUGAAAUUAGAUCGAUAAUCAAAUCAAUCAAUUCAUUCAUUUUUGAUUCAAUAGAUUCAACCAUCAAUACAAUUAAUUUACUAUUCAACAAUAUAAAAUAAUAUUAAUUAUUAAAAACCCCAAACUCCUCUUUUUUUAAGGCUUUGAAUUUUAAAAUCCUCUCCCCAUCUUUCAUCUUUCCUAAUUUAUCUUCUUCUUUUUUCCCUUUGAUUGAAUGUUAUAUGUCCAUCUUAAUUUUUUACCAGCAAAAAAAACUUAUUUUAGUAGAAAAAGUAAGAAAAGAAAUGGUGGUUAUUUUUUUAUGUUAGUGUUUUAUUUCAUUGAGUGCAAAGAUGAAGUGUAACAAAAGGUCAAGGGAUUUGAAGUGAAAUUUUUAUUUUUCCAAUUUAGAAAAUGUGAAAAUACGGCUUAAUCGGCUGAUGAUUUGCAGUUUAACUGUAGUUUACUCUAGUUCUCGUGCUCAUUGGUUCUUAGUCUGUUUGGUUAGGUUCUAAUUAACAUUGCGAAACACCCAACCCCAUUUUUCUACACUAGUGAAAAUUUCGGUCUGUAACACCCUAAAACCGGCCUAGACGUCCAAACCAAGUUGGAGAGUGACAUCAACUGUUCUAAAAGCCAUACCACCAUAACGCAAUCAAAUUAAACAAGUCGUCACACAUUAUUCAUCACAAUAGUAAUUUAAAUACAUAAUCUUCAUAAAUCAAUAACAUCAUAAAACAAAUAUCCCUAAUAAUAAAGCUAGCAGAAUAUCAAUAAGUGUCUGACCAAGCUUCCGCGACACCGCUCCAAUCAAGACUGAUUACCACCUGAAACCCAAGCAAUAAUAGAGUGAGUUAUGAGCUCGGUGCGUAAAAAGGAAUGUAAUUCAACAACGGUGACUUAUGGAGAAUAUCCAGUUCAGAGAUUCAGUUCAUCCUAGAAGCAUGUUUGAUCUAGGCUCAGAGUAGAGGUAUUACAUAUGUAUACAUGUAUUAUUCUAGUUCAAAUAUAGUUCAGAUCAGAUUUGGAUGCAAUGUUUCUAUUUCCAUCCUUUACACACCAACUUUUACCAUCCCAACACACCACUAUGGACAUUUAUUUCCCAUCCAUCCCUACACACCUUUAAAGUGUUCAAUGACACUUUUACAGAAACAUAGCUUAGCUGUUAGUUCAAUGUGCGACAAGUGCUAGAAUCAAAGUGAUACUUAUUAUGGCAUAGCCAUGUUUUCAGUACAGAAUCACCUUCUUCCUCACAAUCUCCCACCACAUGUUAAUUCAUAAUACAAUAAUCCGUAACACAUGUUUAGCCAUUCUGAUAAAAUACAUAAUUAAUAAAACAGUUCAAUAACAAAGUGGUGUUACAGUGCAUAUUCAAGAAUGUGAUUCACAGAUAAGUCUCAUGUAAGCAAAUUCAGUCAUUCCUAAAUAAAGGAAACCAAUAUCAGAGUUUAGCACCCUUCUCAGCCUCAAAAAAAGUUUUUCGGAUCCAACAUCCUGCCACACGGCCUGGGCCUGGUUUUCACACUUGAAACAGUGAGUUACACGGUCUGGGCACACGCCCAUGUCCCUGGCCAUGUAGACCAUGCACUAAAAUGGUCACACACGGCCUAAAUACACAUCCAUGUGGUCUUAAUUCAAUAAACAGUAAGUUACACAACCGUUCACACGGCCUACCACAUGUUCGUAUGGCACACAAGGCCUAGUUACACGCCCGUGUGCCUACCGUGUGGCGUUGACAGCCACCAUUUUCAACGACAAAACUUGCAAAAACUAAGGUUUCUGAUAUGCACCUGAGAUGAUUUCAAAGUAGUGACAAUGAAGAGGAGUUUCGAAUCCUAAAAUGACCAUUCAAUAACUCAGUGAAUCAAGUUUAUCAACAACAAUGCACAAUUAUACUCAAAAUACCUAUGUCGAAAGUUUUGACACCAACUUUCAAUGAAAUCAAUACUUACAGAAAAUUAACGACGAUUACUCGAAUUGACUUGCUGAGGUUCGCUACUCUCAAUAUCCCCGCCUAACAGGGAAACCAAAUGAUUGACUAUCAGAGAUUCACGCAACACACUCAAACAACCAUCUCAAAGUAUACUAUGUAAAGCAAAAAGAGAAAACAUGAAAUUUAACGAUUCGACAUCAAAACUUACUCAAUAAACUCCCAACAGAGAAUGCUAACAACGUGACUUCAACUAGUCUGCAUUCCUUACAACAAUUAAAGAGGAAAAGGGAAAAUUGAAAAAGAUGAAAAAGUAGCGAAAAAAGAAAAAUAAAAAGGAAAAAAAAUAAUAGGAAAGAAGAACUAACGUUAAUUGAUUAUCAAUUAACUUCCAUUCAGUCUUCCAAUGUUUAGCAAAAAUAUUUUCCUUACGCAUACUACGAGAUUCGAACUCAGAACCAGAUAGAAUAUAGAUAGAUGUUUAACCAGUAAAACAACAGGCUCAUUCUUGCCACGCUUUUACAGAGAAUUGAACUUAAGAGAGUAGUGUGUGCCUAUAGGUUGAUUCUAAAACAAAAAAACUUUUAAUGAUGCGACUUGAACUUCAGACCUUAAACUUAAUCGCAGAACACAAAGCAAUAGAUACAAAAAUUAGGUACUGUAGAUUUUUACAGACAAGUUCAUAAAAUUUUAGGGCAUUACAACUUUUUCCCCUUAAAGGAAAUUUUGGCCUCGAAAUUUUUACCUAAGUCGAACAGAUAUGGAUACAGCCAUCGAAUAGAUUCCUCCAGCUCCCACAUGGCUUCCACAGUACCGAGAUUCUGCUAGAGAACCUUCACUAGAGGAAUAGUUUUUUUCCUUAGUUUCUUAACGUCAUAUUCCAAGAUUUGAAUAGGCUUUACCUCAAAUGUCAAGUCUGGUCGUAACUCGACCUCGUCAAUCGUAACAAUAUAUGAUGGAUUCAAUUGGUACCGUCUCAACAUCAAGACAUGAAACACAUCAUGAAUCUGGUCCAGUGUCGUCGGUAACUCUAAAUUGUAAGCAACAGGUCCAACUUACUUUAAAAUACGGUAAGGCCUUAUAAAUCUCGGGCUUAGCUGGUCUUUAUGUCUAAAUCAGAGGACCUUUUUCCAAGGUGAUACCUUUAGAAACACUUCAUCACCUACCGAAAGCUCAAUAUCCUUUCUUUUUAAACCUGCAUAAGACUUUUGUUGAUCAGACACAACUUUCAGUUCAUCCUGAAUUACUUUCACAAUGCUCUCAGUUUCAAAAACCAGCUCAGGACCCAAUAUACGGCAUUCACUCAACUCCGUCCAACAUAAUAGAGUACGGUACUUACGACCAUAUAAAGCUUCGGGAGGUGCCAUCUGAAUACUAGACUGAAAGUUAUUGUUGUAAGCAAACUCCGUUAAUGGUAGAUACUCUUCCCAACUACCUCUGAAAUCUAUCACACAACCUCGAAGCAUAUCUUUUAGGAUUUGAAUGACUCGUUCCGACUGUCCGUCGGUCUAAGGGUGAUAUGUAGUAUUGAAAUUAAUUAGAGUGCCUAAAGCCUCAUUAAGUUUCUUCCAAAAUCCAGACGUAAAUUGCAGAUCUCUAUUGGAAAUAAUCGAGACAGGAAUUUCGUGUAGCCUCACAAUCUCGGCGAUAUAUAGUUUAGCUAACUUCUACAAUGAAUAAUCCAUUCAGAUAGGAAUAAAAUGAGCCGAUUUGGUCAACCGAUCAAUUAUGACCCAAACUGAAUCCUUUUUAGUAAGAGUUAAGGGCAACCCUAUACCAAAAUCCAUUGCUACCUCAUAAGCCAUAAUUUAUACAUAGUUUUACCUCAUUCUUAGCAUAUUUUUGGAUGAAUUAUCCUUAGAUUUGGUGAAUCCGAUGCUCCUAAUCUUUUAAUUUCACGUUUUAUACUUAGGUGAGCAUAGGAGAGUAAAAAGAGUGACAAACGGGCCAAAAAUAGAGAAAAUGGACCAACAUGGGAAAUCAAUACGGCCUGGACUUCCUCAUACAGGUAAGCCAUACGGCCGUGUCCAUUUGGAAGAAUCAAAGCACAACUUAUACGGGUAGACCACAUGCCCGUGCCUAUGUAACAGCCUUGAACACGGAUUAAAAAAAUUGCACACGGGUGUGUCCCUAUCGAGCCCAAGUUUAGUUCUAUUAGGAAAAGGCCACUCUUGAGGGUGUUUAGGCAUUCUAAAGCCUAUUUAAACACCUGAUGAGGCACUUAGAAGAGACACACAGAGUAGGAGGCAAGGAAUUACUCAAGGAAAGCCGAUUGAUCCAUCUCAGAAGCUGGAUUCAUCGUCAAGACUGAAGAUCUCCCUUCAAUUUCCUUUAGGAGUUUUAGGUUUUCUUUAUGUUUUUUUAUCUUUAUUCUUUUGAGAUGUUUUUUUUUCCAUUAUUAUGAACUAAACCCCCUAAAUACCUAAGGGGAAUGAAACCUAAGACGGAUCUUGUUAUUAUUAUCUAAAUUGUAUGAUAAAUAUUUGACUUUUUCUUAAUUAUGUGUUCUUAAUUCUUAUGUUAAUAUUCCAGGAUAUUGAUUCAAGUUAAUGCGCUUAUUCAGAGGAGCAAAAGUCUCUGUCUAAGAGUAAAUUUGUCAUAAUUAAGUAGAGUUCAUUGCAUGCCUAGAGAUAGGGUGACAAGAUUUUGCCGGAUUAGGGUGAAACCUAAUAAGGGAGUCCAUAGAUCGAGUUAAUGCAACAUUAGGGUGUUAAUUAAAAAGAGAUUUCAAUUAACCAACCUAGGGUUAGACGUUAUUAGUCCCGAGAGAUAUAAUAAUAUAACUUAGGGAUUUCUACGGAUCAAGUCAAAUGAAUAAAUCAUCUGAUUUAGAGUCAAAUAACAAGUAAAGUCUAGGUGGAUUUUUCCUUGGGUAUUGUCUUAAUCAAUCGAGUUUUCCCAAAAGCUUUUCCCCAAUUUUCUCUCUGUGCACCCUUAGUUUAGUUACUUAGUUUAGAUAAACAAAUCCCUUAAUUUUUAGGCUAGAUAAUAAAAAGAAAGUAAUUACUAGUACUCUUGGUUCCUUUAGGUUCGACAAUCCGGUCUUGCUAAAGCUAUACUACUGUUCGAUAGGUACACUUUCCUUCAUCAUGAUAAUAGUUAGUUUCAAGAACAGUCAAUUAUAAAUUUUUUAAAACUUAUCGCGACGAGCAGAUCAAGUUUUUGGCGCCGUUGCCGGGGAACUAAGAUAUUAGAAACACUCAAUUUUUAUUACUUUAGCCGUUUUACUUUAUUUGCAAUUUAAAUUUUUAUUUUCUUUUCUAAUUUUCUCUUUUAUUCACUUCUAGCAGGUUUUUUUAUAUUGUAUGACUAGAAGAAACCCGUCGGGACCAUUACUUUUUGAUAGUGAGGUCGAUUGCACAGCUCGUAGAAACCGAAGAGAAAUAAGGCGAAGCUUAAGAGACACAGAGGAAGAGCAAGAGGACGAUAUUCAAACCACAACCGAGGAGAUGGAUGAAAAUCAAGAAAAUCCGCUACCUCCUACGAUUGUUUGUAACACCCCUCACUCGUAUCCAACGCCAGGAUACGGUUCGAGAUAUUACCAAACUUAAACAUUCACAACAUGCAAAAUCGGGCCACAAAAUUAUCACCAAAAAUUAAAACAUCUCGAACACAUGCAUAUCGUCCCUUAUAUAGGUCUUUGAAACUUAUAACAUACAUUGAGGUGUUUUGGGACUAAACCAAGAACUUUGAAAAUCUUUGGGCAAUUUAACUAAAUUUUCUUGCUUCGGAGAGUCACACGCCCGUGUGGAUUGGGCCGUGUGGUCACACACGUCGGUGUGGCUUGGGACACGCCCGUGUCCUGUGCCUAUGGAGCUCUCUGUCCAUUUGGUCAUGAACAAGUUAGGGUCACACAGCCAAGGCACACGCCCGUGUAUCUUUCCGUGUGGACAAUUUCAAGGCUAUUUUCCAAGCCAAUUGUCACCCUUAAUUACCUACAUACACUUAUACAUUUUAUAGCAAUUGACAUUGCAUAUUUGAGUAAUUAUAUAUAUCCACAAUCAAGGCACAAGCAUGGUAUUCUCAUAACAACACAUAACAUAUUACCAACCAUGCAUGGCAAACAAGCAUAUGCACAUCACCAAUAUCAGACAUAACAUGAAUAGCUAGAUUUAUAAGUCAGAAUCAUUAGCUCACUAAAGACCAAUAUAUUUGGUCAAAUUAUAAUAACACAUGUUAUAAAACUAGGUCCCUAUACAUGCCACUCACUUGAUAAUUCUAGCAUAUUUGUUUAUACUCUCAAGGUGUUGGUUUGAUAGUGUGAUGCUACCUACGACGAUCUCUAAACCCGAGCUAACCUGACAACACUAAAAGAAAUGGAAAGGAGGGGGUAAUUUUUACGCUUAGUAAGUUCGUAUGAAAAUAAUAAGCAAUUUACUAACAUGCUUUCCAUAGUAGCAUUAUCUCAAUUGUACAUUUACACAUGUUCUGGUUAAGCUAUUUUCUUGAGUCAUAGUCACUAAAUCAUUUAUAUCUGGAGCUACAGAACUUCAAAUUAAGAUCCUUAAAUGUUCCCAGAAACUAGACUCACAUAUAUUUCCACCAUAAAAUUUUCAGAAUUUUUUAUCUGGCCAAUAAGUACAGUUUACUAUUUAAAGUAUCCCCUAUUUUUUUGUUUGACAGCUUCGACCUUUCUUCACUAAAACUUAAUUAUCUCAUACUACGAUACUCAAAUAAUGUUCUUGUCUCUUUCUCUUGAAAUUAGACUCAUUAAUUAUUUCAUUCAUAUGAAUUUUAACUCAUAAUUAUUUUUGUACAAUUUCUAGUGAUUUUCCAAAUUUGAGAUAGGGGAGUCUGGAAUCACUCUGACUCUGGCUCACAAGAAUUCAAAUAUCUCAUGAUACAAAAUUCUUUUGCUUUCAUCGUUUCCUUUAUGUGAAACUAGGCUUAUUAAGCUUUAAUUUCAUAUUUUAUUAAGCUUCUAACUCAAUUUCCAAUAUUUUUAGUGGAUUUUCAAAUGCAGACUAAUGCUGCUCUCCAAAUCUAUUUUGGUACAAUAUAAUGAUCACUAUCAUAAGAUCAUUUCCAACUAUCAUGAACUUACCAUUUCAUGAAUCCCUUACUCAUUUUUCACAAUAGAGCUCAAUAAUAAUAAUGAUAACAUUACUUACAUUUAUUUUUCCACACGUUACAUUUACAACUUACCAACUUGUCCAUUGAAGGAACGGCUUACGGAUUUGAGUACAUCGUGAUCUAAAGCCCGAAGUCUAGCUGAAGCACAUAAGUGCUAAAUGGAAGCCCGAAGGCUAACUGAAGCACACAAGUGCUAAAUGGAAGCCUGAAGGCUAACUGAAGCACGCAAGUGCUAAACGGAAGCCGGAAGGCUAACUUAAGCUCAUCAGAGUUGAACUGAAACCCCAAAAGGGUUAACUGAAACUCAUAUGAGUUAACGGAAGCUCGUAAGAGCUAAACGGAAAGUAAACAUGAGAAUUCGUAACAAAUGCUGAAUCUCUGUUUACUUGGGUAAUUUACUGUCAAUUCAUCUUUUUCACUGAACAAUCGUACUCAUUUCUUGCGUUCCGUUCCUCCAAAAUACUCAGUUCAAUUUCGUAACUUUUGUACAUAAUUUACUUAUUUUCAACAAUUAACAUACAUAAAUAUUAAUCAUUAUUCAUAAAAUAAUAUUAAAAUUUAAUAAUUUAACCGUACAAACUUACCUCAGAUCCAGAAAUGACAAUUUACCAUUCUAGUCCAUAACAUUGUAUUUUCCCGAUUUAAGCCCAAAUCUCGAUUUCCUUGAUUAUUAAGCUUGAAAGCUUGGCCAAACCCUAACCAUGGCUGCUCUUGGUAGAUUCUACUGUAGCAAGAAGAAAGGGACACAUUUGGGGUUUAAAAUUUGUCUUUUAAUUCAUUUUACCCUUAAAUGACCAAAAUGCCCUUUUUACUAUUCUUUCAAAUUUUACCCAACCAGGGCCAUUUUUGUCCAACAAGUUAUACAAUGGUUUAAUUAUCAUUUAAGGACUUCUCAUUUAAAAUUUCAUGACAAUUAGACACCUCUAACAUAUAAAACGCAACUUUUGCACUUUUUAUAAUUUAGUCCUUUUUACUAAAUUGAGUGCCCAAACGUCGAAAUUUUCGAACGAGAUUUUCACAAAAUCAUUCCGGGAAAUCGUAGACCAUAAAAAUAUAAUAAAAAUGAAAUUUUCCUCAUCAAAUUUGUGAUCCUGAAACCACUGUUCCGAUUAAGUCCAAAAUCGGGAUGUUACAUUUCUCCCCCUUUAGGGAUUUUCGUCCCCGAAAAUCUCACCAGAAAAGUGGUUUUGGUGUUUCACUUGGAUUCUUCAAUCCUAUAAUUGAUGUCAAAGAACUUUCACUCAGGCUAAACUUUUACUACAUAUCUCUUUAAAUUUUACAUACAAAAAUCAUAAGUGGUAUUCACUUUACAAUACUUUUACUGAAACUUAAUCUCUACCAGAAAGCUUAUGCACUCAAAAGUCCGAUCCAUACCAUCAUGUUACAUAUACAUUCACACCCGAAUCUUUUCAGAUUCGAAUAGUAAAACUAAUCAGUUCAUCUCAACCUCAUACUUUUUAUAAUUUCACACAAUCCAAUUAUUUGUCAAUUCAACCCUCAGCUGCUCUUUAUUCCAAGCCUCUUCUGGCUUUCCAAAGAAAUCAUGAUAUGAAACUCGGAUCUCAAUCCAAUUAGUGGAGAUUAAAAUUCCAUUAUAUCCAAAAUUCAUAAAGACACGAAAUUCUAUGAAUCUGGUGAGCAGACAUUCGGGUAUACCAACAUAAUUUACACAUCUCAUAACGUUUAACAACGCUACAUAUCACUUUCCUCUUUCAAGGACAGGAAUGAUCCAAACAAGAAAAUCCAUAUUAACCUUUUCUAUUUCCAUUCUAAUUCCCAAACGGCAAAAAUAAUUCUGAUGAUUCUUGCUAUCAAUUUCAACAUUUCAAGAAUUUGUACUCAAAGAUAAACAAUGAUCGUUUCAGCAUUUUUAAAUACCCAGAUUAUCUUCACAUUAUUAAUAUCAGAUCUUCUUAUCGCAUACGAUUCUUCUAGGAAACAUACACUUCUUAAUUAGUUAUUUGUCUUUUUACCCACGAAGAAAUAAAAUCUUAUUCUCAAGCAUGCACAUCUCAUUAAAUUCUAAACAUAUAUUCCAUACAGAUUGAACAAUCAAGUUGACCUUAUUCAUUUGUAAUUGAUAUUUCAAGAAAUUGUCUCUUCUAGUCAACAGAACGAUUCAACAUGCAUCAUUCCAAAUUCACUCAUCAUGCCAAUCAAAAACCAUAACAAAUGCAUUAGCAUAAGUAAUACUGAUACCUCUACUGAAUACAUUAACUCUAAUUAACUUACUUGAGAAAGGAAAUCCACCAUACACAUUAGGACUUGAAAUUUCACCACAUUAUCAAGAUCAAUUCAGAGUUAGAUCAAUUCAGAGUUAUAGUCAUACUUGUUCUUUAUAUACAUCAAUCACAAGCUGGAGGUCAUGCUCUAAAUGCAAGGCAUGAUCAAAAAGUUACAAGAUAAAAUAUCCAGAAAACCCAAGAUAGAGAAAUCUGAAACGAAGAAGCCCAGAAUAAAGAAAUCCAAGAUAAAGAAAUCCAUGAUAAGGAAAUCCCAUUUACAGCACUGCAUCAGAAGACCGAGAACUAGACUCAAAAAUAUGAAAGACCCCAAUGGUUUUUCAAAGAAAAGAAAUCCAGAAUAACAUCAUUCCAAAACACUAACAACAAAUACAACCAUAACUAUAUGCUUCUCAUAUAUAUAUAAUCAAUCAGAGCAAUGAUCGGUAGAAAUAGAAUCACGGCACCAUACACAAUUUCUCAUCGAUUCCCAACAGGUGAAAUAUAACAAAAUACUAGAGGAAGACAGAACCAUGCAUAUUAUAAUCCAAUCAGACUGACAACACAUUCGUCUAACAUUAAGAUCAGGGAACAUUUUCAUAAUAUAAGAAUUCAUCAGGGAUUAGAUAGCCCCAAUAAUAUUUCCGGUGUCAGAUAGUCUCAUACCAUAUCUCAAUAGAGACAAUCACAAAUUGUUCACUGUAAUUACCAUGCUUGGACAUUUCAUAUUUCGAACAUUAUUCCUUUAACUAUUUCUGCCAUCCCAAAUUCCAUAAUAUUCCAUUUACUAAGAAAACCAAUUCAUGAGGGAAUUUCAAUCAAUACAUUUCUCGACAUCAUACCAAGAUAGAUCGUUUUACCAAAAUUAACCUUUUUCACUAACUGCGAUGUUGCGAAAAUUAAACAAUUUUUCGGUCAAUCCGAUAUCUUUCUAGCUCAUGUCUGUACUUAUCAACCCAUUCUCAAUCUCUAAUCAUGCUUAUAACCAUUCCAUCAAAAUCAUUCAACAUAAAUAUCAAGAAUUUCCAUUAUAAAACACCACUUUGGUAAGGGGAAGAGGGUCAUAGGGCCUCUGACUCAACUCUCAUAUAUAUAUACACGUAACACAGUUUUCAUCAUAGCAAUCAUAUCUCAAUCAUGUCAUUCAUUUCGAGUAACUAACAUUCAUAUUGAUUUUACACCCACUUUCCAGUUAUCUCAUCUAAACAAGUGUACUUAUACAUGUAAUUCCAUGUUUCCUAGAUAAUCUUACUUAUCCAUUCAUUAAAUCAGACAAGUCAAGCACAUAAUAUCAUAUAAGGGCCAAACAAACAUGGAUAAGUAUAUAACAGUCAAAACUUUCAUCUUACACAUCAUCGUAUAAAUAUCAUUACAAUCAUAUAUAUCAGUCCAAACAAUUUAAUACAUUUACUCAAGUUAUAUGAGCUUACCAAUCAUAAUCAUCCCAACCAAUAAACAUGAAUAUUCAUCUUAUCAAUAUUUUUGAUAAGUUACUCAAACACAUGCAUUUGUUCAAAUAAAUCGAUCAUAUACAUCAUAGAAUUAUCUAUUAAUCAUAGAUAAGCUCAUUUCACCAUGUACACAUGUCAUGAAUCCUCAUUCGUACCUUUCCAAGUUUCAGUUCAUCAUGACUAUACUUUACUCGAAUAUUUUAGCAUCACAUUCAACAUGGUUGGUGUAGCUCAGUUGGAGAGUACCUUUGUCUAAACAAAGUGGCUCUCAUACACGUCAGAAGACAUUACACUAUCAUGGAUCGGUGGCAUGUAUAGCUGGACUUUUACACAUGCUAGGCUAGUCCGAGAAAUGACUAAACCAUAGCUUUGAUACCACUAAAUGUAACACCUCUCACCCGUAUCCAACGCCGGGAUAAGGUUCGAAGAGUUACCGGACUUAAACAUUCACAACAUGCAAAAUCGGGCCACAAAAUUUUUACCAAAAUUAAAACAUCUCGAACACAUGCAUAUCGUCCCUUAUAUAGGACUUCGAAAUCUAUAACAUACAUUGAGGUGGUUCGGGACUAAACCAGGAACUUUGAAAAUCUUUGGGCAACUUAACUAAAUUUUCUUGUUUUUGAGAGUCAUACACCCAUGUGGAUUGGGUCGUGUGGUCACGCACGUCCGUGUGGCUUGGGACACGCUCGUGUCCUGUGCCCAUGGAGCUCUCUAUCCAUUUGGUCAUGAAUAAGUUAGGGUCACACGGCCAAGGCACACGCCCGUGUAUCUUUCCGUGUGGACAGUUUCAAGGCUAUUUUCCAAGCCAAUUGUCACCCUUAAUUACCUACAUACACUUAUACAUUUCAAGCAAUUAACAUGACAUAUUUGAGUAAUUAUAUAUGUCCACAAUCAAGACACAAGCAUGGCAUUCUCAUAACAACACAUAACAUAUUACCAACCAUGCAUGGCAAACAAGCAUAUGCACAUCACCAAUAUCAGACAUAACAUGAAUAGCUAGAUUUAUAAGUCAGAAUCAUUAGCUCACUAAAGACUAAUAUAUUUGGCCAAAUUAUAAUAACACAUGUUAUAAAACUAGGUCCCUAUACAUGCCACUCACUUGAUAAUUCUAGCAUAUUUGUUUAUACUCUCAAGGUGUUGGUUUGAUAGUGUGAUGCUGCCUCCGACGAUCUCCAACCCUGAGCCAACCUGACAACACUAAAAGAAAUGGAAAUGAGGGGGUAAGUUUUACGCUUAGUAAGCUCACAUGAAAAUAAUAAGCAAUUUAUUAACAUGCUUUCCAUAGUAAAACUAUCCCAAUUGUACAUUUACACAUGUUUUGGUUAAGCUGGUUUCUUGAGUCACAGUCACUAAAUCAUUUAUAUCUAGAGAUUCGGAACUUCAAAUUAAUAUUCAUAAAUUUUCCCAGAAACUAGACUCAUAUAUCUUUACACUAAAAUUUUUUUCAAAAUUUUUGGUCUAGCCAAUAAGUACAGUUUAUUAUUUAAAUUAUCCUUUAUUUUUUGUUUGACAACUUUGACCUUUCUUCACUAAAAUUUAAUUAUCUCAUAGUACGAGACUCAGAUAAUGUUCCUGUCUCUUUCUCCUAAAAGUAGGCUAGUAUUUCAUUCAUAUAAAUUUUAACUUAUAAUUAUUUUUGUACAAUUUCUUGUGAUUUUCCAAAGUUGAAACAGGGGAGUCUGGAAUCACUCCGACUCUGUCUCACAAGAAUUCAAAUAUCUCAUGAUAAAAAAUUCUUUUGCUUUCACCGUUUACUUUAUGUGAAACUAGGCUCAUUAAGCUUUAAUUUUAUAUUUUAUUAAGCUUCUAACUCAAUUUCCACUAUUUUUAGUGGAUUUUCAAAGCCGGACCAAUGCUGCUAUCCAAAUCUAUUUUGGUACAAUAUAAUGAUCACUAUCAUAAGAUCAUUUCCAACUAUCAUGAACUUACCAUUUCAUGGAUCUCUUACUCAUUUUUCACAAUGGAGCUGAAUAAUAAUAAUGAUAACAUUACUUAAAUUUAUUUUUCCACACGUUACAUUUACAACUUACCAACUUGUCCAUUCAAGGAACGGUUACGGAUUUGAGUACAUCAUUAUUUGAAGCCCAAAGUCUAGCUGAAGCACAUAAGUGCUAAACGGAAGCCCGAAGGCUAACUGAAUCACACAACUGUUAAAAGGAAGCCCGAAGGCUAACUAAAGCACAAAAGUGCUAAAUAGAAGCCCGAAGGCUAACUUAAGCUCAUCAGAGUUGAACUGAAACCCCAAAAGGGUUAACUGAAACUCAUAUGAGUUAACGGAAGCUCGUAAGAGCUAAACGAAAAGCAAACACGAGAAUUCGCAACAAAUGAUGAAUCUCAGUUUACUUGGGUAAUUUACCGUCAAUUCAUCUUUUUCACUGAACGAUCGUACUCAUUUCUUGCGUUCCAUUCGUCUGAAAUACUCAGUUCAAUUUCGUAACUUUUGUACAUAAUUUACUUAUUUUUAACAAUUAACAUACAUAAAUAUUAAUCAUUAUUCAUAAAAUAAUAUUGAAAUUUAAUAAUUUAACUGUACGAACUUACCUCGGAUCCAGAAAUGGCAAUUUACCAUUCUAGUCCAUAACCUUGUAUUUUCCCGAUUUAAGCCCAAAUCUCGAUUUCCUUGAUUAUUAAGCUUGGAAGCUUAGCCAAACCCUAACCAUGACUGCUCUUGGUACAUUCUGUUGUAGCAAGAAGAAAGGGACACAUUUGGGGUUUAAAAUUUGUCUUUUAAAUCAUUUUACCCCUACAUAACCAAAAUGCCCUUUUUACUAUUCUUUCAAAUUUUACCCAACCAAGGCCAUUUUUGUCCAACAAGUUAUACAAUGGUUUAAUUAUCAUUUAAGGACUUCUAAUUUAAAAUUUCAUGACAAUUAGACACCUCUAACAUAUAAAAACAAACUUUUGAACUUUUUACAAUUUAGUCCUUUUUACUAAAUUGAGUGCCCAAACAUCGAAAUUUUUUAUCAAAAUUUUCACGAAAUCAUUCCAUGAAAUUGUAGGCCAUAAAAAUAUAAUAAAAAUGAAAUUUUCCUCAUCGAAUUUGUGGUCUCAAAACCACUGUUCUGACUAAGCCCAAAAUCGGGAUGUUACAUUGCUGUUGAUCCAGUAAAUCAAAAUCAUGCUCCACGCACUAUGUAUGAUUAUGCUAAACCGAAUUUAACAGGAACUGAGUCAUGUAUAGUUAGGCCUGCUAUUGCUACAAAUAAUUUUGAAUUGAAACCUAACAAGACUCAAAUGAUACAGCAAUUUGUUCAGUUUGAUGGUUUGCAGGAUGAGGAUCCAAACACUCACUUGGUGAAUUCUUUAGAACUCUCUUCACAUUUAAAGUUAAUGGCGUCCCUUAUGAUGCCAUUCAUCUUUGUUUAUUUCCCUUUUCAUUAAGGAAUAAGGCUAAACAGUGAUUGAACUCGUUACCACGAGGGUCAAUUACUACUUGGGAACAAAUGACCGAAAAGUUUUUACUAAAAUAUUUCCUGCCGGCUAAAACGGCUAAAUUAAGGAAUGAUAUCUCUUCUUUUGUGCAGAUGGAUCUAGAAACACUCUACGAUGCAUGGGAGAGAUACAAGGAUCUGUUGAGAAGGUGCCCUCACCAUAGGCUACCACUCUGGCUACAGGUUCAAACUUUUCACAAUGGCCUGAAUCCUUCAACUAGACAGAUGGUUGACUCAGCCGCUAGUGGGACUAUCAAUAAUAAGACACUUGAGGAUGCUUAUGAAUUUAUAGAAGAUAUGUCACUGAAUAAUUAUUAGUGGCAAGUCAUAAUGAUAAAGCCAACGAAAGCAGCCGGCAUUUUUAACGUCGAUUCGGUCACCAUGCUCUCUAAUCUGGUAGAACUUUUGAAUAGAAAAAUGGACAGUUUUCUUGGUUCUUCACAGGUUCACCCAGUAAUGCAAUGCAAUCCAAGUGGAGGAGGGACGAGCAAUUUAGAAUACCCACUUUAUGGCUACAUCAUGGAAAAUGAGCAAUUAAAUUAUAUGGGUAAUAAUCCUUGACCUCAAAAUAAUGCUUAUAAUAACACUUACAAUGCAGGAUGGAGGAACCACCCAAAUUUCUCAUGGGGUGGCAAAGGGAAUCAGAGACCACCACCACCUCCUGGCUUCCAACAACCACUUUACCCACAAGAAAAGAAACCGAACCUUGAGGAGAUGCUAACAAAGUUUAUCUCGGUGUCAGAAAUUCACUCUCAAAUACCGAAACAGCACUUAAGAAUCAACAGGCAUCAAUCCAAGGGCUCGUAACACAGAUAGGCCAACUCUCCAAAUUGAUUUCUGAAUGACCACAAGGUAGCCUGCCAAGUAACACUGAAUCUAACCCAAGGGAACAACUCAACGCAAUUACCAUCUAAGACGAGGAAGGGUUAGUUGAACCUGAACUUGAACCGAGGCAAGGAAUUGUGGUAAGUAAAGGUAAAGACGAGGUAGACCACAGUAAGCAGAAACCGGUAAGUAAAGAGUACAAAUCACGAGUGCCAUACCCCAAUGCGACAAGGAAAUAUUGCACAGAUGAACAAUUCGGUAAAUUCCUUAAACUAUUAAAGAAAUUACACAUUAACUUACCGUUUAUUGAAGCUCUUUCGCAGAUGCCAAAUGCAGUCAAAUUCUUAAAGAAGCUUUUAGCAAAUAACAGAAGUUGGAUGAGGCGUCGUAUGUGGAGUUAAAUAUAGUUUGCUCAGCCAUUCUACAGAACAAGCUUGCCAACAAAUUGAAAGAUCUAGGGAGUUUUACGAUUCCUUAUUUAAUUGGUAGUUUAAAUGUUAAAAUGGCUGAUUUAAGGGCUAGUAUUAAUGUCAUACCCUAAAAAAUGUUUAAACAACUAGGUCUUGGGAAACCCAAACAAACUAGGAUGAGUAUUCAGUUAGCCGAUAAAGCUAUCAGAUUUCCUAGAGGUAUCAUUGAAGAUGUACUUGUAAAAAUUGAUGAAUUUAUAUUCCCAAUCGAUUUUGUUGUUCUAGACAUAGAAGAGGGUAGUAACGCACCACUAAUUCUAGGAAGGACCUUUUUAGCAACUGCUAGAACCGUUAUCGAUGUUGGUACAUGUGAACUCACACUUUGUGUGGGUGAUGACUCAGUUACUCUCCAAGCUCGUAAUCCUAUUAAUACUGACCAUGUGGUGCAACCUUCUUUACAGGAAACACUUUUGAAGAGCAUACAUGAGCCUUGUUCAAGUAACAACAAAAAACCCAUCUAUGAAGAACGAAGGCUACAAAUCGAGGACCUAGAUGAAUGGCGAACACAUAAACCAAGGACACACGAUAAACCAAAACCAAUCCAUGACAAGCUCAAUAUUUCACCAAAUCAACUUAUGGUUGGAAACAAAGUACUACUAGAUGCAGCAGACCCUCGUAUUGCCACUCCUAAACCUAACGAAGCAAUCCCUCUUACAGUACUCAGCAUUUUUCCAUAUGGUAUAGUCGAGGUAAUUUAUCCCAAAUUCGGCACUUUUAAGGUAAAUAGUACCCGUCUAAAACUUUAUUUUGAUGAAAUUGAUAGCAUGAACGAGGAGUGUAAACUCCUCGCACCACUAUGACCAUGCAAAAGGGAGGUAAGUCGAGCUUAGACUCUAAAUAAGCGCUUCUCGGGAGGAAACCCGAGUACUAACAGUAUUAAUUUCUUUAAGUUUUAGUUUUUAACAUCUAACCACUAACUUAGUCUUUGAAUACAGCUUUUGGAAAACCACAUGGCCAGGUCCACAUGCGUGUCUUAGGCCAGGCUCACACCACGGGAGGAGACACGGCUGUGCGAUCUGGUCGUGUGAAACAAGGGAAAAGUUUUUCCCUAACACCGGAUGCGAUAAGUUGCUACGAGCGUCAGACGUAGCCAUGGGCGAACCUGUCAAAACAACACGGACGUAUGACACACCCGUGUCUUGAAGUCGUGGUCGACACUGAGAAAUUAACACGGGCGUGCGACACGCCACUGUCAAACCAACACGGUGUGCGUAUUUGAACAUGGGUAUGAGAGAAGCGAAUGAAGUAGAACACGGGUGUGUGACACUUCCAUGUGAACCAAUACGGCCAAAGAACACGGGCGUGGGACAAAUUUCACACACGCUCAAAUUUAAAAAUCGCAAAACACAUGGGCUAAAAUUAGGGCACGCGGACGUACCCCACAGCCGUGUGCCCCAAAAUCUAUAUAAACCCCUCACUAUUCAUCAUCCCCUUCCCCAAAAUCCCUAACCCUAAUCACUGCAACUCCUUCACACACCUUUCCUGCCACUCCCGUACACCGAACACAGCACCACCAUCGAUGACCCAAGGUCCUUCCUCUACCAAGCUCUUGUGUUUAUUCAUUAUUUUCUCUUCAUUUCGUUUACUAAUUUGAUUUUUUUUGCUUUAUUUUGACUGUUAAUCUUCAUAGUUCUAAUAAUACCAAUGCUUAUACCAUUUGUUUCUUGCUAAUCUAGUUGAUGGGUUAUGGUACAUUCAUUCUUGUGUUGCCAUGGACUUCAAUCUAUUUCCCAUAUUAUCAUUCUCAUAUGCAUCCAUUCACUAGGAAUUAUUCUCGUAUUCCUAUUCGUAGUAAUGAAUUAAAAUAUCUGAUUUGGUUAUCUUUCAGCAUAAUUGUUUUUAGUACAUGACUCCUAUGGAGUAUCUCUAUUUAGUUCUAACAUGCAUUGCAUAUUUGUCCACGUUAUUGUUGGGGAGUAAUUUUAUUUUUAUUUUGUCUUGCCAUUGUAGAUUUCAUGUCAAAUCAUGGUAAGAAAACUAUCGUACCCACCUCAAAGAAGAGGAAAGGAGCAGUAUCAUCGUCGAGCCCUAACGCGAAAAUUAGACACCCAUUCUUCCAGUUUCCCUUGGGACCCUAGGAGGAACUUUUCCAGAUACUUCGGGCCCAACCCUUAGGUGCGGGCCGUUGUAUUGAUUGGACCGCACUCGAACAAAUCCAACUAGCUGACGCGGUUCGAGCUCUUCGGACGACUGAUCUGAGGGAGCUCUUCUUUAGGAUCAUCGAGCCGACGUACCUCGAGCUCACACUGGAACUCUAUUCAACAUUCCACUUUCAAACCAUUAUGAUAGAGUUCGAUGAUCCAGGAACAGUCCAAAUCCGCCUCGGUGGCUUGGUUUGCCAAUUGAGCGUACCUGAGUUUAGAAUUGCACUGGGGCUAUAUACGGAGGAAUUCAUGUACGACAACGAACUCGACACCCUACAUUGCCACAUCUACUACUCUCCUUCGAAUUGCUGGCAAGUCUUAGUCCUUGCCUCGGCCACCUACGACCCUAGUCGCUCCAAGGCAUCGGCCUUCGACCCAUCCCUGAGGUAUUUACACGCCAUCUUGGCCCACACUCUGACAAGACGGCGAUAGAGUACUAGCGUUGUCAACACUCACGACACCUACUAUUUAUGAAGUAUGGCACAUGGGCACGUCUUUGACCUUGCCUAUUUCAUCGCCCUCUCCAUUUGCCAUCAAACGGAGCGGCAUAAGAAGGGGGUCAUCUCCAUUGGCCCCUAUGUGACUCAACUUUCACGGCACUUCGGGCUCCUCGACACGGCGGUGCAGGUAUCCUUCCUCACACUCAUCGGUCAGAUGUCCUCACAGGGCAUCUCGAGUAUGCUACACAUGAGGAUGAUAGAGCGAUGAUGUGGAGUUGAUCCUUCCUAGUAUCGCCUCGUCUAGUCAGCCGAGCAGGAGGACCCCGAGGACAUUACUGAAGAUGUCUCUCCAUGACACGAUGAUUCACAGUCUCAGCCACCACCUACCCAUCAUUCAGUUCAUGCGGCGGCUUCAUACUCUGACAUCUCUGAGUGCCUCACUCAAUUUGAGCAGCAGUGUUCUCAACGCUUUGAUCACAUUGAUGCUACUCUACAUCAGACUUGUCAGCGCCUUCACAUCUCAUCACCACCAGCACCUCGCGAACCUCUGGCGAUGACGAUACUUAAAGACUUUUUAUUAUUUUUUAUGUUUUUACUUUUAUCAUUUUAAAACUACUUUUUAUUUUAUUCUUCUUUAAUUUUCUUUUUAUUUCAUCCUUAGGUUUUAUAAUUUAUAUUGAACAAUUUAUGCUUUCAGCUAUUUCUUUUCGAGUAAUUAUGCUUCUUUAUAUUUCCUAAAGAGUUCUUGAUUUUAUCACAGUUAUUAAGAGCUCCAAAGCUCACCAUCACUUAGGAACUUGAAAAUCCACUGGAAAAGGUUCUCCACGACUAUCAUGUCCUGCCCGACCACCACGAUAACCUCUUCGCUAGGCACUGUGGUUGUGGAACCCAAUCUCUACCACCACCAGAGUAUACUCCUCCAAUCUUAUCAUUUCCUUGGCCGAUUAUUCUCCAUAACUCCAAUUCAAGGAGUCCAUUCAUCAUUCAGAAAGUUUCACUUCUCUCCUUAUCUUAUGAUCUUAUAUCUAUAUCAUCGUAAAUCUAACUUUGUACACAUCUUAAAGUGUGGGAGGGGGGUUGUUUAUAUCUUUAUCAGAAAAAUCCCUAAAUUUUGUCUUAUCCUCAUGUGAUCCUCUCAUAUCAGUAUUAGAAUGAAUUUUGAUUAAUUUAUGAUCUUUAUUGAUAUGUCUUGAAUUAAAACAUAGGCAUUUAUGCACUGAUGGUUUAAACUUUAAGGAAUUAGAGAAUCAAGCAUGAUAAGUUGAUUUUUGAGUUUUAAAAAUUUUUAGCUUGUUUCCCCAAGUUCAGGUAUUAUCUUGAGUUGAAAUUCACAGGUUUAACAUCAAAAAGCCAUAAUUUUUGUGAGAUCUUGAACCUUUAAGAUCAUCUAUUAUUUAUUUCAUGCUCAUUUUUAUUGUUGCUUUGAGCGCGUCAAUCUUGAUUUGUUAUUCUAGAACUUGCUUGCUAAUACAUGUCAAGACCACACCUUUGAUUUGAUAUGUCAAGAUGAUAAAGGCACUUAGGUUUAACCCAUUCACUCCAUAAAAGCCUACCUUUAUAAUUAACCCUUAGUGAACCCCUUUGAGCCUAACAAGCCAUUCAUUGAUUUACCCUCAAUAUUAACCCAUAACCUAUUAUUGUUGAAAUCCCCUAAUUUGAUCCCUAUUUUUGUCGAGAUUUGAUUUGAAUUAAUUGCUUAGCUAUGUUUUAUUUUUUUUUUUGUAAUAAUUAGCAAAGUUCUAUGUUCUAUGUUAUUUGGCUUGUUCUUAAAAAAAAUGCAUUCAUAUUAGUAGUAAUUCUUUAUUUUUGAGCUUAAGUUUUUAAAUUCCUUAUCCCAUGAAUAAAAGCUCAAUUCUAGGAUUUUCUAAUUAAAAAUGUAAUUUAUCAAGUUGUAGUAUUUUUAUAGUUAGGUAAUUUUUCAAUUCAAUCUCGAUUCUAACUUUCUCUUUCAGCUUCUAACCACACCCCCUAACCAAAGCCACGAUACAACCCUCUGAAGACCUUUUGAUUGAUGAAUCAUCUCAAUAUAUAGUGGUGGAGAUUUGAUUUUCACGCAAGCCUAUGGUAAUAACUUUUCAUAUUAACUAUUGAGUGCUAAAUUUCAUGUCCUUAAACACCUCGAGUGAUUUGAGUGAAUCUUUAGUGAGAAGGUUAAACUUUGUGAUAUUUUGAAUCAAAGGUAAUCACUUAGAUGAGGGGAGACACCUAUGUUUUCGUGAUAAAAUGCUCAACUUGGAAUGUUUGAAAGUUUGAUGUUCUUCUAGUUGAAUUCUCAAUGUGUGAUUACUUAUGGUUUAUUUUGAGAGACUAUUGAUGAGAAUUAUAAUUUGAGAAGAAUUUAUUUUGAUUGUGAGUUGAAGAUUUUACUUGAGGACAAGCAAACGCUUAAGUGUGAGGGUAUUUGAUAAACCAUAAUUUAUACAUAUUUUUACCUCAUUCUUAGCAUUUUUUGGAUGAAUUAUCCUUAGAUUUGGUGAAUUCGAUGCUCCUAAUCCUUUAAUUUCAUGUUUUAUACUUAGGUGAGCAUAGGAGAGUAAAAAGAGCGAGAAAUGGGCCGAAAACGAAGAAAAUGGACCAACAUGGGAAAUCAACACGGCCUGGACUUCCUCACAUGGGUAAGCCACACGGUCGUGUUCAUUUGGCAAAAUCGAAGCACGACUUACACGGGUAGACCACGCGCCCGUGCCUAUGUAACAGCCUUGAACACGGAUUGAAGAAAUCGCACACAGGCGUGUCACACGGGUGUGUCCCUGUUAAGCCCGAGUUUAGUUCUAUUCGAAAAAGGCCACUCUUGAGGGCUUUUAGGCAUUCUAAAGCCUAUUUAAACACCUGAGGAGGAACUUAGAAGAGACACACAGAGUAGGAGGCAAUGAAUUACUUAAAGAAAGCCGAUUUAUCCAUCUCAGAAGCCGGAUUCAUCGUCAAGACUGAAGAUCGCCCUUCAAUUUCCUUCAGGAGUUUUAGGUUUUCUUUAUGUUUUGUUAUCUUUAUUCUUUUGAGAUGUUUUCUUUCAUAAUUAUAAACUAAACCCCUUAAAUACCUAAAGGGAAUGAAACCUAAGACGGAUCUUGUUAUUAUUAUCUGAAUUGUAUGAUAAAUUUUUGACUUUUUCUUAAUUAUGUGUUCUUAAUUCUUAUUUUAAUAUUCCAGGAUAUUGAUUCAAGUUAAUGCGCUUAUUCAGAGGAGCAAAAGUCUCUAUCUAAGAGUAAAUUUGUCGUAAUUAAGCGGAGUUGAUUGCACGACUAGAGAUAGGGUAACAAAAUUUUGACGGAUUAGGAUGAAACCUAAUAAGGGAGUCCAUAGAUCGAGUUAAUGCAACACUAGGGUGUUGAUUAAAAAGAGAAUUCAAUUAACCAACCUAGGGUUAGAUAUUAUUAGUCUCGAGAGAGAUAAUAAUAUAACUUUGGGAUUUCUACGGAUCAAGUCAAAUGAAUAAAUCGUCUGAUUUAGAGUCAAAUAACAAGUGAAGUCUAGGUGGAUUUUUCCUUGGGUAUUGUCUUAAUCAAUCGAGUUUUCCCAAAAGCUUUCCCCAAUUUUCUCUCUAUGCACCCUUAGUUUAGUUAAUUAGUUUAGAUAAACAAAUCCCUUAAUUUUUAGGCUAGAUAAUAAAAAAAAGUAAUUACUAGUACUCUUGGUUCUUUUGGGUUCGACAAUCCGGUCUUGCUAAAGCUAUACUACUGUUCGAUAGGUACACUUGCCUUCAUCAUGAUAAUAGUUAGUUUCAAGAACGGUCAAUUAUAAAUUUUUUAAAACUUAUCGCGAUGACCAAAUCAUUACCCGCUUCCUUUUCCACUACGAAAUCUUAACUGGUUGAAGCAGUCCAGAGGGCAACUGAUGUUUGGCCUUAACUGUAACGCCCCAAUUUUCGGGAAUUCUGUGAAUGUUGGCAUAGGUUUAAUUAUGUUAGUGGGCCUCUAGAAGGCCGAAGCUUAAGAUAGAACCCGGCAAUUUUAGUUAAUUUUUGUUCCAUAAGAAAAAUGGGGUGAAAUUAUGAAAUAGAACCUAUGUGAAAAUGUUUGAAAAUGCUAUAGGCUAAAUUGAAGUGGCCAAAUAAAUAGGAGUGCAAAAUAGGAGGAUUUGCAUGACAAACCUCCCAUUUUACAUGAAGUGGCCAGCCAUCAUGUUGUUGUAGACAAUAUGAGCACUUGAUAUCCAUAAUUCAUGGUACAAAUUGAUAAUGGGUUAGGUAAAUGUUCCAUGAUAAUGAAUUAGGUAAAUAUUCCAUGAUGGGCAUUUCAUGUCUUUUGUAUUAAAGAAUUAAAUGGAUGAAAUAUGAAAUUUUAUUAAAAAAAAAGGGGUGAAAAGAACAAAGUUUUGUCCACAUUUGUUCAUCAUAGCCGAAAGUUAGAGAAGAGAAAGGAGAGGAGAAAGCUCUUGAAUGUUCGAUCACUUGGGGAAGAAAAUUGAAGGUAAGUUCAUGGUAGUUUGCUUCUAUCUUGAUGUUCAUGAGUUCUUCUUGAUUCUACCUUAACUCUUGAAGCAUAUUUUGGUUUUUAGUUGUGUUGUGAGCAUUUAGUCAUGAAUUAAAAUGAAGGAAAUGGUUGUUGUUUCAUAUUCUUUUGAUGAAAAAUAGAAGAUAGGUGAAGUUGAGCCAAACAAAUGAGCAUGCAUGUGCCUUAGAUGCUAAGGGGAAAAAUCGGCUAACAUGUUGUACUUUAAAAUGAUGAAAUGAAGAUUAUACUUAAGUAAAAUCAUAGAUAUGUGAUGAUUGAUUGGUGAUAUACAUGUUUAAAUAACAAGCAUGCAAGUUAGGUGUGAAAGAGUGAUUUGGUAAUAAAUCUGCUUGGGACAGCAGCAGUAACGUGACUUUGGAAAAUCACCAUAAAUUGUGGGAGAUGAGUUAGAAGCUGCAUAAAUUAUGUAAUUAAAGCUUAAUGAGUCUAGUUUCAAAUGGAAUAAAUGAGAACUGUAACACCCCAAUCCCGUAUCCGUCGCCGAAAUAGGUAAUGGGGCAUUACCGGACUUGAAACUCAUAUCAGAACAGUAAAAAAAAUUUUUUUUUGAACAUUCCUUUAGAUAAGUACUAAAGACAGUCAGGGAUACAAUUUAAACUUCUAUAAGUACACAUUCAAAAGAUGCCAUUUUCGCAUGGCUUAUAUACAUUAACCAAAAUAUUCUUCGACCACUGGUCUAUUCUAUACAUGCCAUAAAAUAAUUCUAAACAUAAUAGUAACAAGUAGUGGAUAGUGAUAGUGUGACUAGUUGCUGACAAUUCCCGAGCCUGUAGCUUCGAAAUGAGAUCUAUAAAAUAGAGAAAACAAAGUAAACGGAGUAAGCAUUACAAUGCUUAGUAAGUUUUAAGCAGUGUCAACAGAUAACAAUCAAAUUAUAACAUAGUUGUUUGUAUUUUUAUUUCACUCUUCCUUCGGGCAUACCAUCCCUUUACCGAAUAUGCACAUCUCAUCAUAUACAAUAGGCAGAUAAACUUUCACAUAAAAGUGAGGUCAUGUGACAUAGAUAUAUUGUAUAAUUUCACAUAACCUCUCACACUGAUCCGAUGUCACAUAAUCAUAGGAAUAGUCUCAUAGAUUGCUCUCGUAUGCAUCACAUAUCAACCUUAUGAUUUAGUUCAAAUCAAGCUCACAUAUAAACUUGGAGUACAUACCUGUUUAACCUUUCGCAUUGAAUAUAUUUAUAAGCAAUUCUUAUUACGAAGUCUUAUAGCUUUAACCUCUACUCAGAUUAUCGGCGAGACCUUUAGCUCAGACGAAAUCUCCACACGAAGUUAUCGGGUCUUACCCGGACAAAAUCUCCACACGUAGUCAUCGGGUCUUACCCGGACAUAAUCUCCACACGUAGUCAUCGGGUCUUACCCAGAAUAUAUUUCCAAGUUUCAUGUACAUUUAAUCACAUGUUACAACAUUCACAUCGACUGUCAUAUUUGUAAUUCAUUUGCCUCAUCAAAUAUCUAAUAAUACACACCUUUCACAUUUGGUCAUUCGGCCACAAUAUACGCACAUCGCCUACAUAUUUCACACUAGCCAUUCGGCUUUACCACAUAUACAUAUCUCAUACAUAUUUCACACUAGCCAUUCGGCUUUACCACAUAUACAUAUCUCAUAUAUAUAUAUUUCACAUUGACCAUUCGGCUUUACCAUAUAUGCAUAUCUCAUACAUAUUUCACAUUAGCCAUUCGGCUUUACCACAUAUACAUAUCUCAUACAUAUUUCACACUAGCCAUUCGGCUUUACCACAUAUACAUAUCUCAUACAUAUUUCACACUAGCCAUUCGGCUUUACCACAUAUACAUAUCUCAUACAUAUUUCACACUAGCCAUUCAGCUUUACCACAUAUACAUAUCUCAUACAUAUUUCACAUUAGUCAUUCGGCUUUACCACAUAUACAUAUCUUAUACAUCAAUUUCAGCAAUAGCUUAUAAGCAACUCAAAUAGUUUCAUCAAUGUUUACAACAAAUUCACAUAUUCACUACAAGCUGUUUUCCUGAGCAAUAGUCACUAAAUUAUUUAUAACUGGAGCUACAAAACUCAAAAUCAAUUGCCGUUAAUUUUCCCUGAAUAUAGACUCAUAUAUCUUCCAUCCAUAAGAUUUUCAGAAUUUUAGAUUUGGCCAAUCAAUACCAGAUUUUUCUUAAAGUUUCCCCUGUUUCACUGUUUGACUAAUCUGACUACUCUUCACUACGAAUCAAAUUUCUCAUUUUACAGAAUUCAAAAUGUGUUCUAUUUGAUUUCAUUUGAAACUAGACUCAUUAAGGAGUCUAAUAAUAUAAAUUUUAUAUUAUAACCAUUUUUUUACAAAUUAUAAUGAUUUUCUAAAAACCGAACAGGGGAUUUCAGAGUCAUUCUGACACCGUCUCACUCAACUUUAAAUAUCUCUUUAUAGGAAAUUUCUUUGCUCACACGGUCUCUUUUAUAAGAAACUAGACUAAUUAAGCUUUGAUUACAUAUUUUAUUCAGCCUAUAAUUCCACACCAUCAAUUUAUGGUGAUUUUCUAAAAUCACGUUACUGCUGCUGUCCUAAGCAAAAUAUUACAAUUUGCUCUUAAAUUUCCAAGUCCAAACACUUAUGAACUCACCAUUUGAGUUUAAAACAUAUCAUGGCCACAUCAUAUCUUAUUAAAUCAACUCAUUAUGUCCUAUUAUGAUUGAAUUUACUCAACGUUUAAUCACUUAAAACUUACCUCGGAAGUGGUCGACGACUAGAUAUCCACGGCAUUCGUUUACUUUCUCUUUUCCCCUAUCCGACUUUGAUCCUCUUUGCUCUUAAGCUUAAGUAAAACAAUAGAUUUGCUUAAGUACUUAACUAAUAUUAUUCACUUAACAAUCGCAUUUCGCAAUCACAUAUCAUUUAAUCUAUAUCUAAAACAAUAGAUUUCAAUAUGUAUCAUAUUUAAUAAUUCAUGCCAUGACUCGAUCUCAUGCUUAUUUAAUUUAUAUCUAAUUCACAUUCACAAGCAAAGAGCCACUUAAUUUAUCAUGCUUCCUUAUACAUGAAUUUAAUCAUAUUGCCGAAUACAUAUAUAUAUCAUCAAACAGAUAUUUAUUCACAUAACAACAAUUCAUUCACAUCUCUAUAAAUGGUCAUAAUCGGACAUUAUAAACAAAUCAACUAGUUUAGAAUUCAAAUUCUUCUAACCAUUCCUCAAUCAUUUACUCAAUGAACAACAAUCCAAGCACAUCAAAGCAUAGUCGAAUGUAUCAUUCUUCUUAAAUUCAAAAAUAAAUGCAUGGGCUAACUUCAAAAUCUAUUUAACAACUCAACUUUAUAAACACAUAUUCGGCUAGGAAGAAAGAUUGAUAAUUUAACAACCUUAGCUUAACAUAUAAUUUGUUGUAACACAUCUUUAAGCAUUCUUUUAUUCCAUCAACUCAAAACACAUUCAUCACUCACAAUAACUAUGUUCAUAUUCGGCAAUGGCCUCCAAUAUAGUGACCCAUUCUUCUCAACUAGCACCUAGUGUACACACAUGAUCAUUUGUUUGAUUCAAACACCUAUCCACCAAAAAUUCAUCCAAAUUAACAAGAACAACAACCACAUUCCUUGUUAUCUACCAUGACCGAAACCCAUAUUCAUUCACCAAAUAUCAAAAAUUUAACAUGGGUCCAAUAAGGAACUUAGAAAUUUACUAGGAUUUAACUAAUAUUUCAAAAAUUAACCAAAACUUCUUACCUUAAUAUUGACCUUAGAUGACCGAAUGCUUCACUCCCUUCUCCGUCUUUUCAUUUCGUCCAAGAAGAACCGAUUUCUUCUCUUGUUUUCAUCACACUUUCAUUCUUUUCUUUCUUUUAUUAUCCUUAGUAUUUCUUUUAUUUAUUUCCUUUCUUUUACAUAAAAUAAUGACCAUUUCAUGAAGAUUCACUACAUAUUCUAAUAUAUGCACCAUCAUGGCCGGCCACUAUGUAUAAAAAAAGGAGUAUUUGACAUGCAAAACCAUUGUUUUCACUACAUGCUUUAAUAGGUCCUUAUAGAUUAACCUAUCACAUUUCACAAGUGUCACACAUAAGUCCUAUUAACUAAAUUCACAAGCAAUUAACUAAAUCGAAGCUUAAAACUUUCACACAUUCAUAUUCACAUAUUUUAGACAAUAAUAAUCAUAUUCAAAUAAUUUGGUGACUCGGUUUAGCAGUCCCGAAACCGCUUUCCGACUAGGGUCACUUUAGGGCUGUCACAAGAACAUAUUUUGAAUUAUGUACAAUGAGAAAUUUGAUUCGUAAUGAAGAGUGGUCAGAUUAGUCAAACAGUGAAACAUGGGAAACUUUAAGAAAAAUCUGGUAUUGAUUGGCCAUACCAAAAAUUCUGAAAAUUUUAUGGAUAGAAGAUAUAUGAGCCUAUUUUCAGGGAAAAUUAACGGCACUUGAUUUGGAGUUUCGUAGCUCCAGUUAUAAAUAAUUUAGUGACUGUUGCUUAGAAAGACAGCUUGCAGUGAAAUUAUGAUUAUGUGGUAAACAUUGACAAAAAUUUAUUAAUGAGUUGCUUAUUGAUUUCCUAUAAGCUUACUAUGAUCUGUACGUGUGGUUGGACGAAUAUUGUAAGGGGUUAAUACGUAGUUUGUAUUUGAAUAGUUAGAUUAACGUGUUAGUAAUCCAAUUGUAGGCGGUUCGUGUGUGGAUCUCGUCAGCAUAUCGUCGCAAACAGGUGUGUAACUGACACCCUCUCAUGGACUAGAUUCGCAAAAGCCGAAAAGCCGAAAUGCCGAAAAGUCGGUAUUUGGGGAAUUUGCGAGUGUGCGAAUGCUCGUAAGAUAGUUGGGUUUGUAUAUUUGGUAAUCUAAAGUAAUAAACUGCAGUACGCGCGAUUUCAUCCAUUUUGAUAAUUUGGGCUUAAUGGGCCAAAGAUCGGGAUCAUAGGCCAACGGGCCCAAUUUGGUAAGUAUGCGCGGUAAGUGUUUUGAUAGUACGUAAAUAGUUAGGAUAUGCAUGAAAACCCUAAAAGUAGCUAAAUUACUAUAAUACCCCUAUGCAUGGAAUAUUACUGUUAUACCCCUAGGUGCAAAAUUACCGUUAUACCCCUAGGGUUAAUUUUGACUAAAAAGCAUGACGAUCUGAUUCUGUAUGAUGUAUGCCAUGAUUAUAUAUCUGUUGCAUGGGGACAUGGGUUAUAUUAUGGAGGAAGCGUCCUGGUGGCUGUGCCACGAUUAUCUGAUCUCGUGGCUCUGCCACAUAUAUCUGUUGUGGUGGCUCUGCCACAAUAUCUGUAUCUGGUGACUUUGUCACAAUAUUUGGCAGCCUCGCUGCGAUUUCUGUGGUGUUUAGCGGUUGGGUGGGUCGAGUAGUCUCCCCACAUGGUGUAAGGCUGGUAUGGGGGUGUUAUGGAUGAAUCUGGGUUAGGUUUCUGCAUAUACAUGUAAUAUCUGUUCUGUUUUGUUAUGAGCCUAUGGGCUUUAUUCUGAAUUCUGUUCUGGGCUAAGGCCAACUUAUUCUAUUUCUGUGGUUUGAGCUGAUAUAGGCUAUGGUUGGGUUAAUUUACACACUGAGUUUCCCCAAACUCACCCCUUUUAUUUUCAUCCACGCAGGUAAUCCCCAACCAUAGUGGGCUUGGAGCUGUGAGGGAAUUCAGAGUGGCCACCCGUUCUGAAAGUUUGAUUUUCUUCUGGUGAACUGGACAUCCUUUUAUUUACGUUUGAAGUUUUGGGUUUUUAAAUGUAAUAAGGCCGCUUAAUUAUUUUUGAUGGUUUUAAUAUGUAUUACUAAUAUAGGCAUUACUUAUUUUAACUGUUGAAAUUGGAUAGCUUUAGGGCGCGUUUUCGAAAACAACAAUUUAUUUCAAAAUAACACGAUAACAAGCAAAGCUUCUGCAAUGAAAGUAUUUUCCAAAAUUAAUCACUUUUCCUAAAAAAUGACUUAAUCAAAUCGGUUUCCUAGAAAUAUCCAUGACGUUAAUGUGUGGCAAUGGCGGUAUGCAUGUCUAGGAUUGGAUCCGAAGGGAGCUUGGUACUUAAGCAGUCCGAUAGACUCACCUCCUCUUUUUCGGUUUCCUACCUGGUGCACAGCUUCCAUUCACUUUAACCUAUAAUGAAAUUAUCUUUUAAAACACUAAGUAGGUUUUUCUGGAUCAACAAUAUAAAAUGUUUUGAACGCUUCGAUGUGGCAUGUCGGAUCCGGCCAUAAUGUCUGGGCCGGGUUUGGGGUGCUACAUUAACCUUUUGACACGUCAAAUAGUAGGACACAAAAGUGAUUACCUCCCGUUUCAUAUCGAGCCACCAAUAAAGUUCUUGAAGAUCCUGGUACAUCUUAUUCCCACCAGGAUACAUAGCAUAGGGGUUAUUAUGUGCCUCCUACAGAAUUGAGUGCUUUAAUUCUUUGUCAUUGGGUACACAAAUCUGACCUUUGAACCAUAAUACAUUAUUAGUAUUCAAGCUAAAAUCAAAAUUCUCGUUUGAGCCAACAUGUUGCAAUCGCUGUAUUAAGGAUUCGUUAUUUUGUCGUUUAGCUCAAAUUUGCUCUAUCCAAAUCGGUUUCACCUGGAGUUCAGCUAACAACCCUCCAUCCUCAACCAAACUUAAACGAGCUAACAUUGCUCUCAGAUCCACCAUUACUUUAUGGCAAAAGGCAUCAACUACCACAUUAGGGUUACUUGAUUAUAUUCUAUUAUGCAAUCAUAUUUUUUUAGUAACUCGAUCCAUCGGCGCUAAAAAAGGUUCAACACUUUUUGGGUUAACAAAUAUUUGAGGCUCUUGUGAUCAGUGUAAAUAAUACACCUUUCACAAUACAGAUAGUGUCUCCAGAUUUUCAAAGCAAAUAUGGCCUCAGCUAGCUCAAGAUCAUGGGUGGGGUAAUUACCCUCAUCUGUCUUCAUCUUCUGUAAUACGUAAGCGACCACCUUACCAACUUGCAUAAGCACACAUCCUAACCCAACAUGUAAAGCAUCACUGUAAACCACAAACUCCCGUCCCGAUUCUGGUUGAACCAAAACAGGAGCUUGUGUCAGAACGAACUUGAGUUUAUCGAAACUAGACUGCUAUGCCUCAGACCACACGAAUGGAGCAUUCUCACGUAACAGCUUUGUCAAAGGUGAUACAAUCAGAUAAAACCCUUUGACGAACCUUCAGUAGUACCUAGAUAAACCAAAGAAGCUACGAAGUUCGAACAUGUUUUUUGGUUGUUUCCACUCAACAAUAGCUUUAAUUUUAUUGGGAUCAACUCGCAUCCCUUCCGCCGUAACCACAUGACCCAAAAAGGCAACCUCCUACAACCAAAGCUCACAUUUGCUGAACUUAACAUACAACUAUUUUCCUCGAAGAUUCUGAAGUACAAUACGAAGAUGACCAUCUUGCUCAGUUUCAAUUUUAGAGUAGAUCAAAAUAUAAUCGAUAAAAACCACACAAAUUGAUCCAAAUAUGGUUGAAACACCCGAUUCAUUAAGUCUAUAAAAGCUGUUGGGACAUUCUUAAUCCGAAAGGUAUUAUCGAAAACUCAUAAUGUCCAUAACGAGUUCUGGAAGUAGUUUUGUACACAUCAGUCUCUUUGACCUUGAGCGGAUGGUAACCAGAGUGUAGGUCAAUUUUAGAAAAGACAGACGCUCCCUGAAACUGGUCGAACAAGUCAUCAAUCCUUGGUAACAGAUACUUAUUCUUGAUCGUCAACUUGUUCAAUUGCCUAUAGUCAAUACACAUCUUUAUCGACCCAUCCUUCUUCUUAACGAACAAUACCGGUGCCCCCCAUGAAGACACAUUCGGUUGAAUAAAUCCUCUAUCAAGGAGUUCCUGAAGCUGUGCUUUUAAUUCAGUCAGUUCUUUUGGUGCCAUACGAUAGGGAGCAAUGGACACUGAAGUAGUACUUGGUAAUAGAUCAAUUCCAAACUCCACAUUUCUAUCCAGAGGUACUCCAGGCAAUUCCUCGAGAAAGACAUUUGGGAAUUCUCUUACGGUACGGAUAUCUCCCAGUAAUAACUUUUUGGAAGCAGAAUUGGAUACAUAAGCUAGGUAUGCCUCACACCCCUUUCAGACUAAUUUGUUUCCUACUAGAGCCGAGAUUACAUUAGUGAAGUAAUCUCGACGCUCUACAACCAUUACCACCUCUUUAUUCUCAGUCGGUCUCAGAGUAACUCUUUUGGUUGCACAGUCUAAACUGACCCGAUAUUCAACGAGCCGAUCUAUUCCAAGAAUUAAAUCAACCUCGUUAAAGGGCAAUUCCAUUAAAUCAGCUGGAAAUAUCAUACCCUAAAGCUCUAGGGGUACUAGUCUGUAUACCCUACCGACUCGAAUUAACUGACCCAAUGGACUAAUUACAGAAAACUCUCUAGCAGUAUUCUCAGCAGUUAAAAACCCAGAGUUAUAGAAACAGCACUAGCUAUGUACGAAUGAGUAAAGCCAAUAUCAAUGAGAGUAUAAUACGAUACAAAGUGGAAAAAAAAGGUACGUGCAAUGACAUCAGCAUUAUCGCUCUUCUCGCGACAUCUAGAUGCAUAAACUAGUGUCGGCUGGCGAGUCUCAGCCUAACCAACACCUCAACCCGGUGUUCACCAUCUUCUCUCAGCUUCGUUACCACCACUACCAGUACCACAACUUCUGAAAGGUUGCUGAGUCUCUCUCAGAGGUCGAACAGAGUUUCGGGUCGAAGUUUGUACCACACUUGGCACUGAAUCAGGUCGACGGGGACAAUCCCUAACUCGAUGCUUCAUCGAACAACAACAGAGGCACGCUCUUAAUUUCCUCCAACAUUUGCCCCGAUGGUGCUUCCUACAAUCAGUACACUACUAAAUUUCAGUCACUACAACUAGUGUCUCGACUCUCGGGGGCAUGUCAAAACUCACUCGCUUCUUAGGGUGUUGAGCAAAACUAGAGGGACCCGAAUCUCUCUUAACUUUAUUCUAAUCCUUCUCACGGUCCCGUAGUUCAUGCUCAAUGCACUUUACUUCUUUCACUAUUUUUGCUUUAUCAACCAAAAUCAUGAAUACCCGCUCCUUCUGAGGAGCUAUCAAAACCCGCAGUUCAGAUCUUAAGCCUUCUUCGAACCUCACACACUUGUCGUAGUCAGAAGCUACCAAAGUCCGUGCAUAUUUUCCCAAUCGCAGAAACUCGACUUCAUACUUAGCCACAGAUCGGUCACCCUAAACUAGGCUCAUAAGCUCGCGUCGGUAAGCCUCAUCAUAGCUUGCCCCCACAUACUUACCCUUGAAGGCAUUCUUGAAAUAGUCUCAGUUCACUUGCUCAGGUUGACCACCGUGUUCAACAGUUAGCCACCACUGAUAAGCUUUGUCUUGGAGUAGAGACACUGCGCCCCUCAUUUUUUGAGUAGGAGUGCAAUUAAGAUCAAUCAUAAUAUGUUCGGUAGCAUUGAGCCAAUACUCAACAAUAGUAGAGUGAUACGGCCGAGCCCCGAGACUCAUCAAGGACUGAUAAAGAACCUUUACGGCUGCCCUUUGGACCGAUAACUUAACCUCAUCCAAAAGAUUCAAAGAGACUGUUUCGGCUUUAACUGAUCGACUAUGAAGAAAGAAUGUUGCUGGGCUCAUUGAAUGAACGUAGACAAGUCACCCGAGCAAGCCUUGCAACCUUCUACAAGCCCAUCUUGUUCAUUCGUAGCCCAUUGAGCUCAACUCCAGCUCGUUUUUAACUUAGCAAUAUUUUGUUGCUAGAAAUAAGGAUUUCAAUCCAUUUUAGUUAUUUUAGUUUGAUUCUUUAAUUAUGUCAUAGUUUGAACAUCAUUAUAAUGAGUCUUUAAUUAUGUUAUAGUUUGAACAUCAUUAAUAUGUGUUCUGCAUUUAAUAAAGUCAUGCAUUAUGUAACUUUCAUGUUAGUUAAGUUUGCAUCAUUAAAUUAAGUCAUGCAUUAAGUAACUCAUUUUUUCAUUUAGUUUACAUCUUAAUUAAAUUAUGCAUUUAAACAUCUUAUUUGUUUGUAUUAGAGUGUUAUUUAAUUUGGCUGUUACUUUUGCAUAAGUUAUAGUGUGUUUAAUAUUUCUUAAAUAAAAUUAAUUGUGUGUUCAAUUUUUGUUGUAGGAAAGUUAAAAAGGCUGGAUACAUAUUUUAAAGCUACAAUAGGGCUGAUCAUUUGCCAAGAAGAAUCAAAUGCUGUCACAUUCAAAUGGCUGUUCAAUUUUGGCAUAAAAAAGUGUGCAUUUGGCCACUUAAUUGCUGGUGCAUAAAAGGAACAUUUUUUUUGGAUAUUGAAGCACUUAAAGCUUAUUAUGGUGGCUUUUCAAAUGGACCAAGAGUGUCUCUUCAAGUCUGAUCAGUUUUUGGAGUCUUUUUCCUUCAUUAUGACGCCAUUAAAAGAGGAAGUUACAUAAGCUUUAUGAUAUGGUUACAAGGGAGUUGAAGGGACAUCAACUAAGUACAAUAAGAACACAUUAAGUCUUCAUUAAUAGAUAGAGUCAUGCCUUUUCAUCUACACCAGGAUCAAAUGAAGAGACAUGACCAUUAGAUUUCCUACAUAAGUUAAAAAUGAAAUUAACGCUUGUAAUAACCUUAGUUAAUUGUUGAAGGUGAAAUGUCACAAAUAGGCAUUCGAAUAGUCAUAAUAGUGCCUAUAAAAUAGAUUGUAAAAAGACAUUAUUUUAGUUAAGAAAAAUUUUGAUACUUUUAUGGAUUUUUACAUUUUUGUGAGUUUAAUUCAACUCUCAUUGUUUUCUAAGACUCAUGCUAACUUAUCUAGCAUUGAUAGUGGCGUCCAACUUGUUUUCUUUGUGAACUUAUCACUCUUUGAGUGUGGCGUUCAACCCCAAUACCUUUGAUUCCUAUCUCCUUAUAGAUAGUGGGUCAAAGUCCUUUUUAACCAUCAACCUUUCCACCUUAAAAGUCAAUAUCAGAUUCGGGUCAAAACUCCUUAUAGUAUUGGUUCUUUCUUGGACCUUAACCUUUUUCCAUCCAUUCGAAUUAUUCCUUUCAAAGUUAUUUUAUUUUUCUUUAUUUAACUGAAACAUUCACUUAGACUAUUCCAAAAUACUUAAAAACUAUCUUUGCUUUAGCCUACACUUAGCCAAAUUCACUCAACUCCAAAUUGAACAAAACUUCUCUAUUUUACGAUCAGGCAAUACUACGACUCGAAAUCAAAUCACGAGAUAUGUUCAUAUCAAGGAGCGACUCCUAUGACACCCCUAAAUAGUUCAGCACCAUUUGACCAAAGUUGUUCAGUAAUCGACCCCAGGCCUCCCGAUCGUGAAUGGGUCCCAAUAACCAUCUCAAGAGCCCAACUUAUGGCCUGGGACAGUGUGUCGUCCCCAGCCGUAGGAGUCUAAGACUCCGCCUCUGCAGUGGGAGUACUAACUGUAUCACUGAUCUCCAGAUUAGACAUGCUACCCAUAGAAGAUGACUCAGCUUGAGCUCCUCUUUGGCGUCCUCGAUGCCCCCGCAAACCCCAUCCACGACUACCAUGUAAACUCAUAUUGCAUUCUAGCUAUAAUUUCAGAAUACACAGAUCAGUUCACAAAUCCUACAUAACGGUUCCAUCAGUUUACACCAAGCAAUCUACCAAUAACUGUUAGGUAUCAUAAUCUUUACAAAAGAACAUAAAUACUUACUGGGUCAGCGUUGGAGGCUCGGUCAUUCCCUAAUGUUUCAGUGUUUCUAUAUUAGUUCGGCUAAAAAUUAUUACUAGGCAUAAUUCUCACACAUUAAGAGCCUAAACACAGUUCGAGUGUUAGCAAACCUACCUUUGAUACCACUAAAUAUAACACCCUAAACCUGACCUAGACGCCCAAACCAAGUUGGAGAGUCACAUCAACCAUUCUAAAAGCCAUACUACCAUAACGCAAUCAAAUUAAACAAGGCGUCACAUAUAUUCAUCCAAUUGUAAUUUAAAGACAUAAUCUUCAUAAAUCCAUAACAUCAUAAAACAAAUAUCCUUAAUAAUAAUGCUAGCAGAAUAUCAAUAAGUGUCUAACCGAGCUUCCGCGACACCGAUCCGAUCAAGACUGAUUACCACCUGUAACCCAAACAAUAACAGGGUGAGUUAUAAGCUCAGUGCGUAAAAAGAAAUGUAAUUUACCAACGGUGACUUAUGGAGAAUAUCCAGUUCAGAGAUUCAGUUCAUCCUAGAAGCAUAUUUGAUCUAGGCUCAGAGCAAAGGCAUUAAAUAUGUAUACAUGUAUUAUUAUAGUUCAAAUAUAGUUCAGAUCAGAUUCAGAUGCAAUAUUCCUAUUUUCAUCCUUUGCACACCAACUUUUCCCAUCCCAACACACCACUAUGGACAUUUAAUGCCCAUCCAUCCCUUCACAUCUUUAAAGUGUUCAAUGACACUUUCAUAGAAACGCAGCUUAGCUCCUAGUUCAAUGUACGACAAGCGCUAGAAUCAGAGAGAUACUUAUUGUGGCAUAACCAUGAUUUCAAUACAGACUCUCCUUCUUCCUCACAAUCUUCCACCACAUCUUAAUGCAGAAUACAAUAGUUCGUAACACAUGUGUAGCCAUUCUGAUAAAAUACAUAAUUAAUAAAACAGUUCAAUAACAGAGUGGUGUUACAAUGCAUAUUCAAGUAUGUGAUUCACAGAUCAGUCUCAUGUAAGCAAAUUCAGUCAUUCAUAAAUUAAGGAAACCAAUAUCAGAGUUUAGCACCCUUCUCGGCCUCAAAAAUAGUUCUCGAAUCCAAUAUCCUGCCACACGACCUGGGCACACGCUCGUGUACCUUGGUCGUGUGGUUUUUAAGUACAAAUAGUGAGUUACACAACCUGGGCACAUGUCUGUGUCAUUGGCUGUGUGGUUUUAUGCUGCAAACAGUGACUUACACGACCUGGGCACAAGGUGGUUUUUACACCCUAAAUAGUGAGUUACACUGUCUGUGCAUACACCCGUGUCCCUGGCUGUAUGAACCUUGCACUAAAUUGGCCUAAACAUACACCCGUGUAGUCGCCCGUGUGGUCUUAAUUCAAUAAACAAUGAUUUACACGACCAUUUACACGGCCUACCAUACGCCCGUGUGACGCACACGGCCUAGUCACACACCCGUGUGCCUGGACGUGAAGCAUUGACAGCCACCAUUUUCGGCGAUAAAAGUUACAAAAACUAAGGUUUCCAAUACACACUUGAGACGAUUUGAAAGUAGUGACAAUGAAGAGAAGUUCUGAAGCCUAAAACGAUCAUUCAAUAACUCAAUUAAUCAAGUUUAUCAACAACAAUGCACAAUUAUACUCAAAAUACCUAUGUCGAAAGUUUUCACACCAACUUUCAACGGAAUCAAUACUUACAAAAAAGAAUCAACGACGAUUACUCGAAUUGACUUGCUGAGGUUCGCUACUCUCAAUAUCCCCGCCUAACAGGGAAACCAAACGAUUGACUAUCAGAGAUUCACGCAACACACACAAACAACCAUCUCAAAGUAUACUAUGUAAAGCAAAAAGAGAAAACCUAAAAUUUAAAGAAUCGACAUCAAAACUUACUCAAUAACCUCCUAACAGAGAAUGCUAACAGCGUAACUUCAACUAGUCCAUAUUCCUUACGAUAAUUAAAGAGGAAAAGGGAAAAUCGAAAAAGAAGAAAAAGUAGAGAAGUAAGAAAAAGAAAACGAAAAAGGAAAAACAAGAAAAAUAAUAGGAAAGAAGAACUAACGUUAAUUGAUUAUAAAUUAACUUCCAUCCAGACUUCCAGCAUUUAGCAAAAAUAUUUUCCUUACGCAUACUACAGGAUUCAAACUCAAAACCAGAUAGAAUACAGACAGAUGUUUAACCAGUGAACCAACAGGCUCAUCCUCAUCACCCUUUUACAAAGAAUUGAACUUAAGCAGGUAGUGCGUGUUUGUGGGUUGAUUCUAAAAUAACAAAACUUUUAAUGAUGCGACUUGAACUUUAGACCUUAAAAUUUUGGGGCGUUACACAGUCCAUACUAGUUGCACCAACUCAAUCCGAUCAAUUCUAGUCACACCUGCCAGAACAUAGUGCACCGUCCUGUGCAUGAAUAAUAUUAAAAUUUUAAAGCUUUUAAUUAUUUACUAUUAUGCUAAAAACAUAAUUGAAACGUAACUAAAUAAAAAUGCUACAUUGGAAUGUAAUGUUUUUUUAAAAAAUGGAAUAUACUUUCACAUUCAAAAUAUAUUUAAGAAAAAAUCAUUCACCCGACUCAAAAAAAAAUCAUUCACCUUCCAGCUUCUUUUAUUAAGUAAAUGAGCUAAAUCCUUAAAAUUUCAUAUUAAAUGAUGAAUUUUUAUUAUUAAUUUUGAAUUUAUUUGAAUGAUAAAUUUUUAUUUGUUAAUUUUAUUAAUAAAUAUUUUAUAUUUGAAAUGUAUUUAGUUUCAUUCAUUUUUUAUUUGUAAUAUAUUUAUAUAUAUAUCUUAAAUAAGUUUAAAAAAUAUUGAUAAAUCUGAAAAGAUAUCUAUCAAUUUCGGUAAAAAAAAAAUCAACCAUCCACUAAUACAAAGAAAAGAAAUCUCAAUUUCUAAAAUUCCAAUUCCUUUAUAUUUAAAGUAGAAGAAAAAUAGCAAUAGGUAUUAACAAUGAAAUUAGAUUUCAAUAUUGCUGUCGCUAGGUAUAAUUUAUUCACAAUUUUUAUAAGAGGUUACAUGUAUUUAAUAUGACAUAAAAAACUAUUAAAUUAACUUUAAGUCAUUAUAAAUUUGUUAAUUAAAUAAUAUGUAAAAUUAAUAGAAAAUAAAAAUAAAACGAAAACGUUGACAAUAAGUUAAAAAUUAAUCCAAAUCAUUAUAGAUAUUUUAUUUAAAAAAUGAACUACAAUUAAAAUGGAAAAAAUAAAAAACAUGUGGCGCUAUUUUGUUUUGGGGGCAUGAAUGGAGCAUCGUUUCAGGGCAAGGGAUUUCUAUUCACUGCUCCAAUGCCUAUAUAAACCUCAAUACCAUGCUUUGUUUUCCUCACUCACAACUAUUCAGAUAAAGAAUUUCGUUUCAUCUGCUUCAUUUGUUUCGAAAUCUCUGAACAAAAAUGGCCUCUUUCAAUUUCAUUUGCAAGCAUUGAUGUUGGGGUAGUAGCUCGUCACCUUCUGCAGCAGCCUCAAACGCAAGGUUUGCCAUCUUUCCCUAAUCUCCCAACGCCAUCCCGACCAUCAUUCCCAUGGCCUGGCGCACUUCCUCCACUUCUUACCACAUUGCCAACAAGACUGCCCCCUCUACCAAGCAUUCCCUCAGUCCCCACAAUCCCAACUGCAAUUCCCCCUAUUCCUUUCUCUUUUCCACCAUUGCCAUCUUUCCCUAAUCUCCCAAACCCUGGGGCACUUCCUCCACUUCCUACCACAUUGCCAAGAGGACUGCCCCCUCUGCCAAGCAUUCCUUCAGUCCCCACAACCCCAACUACAGUUCCCUCUAUUCCUUUCUUUUCUCCACCACCUUCUCAAUCUACUCCUUGAAGUACCCCAUUUUUUUUAUCUGCUGCAACUGGAUCUGGUUUAAUAAGGUUUUUAGUCGUCUUUGUGUCUUUAUUAUGAGUAUUGAUUUUUCCCACUUAUAUUUGUUUGUAUAAAUAGGACUUCUCCAAUUCCCAUUAUUUGAUGUACUUUGAUACGUUGUUGCUUAUUAUAUAUGGGGUAUUUAUAUAUUGAUGUUUUUCCAUGAAGUAAUUAAUUACUGUUAUGAGUUUGGCUAAUUAAGAAAAGAAUCAAAAAAAUGCAGUCAAGAUAAUGAGCAGCCAUACAUCGAGAAGAUGCCUUUGUAGAUAUAAUAAUUCCUGCUUCAUUAUCUCUUUGAAGUUAUCCAUUUACAUAUACGAUUACUUUCCUCUUUUAAUAUAUUUCCAAGAUAAUAUUUUAUAUGAAUGUCUUUAAAUUCGGGUAGUCAGUUUUAUAUAGAUUUCGGUUAUACUAAUUUGUGUGCAUUGUUUUAAUUUUAUAUCAAAAUAUUAAUGUUUUUGAAAUUAAAUCGAUAAUCAAAUCAAUUAAUUCAUCAAUUUUUGAUUCAGUAGAUUCAACCAUCGAUAUAAUUAAUUUACUAUUCAACAAUAUAAAAUAAUAUUAAUUAUUAAAAACCCCAAACUCCUCUAUUUUUAAGGCUUUGAAUUUUAAAAUCCUCUCCCCAUCUUUGAUCUUUCCUAAUUUAUCUUCUUUUUUCCCUUUGAUUGAAUGUUAUAUGUCCAUCUUAGUUUUUCACCAGCAAAAAAAACUUAUUUCAGUAGAAAAAGUAAGAAAAGAAAUGGUGGUUAUUUUUUUAUGUUAGUGUUUUAUUUCAUUGAGUGCAGAAAUGAAGUGUAACAAUAGCUCAAGGGAUUUGAAGUGAAAUUUUUAUUUUUUCGAUUUAGAAAAUGUGAAAAUACGGCUUAAUCGACUAAUGAUUUGCAGUUUAACUGCAGUUUACUCUAGUUCUCGUGCUCAUUGGUUCUUAUUCUGUUUGGUUAGGUUCUAAUAACAUUGAGAAACACCUAACCCCAUUUUUCUACACUAGUGAAAAUUUUGGUCUAUAACACCCUAAACUCGACCUAGGCGUUCAAAUCAAGUUGGAGACUCACAUCAACCGUUCUAAAAGCCAUACCACUAUAACGCAAUCAAAUUAGACAAGUCGCCACAUAUUAUUCAUCACAAUAGUAAUUUAAAGACAUAAUCUUCAUAAAUCAAUAACAUCAUAAAACAAAUAUCCGUAAUAAUAAUGCUAGCAGAAUAUCAAUAAGUGUCUAACCAAGCUUCCGUGACACCGUUCCGAUCAAGACUGAUUACCAUCUGAAACCCAAACAAUAACAGGGUGAGUUUCAAGCUCAGUGCGUAAAAAGGAAUGUGAUUCAACAACGGUGACUUAUGGAGAAUAUCCAGUUCAGAGAUUCAGUUCAUCCUUGAAGCCUGUUUGAUCUAGGCUCAGAGCAGAGGUAUUACAUAUGUAUACAUGUAUUAUUCCAGUUCAAAUAUAGUUCAGAUCAGAUUCAGAUGCAAUGUUUCUAUUUCUAUCCUCUACACACCACUAUGGACAUUUAAUGCCCAUCUAUCUCUGUACAUCUUUAAAGUGUUCAAUGACACUUUCACAAAAAUGUAGCGUAGCUGCUAGUUCAAUGUGCGACAAGCGCUAGAAUCAAAGUGAUACUUAUUGUGGCAUAGCCAUGUUUUCAGUACAGACUCACCUUCUUCCUCACAAUCUCCCACCACAUGUUAAUGCGUAAUACAAUAAUCCGUAACACAUGUUUAACCAUUCUGAUAAAAUACAUAAUUAAUAAAAACCGUUCAAUAACAAAGUGGUGUUACAGUCCAUAUUCAAGAAUGUGAUUCACAGAUCAGUCUCAUGUAAGCAAAUUUAGUCAUUCGUAAAUCAAGGAAACCAAUAUUAGAGUUUAGCACCCUUCUCAGCCUCAAAAACAGUUCUCGGAUCCAACAUCCUGCCUCACGGCCUGGGCCCAUGCCCGUGCGCCUUAGCCGUGUGGUUUUUACACCUCAAACAGUGACUUACAUGGGGCAAAUGUCCAUGUCCCUGGCCAUGUGAACCCUGCACUAAAAUGGCCACACACGGCCUGAACACACGCCUUUGUGGUCGUCGGUGUCUUCUUAAUUCAAUAAACAGUGAGUUACACGGCUGUUCACACGGCCUCCACACACCCGUGGGACACACAAUGCCUAGUCAUACACCCGUGUACCUGUUGUGUGGCGUUGACAGCCAUCAUUUUCGAUGAGAAAACUAGCAAAAACUAAGGCUUCCAUUACGUACCUGAGACAAUUUCAAAGUAGUGACAAUAAAGAGAAUUUUUGAAACCUAAAACUACCAUUCAAUAACUCAAUCAAUCAAGUUUAUCAACAACAAUGCACAAUUAUACUCAAAAUACCUAUGUCAAAAGUUUUGACACCAACUUCCAAAAAAAUCAAUACUUACAAAAAAUUAACAACGAUUACUCGAAUUGACUUGCUGAGGUUCACUGUUUUCAAUAUCCCCGCCUAACAGGGAAACCAAACGAUUAACUAUCAGAGAUUCACGCAACAAACUCAAACAACCAUCUCAAAGUAUAAUAUGUAAAGAAAAAAGAGAAAACCUAAAAUUUAACGAAUCGACAUCAAAACUUACUCAAUAACCUCCCAAAAUAAAAUGCUAACAAUGUAACUUCAACCUAAAAUUUAACGAAUCAACAUCAAAACUUACUCAAUAACCUUCUAAAAUAGAAUGCUAACAAUGUAACUUCAACUAGUCCGUAUUCCUUACGACAAUUAAAGAGGAAAAGGGAAAAUUGAAAAAGAAGAAAAAGUAGAGAAGGAAGAAAAAAAAAAGGGAAAAAUGAAAAACAAUAGGAAAGAAAAACUAACGUUAAUUGAUUAUCAAUUAACUUCCAUUCAGACUUCCAACAUUUAGCAAAAAUAUUUUCCUUACGCAUACAAAGAAUUGAACUUAAGCGAACCAUCAGGCUCAUUCUUGUCACCAUUUUACAAAGAAUUGAACUUAAGUGGGUAGUGCUUGUUUGCGGGUUGGUUCUAAAACAACAAAACUUUUAAUAAUGCGACUCGAACUUCAGACCUUAAACUCAAUCACAGAUUACAAAACCAUAGAUACAAAAAUUAGUUACUGUAUAUUUUCAUAAACAAGUUCUUAAAAUUUUGGGGCAUUACAACUCUCUCCCCCUAAAGGAAAUUUUGGCUCGAAAUUUUUACCUAAGUCAAACAGAUACAGAUAUAGCCAUCGGAUAGAUUCCUCCGGCUCUCACGUGGCUUCCUUAGUACUGUGAUUCCGCUAGAGGACCUUCACUAGAGGAAUAGUUUUCUUUCUCAGUUUCUUAAUGUCACUUUCUAAGAUCUGAAUAGGCUCUACCUCGAAUGUCAAGUCUGGUCGUAAUUCGACCUCGUCAAUCGUAACGAUAUGUGACAAAUUCAAUCGGUACCGUCUCAACAUCGAGGCAUGAAACACAUUAUGAAUUCAAUCCAGCUCCGAUGGUAACUCUAACUUGUAAGCAAUAGGUCCAACUUACCUUAAGAUACAGUAAGGCCUUAUGAAUCUCGGGCUUAGCUUUCCGUUACGUCCAAAUUGGAGGAACUUUUUCCAAAUUGAUACCUUUAGAAACACUUGAUCACCUAACGAAAACUCAAUAUCCUUCUUUUUUAAAUCUUCAUAAGACUUUUGUCUAUUAGACAUGGCUUUCAAUCGAUCCUGAAUUACAUUCACAAUGCUCUCGAUUUCAGAAACCAGCUCAGAACCCAAUAGACGGCGUUCACUCAACUCCAUCCAACAUAACGGAAUAGGGUACUUACGACUAUAUAUAGCUUCGUAAGGUGCCAUCUGAAUACUAGACUGAAAGUUAUCAUUGUAAGCAAACUUCGUUAACGGUAGAUACUCCUUCCAACUACCUCUGAAGUCUAUCACAAAACCCCGAAGCAUAUCUUCUAGAAUCUGAAUGACUCGUUCUGACUGUCCAUCGGUCUGAGGGUGAUAUGUAGUACUAAACUUAAGUCGAGUGCCUAAAGCCUCAUGAAGUUUCUUUCAGAACCGAAAGGUAAAUCGCAGAUUUCUACAAUGAAUAAUCCAUUCGGAUAGCAAUGAAAUGAGCCGAUUUGGUCAACUGGUCAACUAUAACCCAAACUGAAUCCUUUUUAGCAGGAGUUAAGGCAACCCUGUAACAAAAUUCAUUGUUAUCCGCUCCCAUUUCCACUGCGAAAUCUUUACCAGUUGAAGCACUCCAGAGGGCAACUAAUGUUUGGCUUUAACCUUUUGACACGUAAAAUAGUAGGACACAAAAGUGACUACCUCCCGUUUUAUGGCAAGCCACCAAUAGAGUUCUCGGAGAUCCUGGUACAUAUUAUUUCCACCAGGAUGCAUAGCAUAUAGGCUAUUGUGUGCCUCCUGUAAAAUCGAGUGCCUUAAUUCUUUGUCAUUAGGUACACAUAUCCGACAUUUGAAGCAUAACACAUUAUCGGUAUUCAAGCUAAAAUCAAAAUUCUCGUCUGAGCCAACAUGUUGCAAUCGCUGUAUUAAGGAUUCGUCGUUUUGUUGUUUAGCUCAACUUUACUCUAUCCAAACCGGUUUCACCUGGAGUUCAGCUAACAACCCUCCAUCCUCAACCAAACUCAAACGAGCUAACAUUGCUCUCAGAUCUGCCACUGCUCUAUGGCUAAGGGCAUCAGCUACCACAUUAGCCUUACUUGGAUGAUAUUCUAUGGUGCAAUCAUAAUCUUUUAGUAACUCGAUCCAUCGGUGCUGACGAAGGUUCAACUCUUUUUGGGUUAACAAAUAUUUGAGGCUAUUAUAAUUAAUGUAAAUAAUACACAUUUCACCAUACAGAUAGUGCCUCCAAAUUUUCCAAGAAAAUACAACCUCAGCUAACUCAAGAUCGUAGGUGGGGUAAUUACCCUCAUGUGUCUUCAUCUUCUACGAUGCGUAACCAACUACAUUACCAUCUUCACUAAGCACACAUCCUAACCCAACAUGUGAAGCAUCAUUGUAAACCAAAAUUGAACCAAAACAGGAGCUUGUGUCAGAACGGACUUGAGUUUAUCGAAACUAGACUACUGUGCCUCAGACCACAUGAAUGGAGUAUUCUUAUGUAAUAGCUUCAUCAAAGGUGAUGCAAUCAGAGAAAACCCUUCGACGAACCUUCGGUAGUACCCAAAGAAACCAAAGAAGCUACAAAGUUCGGACGCGUUUUUUGGCUGUUUCCACUAAAAAACAGCUUUAAUUUUCUUGGGAUCAACUUGCAUCCCUUCCACCGUCACCACAUGACCCAAAAAGGUGACCUCCUGCAACAAAAACUCACACUUGUUGAACUUAGCAUACAACUGUUUUCCUCGCAGUAUCUGAAGUACAAUACGAAGAUGACCAUCGUGCUCAAUUUUAAUUUUAGAGUGGAUCAAAAUAUUAUCAAUAAAAACCACUACAAAUUUAUCCAAAUACGGUUGAAACACCCGAUUCAUUAAUUCUAUAAAUGCCACCGAGACAUUUGUUAAUCUGAAAGGCAUUACCAAAAACUCGUAAUGUCCAUAACAAGUUCUGAAAGUAGUUUUGUACACAUCAGUCUUUUUGACCUUGAGCUUAUGGUAACCUGAACGUAGGUCAAUUUUUGAAGAGACGUACGCUCCCCGAAACUGGUCGAACAAGUCAUUAAUCCUUGGUAACGAAUACUUAUUCCUGAUCGUCAACUUGUUCAACUGCCUAUAGUCAAUACACAUCCUCAUCGGCCCAUCCUUCCUCUUAAAAGACAAUAUCGGUGCCCCCCACGAAGACACACUCGGUCGAAUAAAUCCUCUAUUAAGGAGUUUCUGAAGCUGUGCUUUUAAUUUAGUCAGUUCUUUCAACACCAUAUGAUAAAGCGCAAUGGACACUGAAGCAAUACAUGGUAACGGAUCAAUUCUAAACUCCAUAUUUCUAUCCAGAGGUACUCCAGGCAAUUCCUCGGGAAAGACAUUUGGGAAUUCUCUUACGGUACAGAUAUCUCCUAUUGACAACUUUUUGGAAGCAGAAUCGGAUACAUAAGCUAGGUAUGCCUUACACCCCUUUCGGACCAAUUUGUUUCCUGGUGAAGUAAUCUCGACGCUCUCCAACCAUUACCACCUUGUCAUUCUCAAUCAGUUUCAGAGUAACUCUUUUGGUUGUACAGUCUAAACUGACCCAAUAUUCAACGAGUCAAUCCAUUCCCAGAAUUAAAUCAACCUCGUUAAAGGGCAAUCCCAUUAAAUCAGCUGGAAAUAUCAUACCCUGAAGCUCUAAGGGUACUCUUCUAUAUACUCUAUCGACUCGAAUUAACUGACCUAACGAACUAACCAUAGAAAACUCUCUAGCAAUAUUCUCAGCAGUUAAACCCAGAGUUACAGAAACAACACUAGCUAUGUACGAAUGAGUAGAGACAAUUUCAAUAAGAGUAUAAUACGGUACAAAGUGGAUAAAGAAGGUACCUGCAAUGACAUUAGCAUUAUUGCUUUCCUCGCGACGUCUAGUCAUAUAAACCAGUACCGGUUGACGAGCCUCAACCUAACCAGCACAUUUACCCGGUGUUCACUGUCCUCUCCUAACUUAGUUACCACCAUCCCUAUCAGUACCACGACCUCUAAAAGGUUGCUGAGUCUCUCUCGGAGGUCUAACAGAGUUUAGGGCCGAAGUCUGUAUGACACCUAGCUCUGAAUUAGGUCAACAGGAUCGAACCACAAUAGAGGCACGCUCUUAAUUUCCUCUAGCAUUUGCCCUGGUGGCGCUUCCUACAAUCAGUACACUGCUGAAUCUCUGUCACUACAACUGGUGUCCCGACCCUUGGAGACAUGUCAAACCUCACCCGCUUCUUAGGGCGUUGAGCAGAACUAGAGGGACUCGAAUCCCUCUUAAGUUUAUUCUGAUCCUUCUUACAAUCGCGCCGUUCACACUCAAUGCACUUCACUUCUUUUACUAUUUUCACUUUAUCAACCAAAAUCACGAAUACCCGCUCCUUCAGAGGAGCUAUCUAAACCCACAGAUCAUAUCUCAAGCCUUCUUCGAGCCUCACACACUUGUUGUAGUCAAACGCUACCAAAGUCCAUGCAUAUUUUUUCAAGAGUAGAAACUCGGCUUCAUACUCAGCCACAGAUCGGUCACCCUGAACUAGACUCAAAAACUCGCAUCGGUGAGCCUCAACAUAGCUUACCCCCACAUACUUACCCUUGAAGGCAUUCUUGAAAUAGUCUCAGUUUACUUGCUCAUGCUGAGCACCGUGCUCAACAGUUAGCCAUCACUGAUAAGCUUUGUCUUGGAGUAGAGACACUGCGCCCCUCAAUUUUUGAGUAGGAGUGUAGUCAAAAUCUAUCAUAACACGUUCGGUAGCCUUGAGUCAAUACUCAGCAAUAGUAGAGUGAUAUGACUGAGCCCCGAGACUCAUCAAGGGAUGACAAGGAACCUUUGAGGCUGCCCUUUGGACUGAUAACUCAAGCUCGAGCCAAAAGAUUCAAAGAGGCUGUUCCAGCUUUAGCUGAUCGAGUAUGGAGAGCAAAUGUUGUUGGGCUCAUUGAAUGAACAUGGACAAGUCACCCGAGCAAGCCUUGCAACCUUCUACAAGCCCAUCUUGUUCAUUCAUAGCCCAUUGAGCUCAACCCCAACUUGUUUUUAACUUAGCAAUAUUUUGUUGCUAGAAAUAAGGAUUUCAAUCCAUUUUAGUUAUUCUAGUUUUUUCUUUAAUUAUGUCACAGUUUGAACAUCAUUAAUAUGUGUUCUGCAUUUAAUAAAGUCAUGCAUUAUGUAACUUUCAUGUUAGUUAAGUUUGCAUCAUUAAAUUAAGUCAUGCAUUAAGUAACUCAUUUGUUCAUUUAGUUUACAUCUUAAUUAAAUUAUGCAUUUAAACAUCUUAUUUGUUUGUAUUAGAGUGUUAUUUAAUUUGGCUGUUACUUUUUCAUAAGUUAUAGUGUGUUUAAUUGUUCUUAAAUAAAAUUAAUUGUGUGUUCAAUUUUUGUUGUAGGAAAGUUCAAAAGGCUGGACACAUAUUUUAAAGCUACAAUAGGGUUGUUCAUUUGCCAAGAAGAAUCAAAUGCUGUCACAUUCAAAUGGUUGUUCAAUUUUGGCAUAAAAGAGUGUACAUUUGGUCACUUAAUUAUUGGUACAAAAAGGGAACGUUUUUGCUCGAUAUUGAAGCACUAAAAGCUCAUUAUGGUGGCUUUUCAAAUAGACCAAGAGUGUCUCCACAAGUCUGAUCAGUUUUUGGAGUCUUUUUCCUUCAUUAUGAUGCCAUUAAAAGAGGAAGUUACACAAGCUUUAUGAUUCGGUUACAAGGGAGUUGAAGGGACAUCAACUAAGUAUAAUAAUGACACAUUAAGUCUUUAUUAAUGGACAGAGUCAUGCAUUUUCAUCUACACCAGGAUCAAAUGAAGAGACAUGACCAUUGGAUUUCUUACAUGAGUUAAAAAUGAAAUUAGGGUUUGUAAUAACCUUAGUUAAUUGCUGAAGGUGAAAGGUCACAAAUAGGCAUUCGAAUAGCCAUAAUAGUGCCUAUAAAUAGAUUGUAAAAAAACAUUAUUUUGGUUAAGAAAACUUUUUAUACUUUUAUGAAUUUUACAUCUUUGUGAGUAUAAUUCAACUCUCAUUGUUUUUCUAAGACUCAAGCUGACUUAUCUAGCAUUGCUAGUGGCAUCCAACUUACUUUCUUUGUGAACUUAUCACUCUUUGAGUGUAGCGUUCAACCUAGAUACCUUUGGUUCCUAUCUCCUUAUAGAUAAUGAGUCAACGUCCUUUUAAACCAUCAAUCUUUCGACCUUAAAAGUCAAUAUAAGAUUCAGGUCAAUACUCCUUAUAGUAUUGGUUCUUUCUUGGACCUUAACCUUUUUCCAUCCAUCCGAAUUAUUCUUUUCAAAGUUAUCUUAUUUUUCUUUGUUUAACUGAAACAUUCACUUUGACUAUUCCAAAACACUUAAAAACCAUCUUUUCUUUAGCCUACACUUAGUCGAGUUCACUCAACUCCAAAUUGAACAAAACUUCUCUAUUUUAUGAUCGGGCAAAAUUACGACUCGAAAUCAACUCACGAGAUAAGAUUGUAUCAAGGAGCUAUUCCUAUGAUGCCCCUAAAUAGUUCAGCACCAUUCGACCAAAGUUGUUUAGUAAUCGACCCUUGGCCUCCCAAUCUUUGAUGGAUCCCAGCGACCCUCUCAAGAGCCCAAAUCAUGGCCUGGGACAGUGCGUUGUCCCUAGCCGUAGGAGUCUAAGACUCCGCCUCUGCAGUGGGAGUACCAACUGUAUCGUUGGUCUUCAGAUUAGGCAUGCUACCCAUAGAGGAUGACUCGGCUUGAGCUCCUUCUCGGCGUCCUCAACAACCUCACAUACCCGGUCCACGACUACUACGCGAACUCAUAUUGCAAUCUAGCUACAAUUUCAGAAUACACAGAUCAGUUCACAUAUCCAGCAAAACGGUUUCACUAGUUUACACCAAGCAAUCUACCAAUAACAGUUAGGUAUCAUAAUCUUUACAACAGAACAGAAAUACUUACUAGGUCAGCAUCGGAGGCUCGAUCGUUCCCUAAUGUUUCAAUGUUUCUAUAUUAAUUUGGUUACUAAUUAUUACUAGCCAUAAUUCUCACACAUUAAGAGCCUAAACACAGUCCGAGUGUUGACAAACCUGGCUUUGAUACCACUAAAUAUAACACCCUAAACUCGGCCUAGACGUCUAGACCAAGCUGAAAAGUUACAUCAACCGUUCUAAAAACCAUACCACUAUAACGUAAUCAAAUUAAACCAGUCGUCACAUAUUAUUCAUCACAAUAGUAAUUUAAGACAUAAUCUCUAUAAAUCCAUAACAACAUAAAACAAAUAUCCCUAAUAAUAAUGCUAGUAGAAUACCAAUAAAUGUUUGAGCAACCUUCUGCGACACCGACCUGAGCAAGACUGAUAACUACCUGAAACCUAAACAAUAUUAGGGUGAGUUAUGAACUCAGUUCGUAAAAACGAAUGUAAUUCAACAACGGUGACUUAUGGAGAAUUUCCAGUUCAGAGAUUCAAUUCAUCCUAGAAGCAUGUUUGAUCUAGGUUCAGAAUAGAGGUAUUACAUAUGUAUACAUGUAUUAUUCCAAUUCAGAAAUAGUUCAGAUCAGAUUCGAAUGCACUGUUCCUAUUUCCAUCCUCUACACACCAACUUUUUCCAUCCCAACAUACCACUAAUGACAUUUAAUGCCCGUCCAUCCCUUCACACCUUUAAAGUGUUCAAUGACACUUUCACAGAAACGUAGCUUAGCUCCUAGUUCAAUGUGCGACAAGCACUAGAAUCAGAGUGAUACUUAUUGUGGCAUAGCUACGAUUUCAGUAUAGACUCCCCUUCUUUCACACAAUCUUCCACGAUAUGUUAAUGCAGAAUACAAUAGUCCGUAACACAUGUUUAGCCAUUCUGAUAAAAUACAUAAUUAAUAAAAUAGUUCAAUAACAGAGUGGUGUUACAGUGCAUAUUCAAGAAUCUGAGCCACAGAUCAGUCUCAUGUAAGCAAAUUCAGUCAUUCAUAAAUUGAGGAAACCAAUGUCAGAGUUUAGCACCCUUCCCGCCCUCAAAAACAGUUCUCAGAUCCAACAUCCUGCCACACGACUUGGGCUCGCCCUCGUGUGCCUUGGUCAUGUGGUUUUUAAGCACAAAUAGUGUGUUACACGACCUGGGCAUAUGUCUGUGUCCUUGGCUGUAUGGUUUUAUACUACAAACAGUGACUUACACGGCCCAGGCACACGAGUGGUUUUUACACCCUGAAUAGUGAGUUACACAGCCUGGGCAUAUGCCCGUGUCUCUGGCCGUAUGAACCCUGCACUAAAAUGGCUAUGCAUGGCCUAAACACACGCCCGUGUGGUUGCCCGUGUGGUCUUAAUUCUAUAAACAAUUAAUUACAUGGUCGUUCACACGGCAUACUAUACGCUCGUGUGACGCACACAGCCAAGUCACACACCCGUGUACCUGACCAUAAGGCGUUGAUAGCCACAAUUUUCAGUGAAAAAACUUGCAAAAACUAAGGUUUUCGAUACACACUUGGGACGAUUUGAAGGUAGUGACAAUGAAGAGAAGUUUCGAAACUUAAAACGACCAUUCAAUAACUCAAUUAAUCAAUUUUAUCAACAACAAUGCACAAUUAUACUCAAAAUACCUAUGUCGAAAGUUUUCACACCAACUUUCAACGAAAUCAAUACUUAUAAAAAAAUCAACGACGAUUACUCGAAUUGACUUGCUGAGGUUAGCUACUCUCAAUAUUCCCCCCUAACAGGGAAACCAAACAAUUGACUAUCAGAGAUUCACGCAACACACACAAACAGCCAUCUCAAAGUAUACUAUGUAAAGCAAAAAGAGAAAACCUGAAAUUAACGAAUUGACAUCAAAACUUACUCAAUAACCUCCCAACAGAAAAUGCUAACAGCGUAACUUCAACUAGUCCAUAUUCCUUACGACAAUUAAAUAGGAAAAGGGAAAAUUGAAAAAGAAGAAAAAGUAGAGAAUGAAGAAAAAGAAAAAGGAAAAACAGGAAAAAUAAUGGGAAAGAAGAACUAACGUUAAUUGAUUAUCAAUUAACUUCCAUCCAGACUUCCAGCAUUUAGCAAAAAUAUUUUCCUUACGCAUACUAUGGGAUUCAAACUCGGAACCAGAUAGAAUACAGACAAUGUUUAACCAGUGAACUAACAGGCUCAUCCUCGUCACCCUUUUACAAAGAAUUAAACUUAAGCGGGUAGUGCAUGCUUGUGGGUUGAUUCUAAAAUAACAAAACUUUUAAUGAUGCGACUUGAACUUUAGACCUUAGAAUUUUGAGGCGUCAAACGGUCUGUACCAGUUGCACCAACUCAUUCUGAUCAAUUCCAGUUACACCUGCUGGAACAUAGUGCACCGUCCUGUGCAUGAAUAAUAUUAAAAAUUUAAAACUUUUAAUUAUUUACUAUUAUGCUAAAAACAUAAUUGAAACGUGACUAAAUAAAAAUGCUACAUCGGAAUGUAAAGUUUUUUUAAAAAAUGGAAUAUACUUUCACAUUCAAAAUAUAAUUAAGAAAAAAACCAUUCACCCGAUUAUCAAAAAAAAUCGUUCACCUUCCAGCUUCUUUUACUAAGUAAAUGAGCUAAAUCCUUAAAAUUUCAUAUUAAAUGAUGGAUUUUUAUUAUUAAUUUUGAAUUUAUUUGAAUGAUAAAUUUUUUUUUGUUAAAUUUAUUAAUAAAUAUUUUAUAUUUGAAAUGUAUUUAGUUUCAUUCAUUUUAUAUUUGUAAUAUAUUUAUAUACAUAUCUUAAAUAAUUUUAAAAAAAAUUGAUAAAUCUAAAAAGAUACAUAUCAAUUUGAGUAAAAAAAAAUCAAAUGUCCACUAAUACAAGGAAAAGAAAUCUCAAUUCUUAAAAUUUCAAUCCCUUUAUAUUUAAAGGUGAAGACAGUAGAAGAAAAAUAAGAAUAGGUAUUAACAAUGAAAUUAGAUUUGAAUAACGUUGUCGCUAGGCAUAAUUUAUUGACAAUUUUUACAAGACGUUACAUGUAUUUAAUAUGACAUAAAAAAUUUAUGUAAAAUUUUGGGAUGGAAUAGUUUAUCUGUAUAUUUUAUUUUUUAGGUUGGGAUUAAAAAAUUAACAUGUUUAUUUUACAAAUAACUCUGUAGUAUUAUCGUCUUUAAAAUAAAAUUAUCUUAACAUGUUUAUUUCGAAGGUGGAUGUUUAAAUUUCGACUUAAACACAAAGGCAAACUAAAUAAAUUCUAAUCUAAAUUUCAUUUAGCUCAAUUUAUUAUAAAAAAUUAACUGCGUAAUUAAAUCAAAUUCAAAUUGACUCAAAUUUAUCUAAACUUGAAAUGAUUUAAUCACAAAAUAACUCGAACUUAAAAUGAUCAAAAUCUAAAAUGAUUCGGAUCAAUAAUAACUAGACAUGAAAAACUUAGCCUUAAAUUUAAAUGACUUGAACCUUAAAUAAAAAAAAUCCGAAAAUGACCUAAACCAUAUUGGAAGUUUUCAUGUAUUUUAAAGAAUUACAUAUAAUACACAUAUUUUAGAUACACCUAUUAAAUGGUGUUUAUAUAGAUUUGGUUUACUAUAAACUUGUAAGACUAAAAAUAAGAGAAUACGUAUGUGCACACGAGGCUUGAGCCUAAUAGCUCAAUUCCAUUCAAAUGGGAAAAUUUUUUCAAUUUUUUCAUUGCCCAUGAUACAAACUAAAUCCUAGAAAUAGUAAAUCCACGAAUAUCCUUAAGAAUAGGGAUAUUCAUGCCUCAAGCUACAAUUCUAAUUUUCUAAACUUUUGACUUUUUAAUAAACCUAAAAUGAUCUUAAAAUUUUAAUACAUAAAUUGAGACCGUGAAAUCUUGAAGGCCAAAGUUUAAGUCACAUUGUGAAUAAAUUAUAUGUAAGCCAUACUUUAGAUUUAUUCUAAUUAUUUACUUCGCUUCUAAUGUACAUAAACUUUGCCAACAUGGAGGAUUAUUCAAGUAUUCUAUUUGACAUAUUACUUUAAUUAAGGGAAUAAAUCUAAAAAAUUUACACAUGAAUAUUGCCUCAAUCUAGAAUGUCAAAGGUAAACUUUAAUUUAAUGUGCAUUAUGACACUUAAAUUAUGUUAAUUUUGUGUAAUUGUAUAUAAUAAAUUUUGAUUUUGAUUUAAUUUAAUUUGGGUUUGAGGCUCGACUUUUUUGGCCUGAGUCAUUAUGGGUUUUGAUUAUUUCAUAUAUUGUGACAAUUCAACCGUUGUCUUUAUGGCUAAGAUGACAAAAGUGGAAGUCGAAGUAAACAUAUCGACAUUAAGUUUCUAGAUGAGCACAUUAACACUAAGCAAAUGUUAGCUGAUCCUUUGGUUAAAGGCAUGCCACCACCCAAAAUUUAAGGAUCAUGUUGUCAUUGUGGGACUUGUUCCCACAUUGUAAAAUUUUAUUAUAAGAAAGGAUUAUAAAAAAAUUGGUUAAAUUAACUCUAAGUCAUUAUAAAUUUGUUAAUUAAAGAAUAGGUAAAAUUAAUAGAAAAUAAAAAUAAAACAAAAACGUUGAUAAUAAGUUAAAAAUCAAUCCAAAUCAUUAUAGAUUUUUUAUUUAAAAAAUGAACUAUAAUUAAAAUGGAAAAAAUAAAAAACAUGGGGCGCUAUUUUGUUUUGGGGGCAUGAAUGGAGUAUUGUUUAAGGGCAAGGGAUUUCUAUUCACUGCUCCAAUGCCUAUAUAAGCCUCAAUACCAUGCUUUGUUUUCCUCAUUCACAACUAUUCAGAUAAAGAACUUUGUCUCAUCUGCUUCAUUUGUUUCGAAAUCUCUGAACAAAAAUGGCCUCUUUCAAUUGCUUUGCUUUAGCAUUCUUGAUGGCUUUGUCAUUUGCAAGCAUUGAUGUUGGGGUAGCAGCUCGUCACCUUCUGCAGCAGCCUCAAACGCAAAGUUUGCCAUCUUUCCCUAAUCUCCCAACGCCAUCCCGACCAUCAUUCCCAUGGCCUGGGGCGCUUCCUCCACUUCCUACCACAUUGCCAACAGGACUGCCCCCUCUGCCAAGCAUUCCCUCAGUCCCCACAAUCCCAACUGCAAUUCCCCCUAUUCCUUUCUCUUUUCCACCAUUGCCAUCUUUCCCUAAUCUCCCAAACCUUGGGGCGCUUCCUCCACUUCCUACCACAUUUCCAAGAGGACUGCCCCCUCUGCCAAGCAUUCCUUCAGUCCCCACAACCCCAACUACAGUUCCCUCUAUUCCUUUCUUUUCUCCACCACCUUCUCGUUCUACUCCUUGAAGUACCCCAUUUUUUUAUCUACUGCAUAUUGGAUCUGGUUUAAUAAGGUUUUUAGUCGUCUUUGUGGCUUUAUUAUGAGUACUGAUUUUGCACACUUAUAUUUGUUUGAAUAAAUGGGAUUUCUCCAAUUCCCAAUAUUUGGUGUACUUUGAUACAUUGUUGCUUAUUAUAUAUGAGGUAUUUAUAUAUUGAUGUUAUGUCCAUGAAGUAAUUAAUUACUAUUAUACCAUUGUUAACAUGAGUUUGGCUAAUUAAGAAAAGAAUCAAACGAUAAAUGCAGUCAAGAUAAUGAGCAGCCAUACAUCGAGAAGAUGCCACUGUUGAUAUAAUGAUUCCUGCUUCAUUAUCUCUUCCAAGUUAUCCAUUUACAUAAGAAUAUUUUCCUCUUUCAAUAUAUUUCCAUGAUAAUAUUUUAUAUGAAUGUCAAAUUAUGUAUUAAAUUAAGGUAGUCGGUUUCGUACAGAUUUCGGUUAUAUUAAUUUGUGUAUUGUUUUAAUUUUAUACUGAAAUAUUAAUGCUUUUAAAAUUAGAUCGAUAAUUAAAUUAAUCGAAUAAUUAAUUCUCAAUCCAAUAGGUUUAACCACUGAUACAAAUAAUUUACUAUUCAAUAAUAUUAAUUAUUAAAAUCCCCAAACUCCUAUUUUGAUGGCUUUGAAUUUUAAAACCCUCUCCCCAUCUUUCAUCUUUCCUAAUUUGUCCUUUUUUUUUCCAUUGAUUGAAUAUUAUAAGUCCAUCUUAGUUUUUUACCAGAAAAAAGAACUUAUUUUAGUAGAAAAAGUAAGAAAAAAAAUGUUGGUUAUUUUUUUAUGUUGUGUUUUAUUUCAUUGAGUACAGAGAUGAAGUGUAACAAAAGCUCAAGGGAUUUGAAGUGAAAUUUUUAUAUUUCUGAUUUAGAAAAUGUGAAAAUACGGCUUAAUCGACUGAUGAUUUGCAGUUUAAUUGUAGUUUACUCUAGUUCUAGGGUUCAUCAAUUCUUGGUUUGUUUGGUUCAAUUUCAAUAACAUUGCGAAACACCCAACACCCUUUUUCUACACUGGUGAAAAUUUUGGUCCGUACCAGUUGCAUCAACUCAUUCUGAUCAAUUUCAGUCACACCUGUUAGAGCAUAGUGCACCAUCCUAUGCAUGAAUAAUAUUAAAAUUUUAAAAUUUUUAAUUAUUUAUUAUUAUGCUAAAAACUUAAUUGAAACGUGACUAAUUAAAAAUGUUACAUCGAAAUGUAAAGUUUUUUAAAAAAUGGAAUAUACUUUCACUUUCAAAAUAUAAUUAAGAAAAAAUCAUUCACUCGGUUAUCAAAAAAAAAUUCCGUUCACCUUCUAGCUUCUUUUAUUAAGUAACUGAGCUAAAUCCUUAAAUUUUCAUAUUAAAUGAUAGAUUUUUAUUAUUAAUUUUGGAUUUAUUUGAAUGAUAAAUUUUAUUUUUUAAGUUUAUUAAUAAAUAUUUUAUAUUUGAAAUGUAUUUAGUUUCAUUCAUUUUAUAUUUGUAAUAUAUUUAUAUACAUAUCUUAAAUAAUUUUAAAAAAUAUUGAUAAAUCUGAAAAGAUAUGUAUCAAUUUCAGUAAACAAAAAAUCAAACGUCCACUAAUACAAAGAAAAGAAAUCUCAAUUCUUAAAAUUUCAAUCCCUUUAUAUUUAAAGUUGAAGACAGUAGAAGAAAAAUAGAAAUAGGUAUUAACAAUGAAAUUAGAUUUGAAUAACGUUGUCACUAGGCAUAAUUUAUUGACAAUUUUUGUAAGAGGUUACAUGUAUUUAAUAUGACAUAAAAAACUGUUAAAUUAACUCUAAGUCAUUAUAUAUUUGUUAAUUAAAUAAUAGGAAAAAUUAAUUGAAAAUAAAAAUAAAACAAAAACGUUGAUAAUAGGUUAAAACUUAAUCCAAAUCAUUAUAGAUUUUUUAUUUAAAAAAUGAACUACAAUUAAAAUGGAAAAAAUAAAAAACAUGUGGCGCUAUUUUGUUUUGGGAGCAGGAAUGGAGCAUCGUUUAAGGGCAAGGGAUUUCUAUUCACUGCUCCAAUGCCUAUAUAAACCUCAAUACCAUGCUUUGUUUUCCUCACUCACAACUAUUCAGAUAAAAAACUUCGUUUCAUCUGCUUCGUUUGUUUCGAAAUCUCUGAACAAAAAUGGCCUCUUUCAAUUGCUUUGCUUUAGCAUUCUAGAUGGCUUUGUCAUUUGCAAGCAUUGAUGUUGGGGUAGCAGCUCGUCACCUUCUGCAGCAGCCUCAAACACAAAGUUUACCAUCUUUCCCUAAUCUCCCAACGCCAUCCCGAUCAUUGUUCCCAUGGCCUGGGGCGCUUCCUCCACUUCCUACCACAUUGCCAACAGGACUGCCCCCUCUGCCAAGCAUUCCCUCAGUCCCCACAAUCCCAACUGCAAUUCCCCCUAUUCCUUUCUCUUUUCCACCAUUGCCAUCUUUCCCUAAUCUCCCAAACCUUGGGGCGCUUCCUCCACUUCCUACCACAUUUCCAAGAGGACUGCCCCCUCUGCCAAGCAUUCCUUCAGUCCCCACAACCCCAACUACAGUUCCCUCUAUUCCUUUCUUUUCUCCACCACCUUCUCGUUCUACUCCUUGAAGUACCCCAUUUUUUUAUCUACUGCAUAUUGGAUCUGGUUUAAUAAGGUUUUUAGUCGUCUUUGUGGCUUUAUUAUGAGUACUGAUUUUGCACACUUAUAUUUGUUUGAAUAAAUGGGAUUUCUCCAAUUCCCAAUAUUUGGUGUACUUUGAUACAUUGUUGCUUAUUAUAUAUGAGGUAUUUAUAUAUUGAUGUUAUGUCCAUGAAGUAAUUAAUUACUAUUAUACCAUUGUUAACAUGAGUUUGGCUAAUUAAGAAAAGAAUCAAACGAUAAAUGCAGUCAAGAUAAUGAGCAGCCAUACAUCGAGAAGAUGCCACUGUUGAUAUAAUGAUUCCUGCUUCAUUAUCUCUUCCAAGUUAUCCAUUUACAUACGAUUACUUUCCUUUUUAUAUGAAUUUCUUUAAAUUAGGGUAGUCGGUUUCAUACAGAUUUCAGUUAUACUAAUUUGUGUACAUUGUUUCAAUUUUAUAUCAAAAUAUUAAUAUUUUUGAAAUUAGAUCGAUAAUCAAAUCAAUCAAAUCAUUAAUUCUUGAUUCAAUAGAUUCAACCACUGAUACAAUUAAUUUACUAUUCAACAAUAUAAAAUAAUAUUAAUUAUUAAAAACCCCAAACUCCUCUAUUUUUAAGGCUUUGAAUUUUAAAACCCUCUCCUCGUCUUUCAUCUUUCCUAAUUUAUCUUUUUUUUUCCUUUGAUUGAAUGUUAUAUGUCCAUCUUAGUUUUUUUUUAAAAAAAAAACUUAUUCUAGUAGAAAAAGUAAGAAAAGAAAUGGUGGUUAUUUUUUUAUGUUGUGUUUUAUUUCAUUGAGUGCAGAGAUGAAGUGUAACAAAAGCUUAAGGGGUUUGAAGUGAAAUUUUUAUUUUUCUGAUUUACAAAAUGUGAAAAUACGGCUUAAUCGACUGAUGAUUUGCAGUUUAACUGCAGUUUACUCUAGUUCUCGUGCUCAUUGGUUCUUAGUCUAUUUGGUUUGGUUCUAAUAACAUUACGAAACACCCAACCCUAUUUUUCUACACUAGUGAAAAUUUCGGUCUAUAACACCCUAAACCCGGCUUAGACAUCCAAACCAAGUUGGAAAGUCACAUCAACCGUUCUAAAAGCCAUACCACCAUAACGCAAUCAAAUUAAACAAGUCGUCAAAUAUUAUUGAUCACAAUAGUAAUUUAAAGACAUAAUAUUCAUAAAUCCAUAACAUCAUAAAACAAAUAUCCCUAAUAAUCAUGCUAGCAGAAUAUCAAUAAGUGUCUGACCAAGCUUCCGCGACACCGAUCCGAUCAAGACUGAUUACCACCUGAAACCCAAACAAUAACAUGGUGAGUUAUGAACUCAAUGUGAAAAAAGGAAUGUAAUUCAAUAACGGUGACUUAUGGAGAAUAUCCAGUUCAGAGAUUCAGUUCAUCCUAGAAGCAUGUUUGACCUAGGCUCAGAGCAGAUAUGUAUACAUGUAUUAUUCCAAUUCAAAUAUAGUUCAGAUCAGAUUCGGAUGCAAUACUCCUAUUUCCAUCCUCUACACACUAAAUUUUUCCAUCCCAACAAACCAUUAUGGACAUUUAAUGCCCAUCCAUCCCUGCACACCUUUAAAGUGUUCAAUGACACUUUCAUAGAAACGCAGCUUAGCUGCUAGUUCAAUGUGCGACAAGCGCUAGAAUCAGGGUGAUACUUAUUGUGGCAUAGCCACAUUUUCAGUACAGACUCCCCUUCUUCCUCACAAUCUCCCACCAUAUGUUAAUGCAUAAUACAAUAAUCCGUAACACAUGUUUAGCCAUUUUGAUAAAAUACAUAAUUAAUAAAACAGUUCAAUAACAGAGUGGUGUUACAAUGCAUAUUCAAGAAUGUGAUUCACAGAUCAGUCUCAUGUAAGAAAAUUCAGUCAUUCGUAAAUUGAGAAAACCAAUAUCAGUGUUUAGCACCCUUCUCAGCCUCAAAAAUAGUUCUCGGAUCAACAUCCUGCCACACGGCCUGAGCCCACCCAUGUGCCUUGGCCUUGGAUUUUUAUACCCCAAACAGUGAGUAAGACGGCCUGGGCACACGCCCAUGUCCCUGGCCAUGUGAACCUUGUACUAUAAUGACCGUACACAGCCUAAACACAUGCCCCUGUGGCCACCCAUGUGGUCUUAAUUCAAUAAACAAUGAGUUACACGGCUUACCACACACCCUUGUGACACUCAAGGCCUAGUCACACGCUCAAGAGAAAAUCAAAAAAGAAGAAAAAGUAGAGAAGAAAGAAAAACAAAAAGGAAAAAAAAUAAAAACAAUGGGAAAGAAGAACUAACGUUAAUUGAUUAUCAAUUAACAUCCAUUCAGACUUCCGGCAUUUAGCAAAAAUAUUUUCCUUACGCAUACUACAAGAUUCGAACUCAGAACCAGAUAGAAUACAGACAGAUGUUUAACCAGUGAACUAGCAGGCUCAUUCUUGUCACCCUUUUAUAAAGAGUUGAACUUAAGCGGAUAGUGCGUGCUUGUGGGUUGAUUCUAAAAAAACAAAACUUCUUAUGAUGUGACUCGAACUUCAAACCUUAAACUCAAUUGCAGAACACAGAACCAUAGAUACAGAAAUUAGUUACUGUAGAUUUUUACAAACAAGUUCUUAAAAUUUUGGGGCAUUACAACUCUUUCCCCCAAAGGAAGUUUUGGCCUCAAAAUUUUUGCUUAAGUCGAAUAGAUAUGGAUACAGCCAUCGAAUAGAUUCCUCUGGCUCCCACGUGGCUUCCUCAGUUCUGUGAUUCUGCUAGAGGACCUUCACCAGAGGAAUAGUUUUCUUCGUUAGUUUCUUAACGUCACGUCCAAGAUCUGAACAGGCUCUACCUCGAAUAUCAAGUCUGAUCGUAACUUAACCUCGUCAAUCGUAACAAUAUGUGAUGGAUUCAAUCGGUACCGUCUCAACAUCGAGACAUUAAACACAUCAUGAAUCCAAUCCAGCUCCAGCGGUAACUCUAACUUGUAAGCAACAGGUCCAACUCGCCUUAAGAUACGGUAAGGCCUUAUAAAUCUCGGGUUUAGCUUGCCCCUAUGUCUAAAUCGGAGGACAUUUUUCCAAGGUGAUACCUUUAGAAACACUUGAUCACCUACUGAAAACUCAAUAUCCUUCCUUUUUAAAUCUGCAUAAGACUUUUGUCAAUCAGACACGACUUCUAGUCAAUCCUGAAUUACUUUCACAAUGCUCUCAAUUUCAGAAACCAACUCAGGACCCAAUAUAUGGCGUCCUCUCAACUCCUUCUAACAUAACGAAGUAUGGUACUUACGGCCAUAUAAAGCUUUGUAAGGUGUCAUUUGAAUACUGGACUGAAAUUUAUUGUUGUAAGUAAACUCCGUUAACGGUAGAUACUCCUCCGAACUACCCCUGAAGUCUAUCACACAACCUCGAAGCAUAUCUUUUAGGAUCUGAAUGACUCGUUCUAAUUGUCUGUCGGUCUGAGGGUGAUAUGCGGUACUAAACUUAAGUCGAGUGCCUAAAGCCUCAUGAAAUUUCUUCCAGAACUAAGACAUAAAUUGCGGAUCUUUAUUGGAAAUAAUUGAGACAGAAAUUCCAUGUAGCCUCACAAUCUCGACGAUGUACAGUUUAGCUAACUUCUGUAAUGAAUAAUCCAUUCGAAUAGGAAUGAAAUGAGCCGAUUUGGUCAACAGGUCAACUAUGAACCAAACUGAAUCCUUUUUAGCAAGAGUUAAGGGCAACCCUGUAACAAAAUCUUUUAUUGCCCGCUCUUAUUUCCACUACAAAAUCUUAACCGACUGAAGCAGUCUAGAGGGCAAAUGAUGUUUGGCCUUAACCUUUUGACACGUAAAAUAGUGGGACACAAAAAUGACUACCUCUCGAACCCUAAACCCUAAAUCCUAAACCCUGAACUUUAAAGCCUACAACCCUAAACCCUAAACCCUAAGAUCCCGGCACAUCUUAUUCCCACUAAAAUGUAUAGCAUAGGGUCUAUUGUGUGCCUCCUACAGAAUCGAGUGCCUUAAUUCUUUGUCAUUGGGUACACAAAUCUGACCUUUGAAGCAUAACACAGUAUCGGUAUUCAAGCUAAAAUCAAAAUUCUCGUCUGAGCCAACAUGUUGCAAUCGCUGUAUUAAGGAUUCGUCAUUUUUUAGUUUACCUCGAAUUUGCUCUAUCCAAACCGAUUUCACUUAGAGUUUAGCUAACAACCCUCCAUCCUCAACCAAACUCAAACGAGCUAAAAUUACUCUCAGAUCCACCACUGCUCUACGGCUAAAGGCAUCAACUACCACAUUAGCCUUACCUAAAUGAUAUUCUAUGGUGCAAUAUAAUCUUUAAGUAACUCGACCCAUCAGCACUGAUGAAGGUUCAACUCUUUUUGGGUUAACAAAUAUUUGAGGAUCUUGUGAUCAAUGUAAAUAAUACACCUUUCACCAUACAGAUAGUGCCUCCAAAUUUUUCAAAGCAAAUACGACAUUAGCUAGCUCAAGAUCGUGGGUGAGGUAAUUACCCUCGUGUGUCUUCAUCUUCUGCGAUGUGUAAGUGACUACCUUACCGUCUUACAUAAGCACAUAUCCUAACCCAACAUGUGAAGCAUCACUGUAAACCACAAACUCUCGUCCCGAUUCUGGUUGAACCAAAACAGAAGCUUGUGUCAAAACGGUUAUCGAAAUUAGACUGCUGUGCCUCAGACCAUACUGUAGCGACGUAAAAAUUUUGCUUUGGUCGCUAAUUAAGGCGAUUUCUUGAAAAUUUGAAAACCAACUUUCGAUUUUAUAAACAAGGGAGUCGCCACCGAUCUUUUUCUAGUUGUGAUCGGACACCUAAUGAAUCAUCUUUUUAGAGAAGAAAAUUUAUUCUUGAACAAAAUGAACGCCGAAUUUAGGUCUACGUCAAAAACCAAAGUAAAGUUGGGUUCGGGAGUCGGUUACGUGGGAGGAAGGUAUUAGCACCCUCGCGACCCCAAAAUUGGUAUCUUUAUUAAAUAGGUGUUGUCUUGAUUUUCAAAAAUACGAAUUCAAUUUGACAUUUAAUCGUGAUCCGAUUGAAAAAUGAGAAUUUUUAGCUUUCGAUUUUUUUUAGAAGAGGUGUCCCGUUUUUAACACGAGCCAACGAACUUCACCCAACAUAGCAAUGAAAUUGAUGACUUAAUGUUAAAUCGGUUCAUUGCCUUAUUUAUUGAAAUUAGUAAAAAAAACAUGGAUAAAAAUCUUUAAAGUAGUGAACAGCAAAAUGAUAUAAAAUGGGCGGGAAACGAAAAAAUAAGAGAGUUAGAAAUACAUCGAAGCAAAUAAUAAAUAUGACAAUAAUAUUAAAAACAAUGCCAAUAUUUGUGAUAUUAAACAUGAUAAUAAUAGUAUUAAAUACGAAAUAGAGACGAGCAUAUAUAUAAACAUAUAAUAAUAAUGAGUGAAGUGACGUAAACAUACUAUUAAAAAUACUAAUAGUGCUAUAUAUAUAUAUUAACGUAUAUACGUAAUAAUAGGAAUGAAAAGUGUAUACAUAAUAAUACUAAAUAUAUAUAUACAUAAUAUAUGUACACAUAAUAUAUAUAAAAUGAACAUAUUAGAAAUACUAAUAACAUAAAAAAUAUAUAUUAGUAAUACUACAUAAAUAUGUACAUAUAUAUUAAAAUAAAUACAUAAUAAUAUUAAAAGUAUAUACAUAAAAUAGUGUUAAAAAUGCAUACAUAAUAUAGUUGUUAAUAUAUAUAUACAUAUUAGAAAUAAUAAUAAUGUUACAAAACAAUUAUUAAUAAUACUGCAUAAACAUGUAUAUAUAUGUUAAAGAUAUAUACAUAUAUAAUAAACAUAUACUACUAAUAAUAAUAAUAAUAAUAAUAAUAAGAUGUAUGUACACCAAAUAACACAUAAUAAUAUUAAAAUAAAAUAAUAAGUGACAAUAGUGAAAAUAGUAAGUAUAAUAAUAAAUAUAACGAUAUAUGAAAAUAAUACUAUGUAUGAAAAGUAUAUAUACCCAUAUAAUAAGAUAUAUGUACUAAUAUUAAUAAUAAAUAUAAUAGGGAUAAAAUAGAUAUAAUAAUAUAUACAUAAUAUGGUAUUAAAAAUAUAUAUGUCACAUAGUAUUCAAGAAUAUGCACAUGAGAUGAUAUAAAAAUAUAUACAUAAUAUAAUAAAAUAUAUGAAUAAUAUGAUAUUAAAAAAAUAUACAAAAUAUAAAAAAAUAUAAUAUUAAAAAAAUAAUAAUAAUAUACAUAAUAUAAGAGUAUUAAAAUAAAUAAAAAAUAUGGAAGGAAUGAGUAAAAAUAAUAUACAUAAUAAUAUAAUAAGAAAAUAAUAUAUUUAUAAUAAGUACUUAAAAAUAUUUACAUUUAUAUAUGUAUAAUAAUGAUAAAAAAUAAUAAUAAUAGUGAAAAUAAUAAAUAUAAUAAUAAAUAUAAUAAUAGAAAAAGAUAAUACUAUGUAAAAAGUAUAUAUACAUAUAUAAUAAAAUAUAUACUAAUAUUAAUAAUAAUUAUAAUAGAGGUAAAAGUAGAUAUAAUAAUAUAAAUAAUACGUACAUGAAAAAUAAUAAUAAAUAAUAAUAUAAAAAGAAAAUAUGAUAAAAUAAUAGUGUAUAAAAUAAUAAUAAUAAUAAUAUUUACAAUAAAAGAAAAUAAAAAGAGUGUAUUUAAAACUAUAUACGUAGUAUUAUUGAAACUAAUAUUAAAAAUUAAUAAUAAUAAUAAUAAUAAUAAUAAUAAUAAUAAUAAUGAUAAUAAUAUAAUAAUAGUAACUAUAGUAAUAAUAUAUUGAUAAAAUAAAAAAUAAUAGUGAUAAUAAGAAUAUUAAUAAUAAUAGUCAUAAGGAUAAUAUAAAUAAUAUUUAAAAUAAAAUAAAAUAGCAAAGAUAAUAUAAAAAUCAACUUAAAUUUAAAAAAAAAGACUAAAUUCGAAACAAAAACGAAGUUUUGGGGCCAAUUUAAAAAGAAAUAAAGGAAAAGGGAUUAAAUUGCAUGCACGAAAAAUAGUGCAGGGACUAAUGAUGCAAAAAAUCCAUUCGGCCUAAAACGCACAGCAGCAGAGGGACUGAAUUACCAAGCACAACAAAUUUCGGGUCAAAAUUUAAAACAACUAAAAACUUAAUUGCAUAAUAGAAAAAAAGCGGAGGGGCUAAAUGCGCAAAUAGCCCCUCCAAUGAAAACACGCGGAUCCUGAAGUUGGAGCGGGUCGGAUUCGGGUCAGCCAAGUCAAAACGAUGUCGUUUUAAGGCUUAUGAGCUUAGGCCAAAAUGACGCUGUUUUGAUCUCUUAUAAAAAUUAAAACUUUUACAAAAAAUCUUCAUUCUUUCAUUUCACUUAAAAAAAAACUAAAGCCCCUAAAAAUUUUCUCGCAACCAGCCUUCUGCAGGAGGAAUUCCGGCGACUUCUCCGGCGCCGUCCGUCACCGUCGGCCACCUUGCACGGUGGUUGGAGCUCCAAAAACGAUAAUUUUCUUCCUUUUUUCUUAGAUAUUAUUGAUAUACAUAUAUAUAAGACAGUUUUUUUUAAGAAAAUAUAAAAAAAUAUAGGUAUAUAUAUAAUUUCGAAUAAGAAAUAUAAGGAAAGAAAUGAAAAAAUUAUAACCUUCAAUAGUUGAAUCAAUCUCCUCUGUUCUUUAUUAUUUCAAAAACUGCCUUUUUUUGCAUAUGCUUGAAUCUUUUUGUAUUUUUGUCAGUUAAAAAAAAUCCAAUACAAGUGAUUUUGUGGCUUUUUAUAGCCAUUUUUGCAACUUGCUUUUUUUCAAUUCCUCUAUCACUUCUGUUGCAGGUGGAUGAGGUCAACGGUGGCAGAGUUGGUGAGGUAGGUGGAGCGGCGGUAUGGUGGAUGGGACAGAGGCUGCGGCUAGGGGGGCUAGGGUUUCUGAUUUCUAAAAAUAAGUUGUGGGCUGAUGUUAAUGGGUUAGGGCUUGUUUAAUUGGGUUUGGGUUUAAUGGGUCUUUGUAUGGGUUGGAAUAGGUUUAGGUCAAAAUGGGCCUGGGAUUUAAAUUGGGUUAAAUUUGGGUUUGGUCUUGGGUUUAUUUUUUAGUUGUAAUAGUUUAUUUUUGUAAAAGGCUCGAGUUAAUUUGGGCUUCUACAGCUUCCCCUCUUUGCUUAUUGUCGUGCAACGAGAAUAGAGCAAAGACUUUCAAGGAAGACCAAAUUUGCCCGGUCUUACUGAGUUUUGACUUGUUUCGGAGCUCCUCUUUUCCAAGUAGUCUCGUUCUAAUCCAUCGCAUCUUGUAGCUUUGGUUCAAUCCAUCGCGACUUCAGGGCUAUGACUUGUAGCUUCAAUCUACUCAUAUCUCCAGAGAUAUAAAAUUCGUUGUGAUCUGCUCUUCUACUGUAUCUUCAGGAAGAUAAGAUCUGCAACUUCAAUGCGCUCCACUACAACUUCGAUCAGCUCCAUUGUAACUUCAAGGUUCUGCUACAACUUCAGGGAGAUAAGACUUGUAACUUUAACCUGCUUCACUGCAACUUCAAGAAUAUAAGAUCUACAACUUCAAUCCGCUCUUCUAUCACUUCAGUGGGACAAGAUUUGUGGUCUUUUCUUCUGCAACUUCAGAAAGGUAAGAUCUGAUACCCUCGAUCAACUCCACUGCAACUUCAGGGUGAUAAGACUUGUAACUUCGUCCUGCUUCACUGCAACUUUAGGGGGGCAAAAUCUGCAUCUUCGAUCAACUCCAAUCUUAAUCCUCGGUGUGUGACCCGAGGCUCAACUUAUCUCUCGCAAUAUGAGCUGGCUUUUGAUAAAAACAGAAUUUGAAAAAUAGAAACUGAAAAUGCCUCAGCAUGUCCCGAGGUUCAACUCACCUCUCGCAAUAUGAGCUUAUUUUUUUGAAAAAUAGAAAUUAAAAAUAUCUCGGCAUGUGGCCCGAGGGCUAACUCACCUCUCGCAAUAUGAGUUGAUAGAAACUAAAAAUAUCUCAGCGUGUGACUCGAGGCUCAAUUCACCUCUCACAAUAUGAGUUGAUUUUUUUAAUGAACAUUAAUUAAAAUUACCUCAGCGUGUUCUGAGGCUCAACUCACCUCUCGCAAUAUGAGUUGAUUUUUUUGUUUUUUUUUUUAAAGAUAAAAAUUGAAAAUACCUCAACGUGUCUUAAGGCUCAACUCACCUCUCACAAUAUGAGUUGAUAACAGAAAUAAAAACAUCAGAAUACCAAAACAUGUCAUCUGGUGGAACUCAGGUGUCUUUUCCUUUGAUUUAUUACAUCUAUCAUCACAUCCUCUCGCUCUACUGGAGUACCUGUAUAUGUCAUGCGUGAUGUUAUCAUGAUAUGCACAUGUUUGUCUUAAAUGCCUUUAUGCCUACAUGAUUAUGCUAUGUGCCUUAGGCAUGUUUGUCGUAUGUCCUUUUCCGUCAAGAUUUUUUUUUUUUGUGAUGAUCUACAUUCAUUAUUUCGGAUCUUGACUCUCUCUUUAGGCCCGUACCCAUCCUCAAGCUUCACAAACAAUCUGCGUUUCUCAGAUAUCACUCUUUUGCCCCUGGUUAAACUUUGUCCUUUCUUUGAAACUCUUGUACUUAUCAAAUUCUUAUCCGGGUAAUGCUCAACAUUUCUUUUGUCUAGAGUAUGUCAUUUCACUAUUUAUCAUUUAAAUAAACCACAUAAUGAGAUGCAUAAAAAUGGUCAGGUAGAGACAACAAGGGUACCUCAGAUUUAUUUAUUUCAAAUGUAGCAAACAAAGAAAGUUAACCAAUGAUAGUAAAAAAAAGUGUCAUAAAGAGAAAAGGGAUCGCAUUCAACGAAUACAAAUGCUCUAGAUAUUCAACACAUGAACUCUUCCACGUUUCUUAAUUAAGAAUCUUUUCGAGCAUGGCUUCUUGCGUAGAAGAUUUCGAGCUACUGAAAAUGAUUCAAAUACUGUAGUUCCACCGUUUGACUCACUUGUUCAAAUCGUCUUACUCUUUGAGCCCAGGUCUUCUUCAUUAGGAUGCCCUUUCGGGUUUUCAUCCUAAUCUUUUGUGUUAAUCAAGACGCCCUUUUCGGGUUUUCACCUUGAUCUCUCUUUUUUUUUAGGCAUAAUAUUUCUUCAUAGCAUCUGAAUUCACUGGAUUAGGUAACUCCUUCUCGUCCAUCUCAGUGAGAAUCAAAGCUCCACCCGAGAAUGCCUUCUUUACGACGUAUGGUCCUUCCCAAUUUUGUGCCCAUUUUCCUCGCAUGUCUUUUUGUAUUGGGAGGAUUUUUCUCAGCAUGAGUUCUCCUUCAUAGAAUUCUCUCAGCCGUACUUUCUUGUCAUGGGCUGCGAUCAUUCUCUUCUGGUACAUCUGUCCGUGACAAAUUGCCUUUAAACGUUUUUCUUCGAUGAGGUUUAACUGGUUAUAUCGAGCUCGAACCCAUUCUACUUCCUCUAAUUUUGACUCCAUUAAGACUCGUAGAGAAGGGAUCUCAACUUCAAUAGAUAGCACAGCUUCCAUUCCAUAGACCAGAGAGAAAGGAGUUGCUCCCGUAGAUGUCCAUACAGAUGUGCGAUAUGCAUACAAAGCAAAUGGUAGCUUCUCGUGCUAGUUUUUAUAUGUCUCGGUCAUUUUCCCAAUAAUCUUCUUAAUAUUCUUGUUGGCCGCUUCAACAGCUCCGUUCAUUUUCGGGCAAUAGGGUGAUGAGUUAUGAUGCUUUAUUUGAAAUUGCUCACACACUUCCUUCAUCAUCUUGUUGUUCAGAUUCAAGGCGUUAUCUGAAAUGAUUCUUUCAGACAAACCAUACCGACAAAUGAUUUCCUUUUUCAAAAACCUACAAACUGCAGUCUUCAUCACAUUGGAAAAUGAAGCGGCUUCUAUCCAUUUUGUGAAGUAAUCAAUAACCACAAAAAUGAAUCAGUGUCCAUUAGAAGCUUUUGGGGAAAUGGGCCCUAUAACAUCCAUGCCCCACAUAGAAAAAGGUCACGGAGAAGUCAUGACAUGAAGAGGCGAAGGGGCUACAUGAAUCUUAUCGCUAUAAAUUUGACAUUUGUGGCAUUUUCUUGCAUAACUAAUGCAGUCACUUUCCAUCGUCAGCCAGUAAUAACCGAGUCUCAUAAUCUUCCUGGCCAUAGUGAAACUAUUGGCAUGUGUCCCAAAAAUUCCUUCAUGGACAUCUUCAAGUAUUUUCCUGGCUUCAACAGCAUCUACGCAUCUCAAGAGCAGUUGAUCUUUUCCUCUUUUGUACAGAAUGUCCCCAUCAAGAACAAAUCCUACUGCCAUUCUUCUGAUUGUUCUUUUGUCGUUCUCAUUUGCUUGUUCGGGAUACUUUUGAUUCUUGACAUAUUCUAGGAUAUCAUGGAACUAUGGCCAUCCAUCUGGCUCAUUUUCAAUGCUGAAACAAUGUGCAGGGACUUCAUAUAUGCUCAUUUGAAGAGGCAUUAUUUCUGUUUCUCUGUUCGCUUUGAACAUUGAAGCCAAAGUGGCCAGGGCAUCAGCCAAUUGGUUUUCUUCUCGUGGGAAGUAAUUAAAAGUUAUUUCUUUGAAUUCUUUAAUCAGUCCUGCCACUAGAUCGCUGUAUUUAAUUAAUUUCGAAUCUCUCACUUCCCACUCUCCGUGAAUUUGGUAUAUCACCAACGCUGAGUCCCCGUACACCUCUAAGAUUUCGACGUUUCGUUCAAUAGCUACACGAAGUCCCAUGAUACAGGCCUCAUAUUCCACUAUGUUAUUGGUACAGAAGAAAUUCAGCCUUGCAGUGAACGGAUAAUGGCUUCGUUCUGGUGAUACUAAGACUGCUCCAAUCCCAUGCCCCAAUGCGUUCGAUGCACCAUCAAAUCUCAUCUUCCAUGACUUCUCUUUUGGUGACUCGCACUCUUUUUCUGUAAUGCACAUCAAGUCUUCAUCCGGGAAAUCAAAUCUCAAUCGCUCGUAUUCAUCCAUUGUUCGAGUUGCUAAGAACUCAGCUAUUGCGCUUACUUUUAUCCACUUUUGACUCACAUAGACGAUGUCAUAUUCUAAUAGUAGGAUCUGCCAUCGUGCCAUUCUUCCUGAAAGUACAGGUGAUUCCAUCAUAUACUUUAUUGGGUCCAGCUUUAAAAUUAACCAUGUCGUAUGAUACAACAUAUAUUGCCUGAGCCUCCGAACUACCCAAACCAAAGCGCAACAGAAUUUUUCAAUUGACGAGUACUUUGCCUCAUAUUCUGUGAACUUUUUGCUGAGAUAGUAAAUCGCCUUUUCUCUUUUCCCUGAUUCAUCAUGUUGCCCCAGUACGCAACCCAUAGAAUUUUCGAACAUAGUCAGAUACAAUAUUAACGGUUUUCCUGGAAUUGGCGGUACUAGUACCGGGGGACUAGACAAAUACUGUUUUAUCUUGUCAAAAGCCACUUGGCACUCUUCGUUCCAUUCUUCUGGAUUAUGUUUUCGAAGGAGUCGAAAAAUUGGAUCACACUGGUUGGUAAGUUGAGCAACGAAUCGAGCGAUGUAGUUCAACCUCCCUAAAAAUUCUCUGACUUCUUUUUGUGUGCGCGGAGGUGGUAGUUCUUUUAUGCCUUUUAUCUUAUCUGGAUCCACUUCAAUGCCUCUCUCACUAACAAUGAAGCCUAGAAAUUUUCCCGAGGUAGCCCCAAACAUACAUUUGGCUGGAUUAAGCUUUAGCUGGAACUUUCUCAGUCUUUCGAACAACUUCCUGAGGUUCCCCACAUGCUCUCUUUCCCCCUUGGAUUUGGCGAUCAUAUCAUUGACGUAGACUUCUGUUUCUUUUGCAUCAUGUCAUGAAACAACAUCACCAUGGCCCUCUGAUAUGUUGCCCCAGCAUUCUUUAAUCCGAAUGGCAUCACCUUAUAACAGAAUGUUCCCCACAUCGUUACGAAUAUAGUUUUCUCCAUAUCCUCGAGAGCCAUCUUUAUCUGAUUAUAACCUGAGAAUCCAUCCAUGAACGAAAGCAAUGAAUGAUUGGCUGUGUUAUCCACCAAUGUAUCGAUGUGUGGCAAAGGAAAAUUAUCUUUAGGACUUGUUCGAUUCAGAUCGCGAUAAUCCACACACAUUCAUACCUUGCCGUCUUUCUUCGGUACUAGAACUAUGUUAGCUACCUAUUAUGGGUACUUGGAGACUUGUAGGAAGCCAGCAUCAAAUUGUUUCUUGACUUCUUCUUUUAUUUUUAACAGUAUUUCAGGUUUCAUUCGUUUUAGCUUCUGUUGAAUGGGUUUGCAUUCUGGUUUCAGUGGGAGUCUAUGGACCACUACAUCCUCAUCCAAUCCUGGCAUGUCCUGAUAUGACCAUGCAAAUACAUCUUUGUACUCAUGAAGCAAAGCAAUCAAAUCAUGUUUGGUGUUAUCUGAAAUGGAGGUCCCAAUCUUCACUUCUUGCCUCUUUUCUUCAUUUCCCAGGUUUACUAUCUUGAUAGAUUCUUGAUGAGGUAGAAUCUGUUUAUCUUCUUGUUCUACCAUUCUUAGUAAGUCAGGAGACGAGACAUAGUCUUCAACAUUUUCCUCAGGUUCAAACUCUCCUAAGCAAAUAGCCUUUUCGAAAUCGAUUUCAAGAUUUGUAACGGGUUUGUUCAUAUCAUUGAUAUCUGAGUACCUGAAAGUUGAAUGGAAAAGAAACUAUAGAGGAGCAUCAACGUAUUGGGACCAACAAGCAUAAUAUUAUAAUGUGAGAUAUAUGGAAUGACAGGCUGUGAGAAGAAGGAAAAAGUAUGAAGUUAAUGAGAAUGAAAAGACCAUGACAAAAGUGCAUCUCCAUUAAUGUUCAUUUAAAUGAUAAAGAGCAAAUUAUAAGCUCUUAAAGAAUCCCUACUAUUACUUAGGGACACACAAAAAGAAGAGUGUUAACAUUGAGCAUUACUCUGGAGAAGACUUAGAAACUACAAGGAGAUCCACAAUAGUCCAAUUGUUCAAAAUGAAUCCAGGAGGACAAGGGCGUAUCAUUGAAACAUCUUUAAUUGCAUCAUCUCUUUUGUCAAUGGCAUUUAUACUGACAUUCUGAAAACCCCUUUGAAUUAAUAACAGCAUGCUUCGUGGAUUAUCUUGCCCGGGCUAUAUCAUUCCUGCAGAUGUAAAUGUUUUUGACAAAGGAGGGUACGUUAUGGGCCCCUAUUCUAAUUCUCGGCCUAAGGCUCUUGUAAUCCGCCUUUCUCGAUCUUUCUGCAACUGUUUUCUUCUUUGUCACAUAUCUGGCUAGAACCCUAAACCAUAUCGAGCCUUAUGGGGCACUGGUUUGAGAGCUCUAACUAUUCCUUCCUGAUAUCUUCCCAAACCUUUUUUUGCUCGGGCUCCCUUUCCCACAGUCAACUGAAUUCCCAUCUUGGUACUCCUUGACAACAUGGGCAUGGGAACUUUAUUUCUUUCAGCAACGAACGUAGCAUUGAUGAAUUCAAAGGAAUGGAAGGAACAUUCUACUGCAUCCUUGCUUACUUCGAGGUAUGGUGUAUCAGCAGAGAUAGAUACGACAAUGUCUUCCUCACCCACGACGGUGACCAAAAGACCAUCCAUGAUAAACUUCACUUUUUGAUGGAGAGAUAAAGGAACUACCCCAGCAGAAUGGUUCCAAGGCCUUCCUAAAAGGCAAUUAUAUGAAGGCGUGAUGUCCAUGACCUGAAACUCGAUGUCAUAUAUAUAGGGGCCCACUUCUAGAGGAAUUUUAAUUUUUCCCAUAACUUCUCGUCUUUUCCCAUCGAACGCUCUUACUGUAGAGUGACAAGGCCUUAGAUGAGAUAAAUCAAUUGGAAUUAUAGAAAUCGUAGCCAAAGGCAUGACAUUGAGUGUCGACCCAUUAUCAAUGAGUACAUUCGGUAUUAUAUAACCCUUGCAACGGGUUGUGAUAUACAAUACUUUUACGGAGCCCCUACCAUUUGGCGGUAUUUCGUCAUCACUGAAAGAAAUAAAAUUGUCCGCAUUCAGGUUAUUCACCCACCUAUCAAGCUUUUCGACAGAUAUAUUACUUGCCACGUAAGCUUGAUUUAACACUUUCAGCAAAGCAUUCCGAUAUGGUUCAGAAUUCAACAGUAGGGAUAAUACCAAGAUUCGUGCCAAUUGUUUGCUUAACUGUUCCACGAUGUUAUAUUCACUAUGCUUAAUGAACUUCAAGAAUUCAUGUGCUUCCUCUUCAUUCACAAGCCUUUUAACUUCUUGUUCGGAUGGAGUUUCGAGUUCUACCUCGGCCUCAUGCAUCGGUGCCUUUCCUUUCUGGUUUAAGUCACUCAUCUUUUUCAUUGGUUCAACCAUUUUAGAAUAACAUCUCCCGUUGCGAGUAAAAUUUCCUACUUCACCAACACUUCCAGUCAUGGCUUUGGAUUUUUCACCUUCAGGUGUGAUAAUGUUGACAUCGUAUUUCCAUGGUACUGCAUUGUUACCUUUGUAAGGGAAUGGAGAUAGUACUUCAAUUAUCAUUUUCGGUUUCACUUGUUCUUUUUUUACAUCGUAAUAAAUCACCAAUGGUCGAUCGGUGCUAUAAGGGAAACUUGAUGAUUGAUUGUCAGAAGCGCAUACUUCUCCCUCAUCGGCAUCUUUGUUAAAGAUCCCAAUCUCCUUGUUGUCCAUUAUGUCUUGAAGUAACUUUCUAAAUUCUUUACAAGACUGAAUGUCAUGCCCUUCAAUACCAUGGAAGUCACAAAAACAUUGACUUUUUAUAUUUCCUUCUUUAAAAAUUCUGUAGGGGCGACAGAACAGUCCCUUUUCAACCAUCACCUUCCAUAUCUUCUGUAAAGGUGCCUUUAUUUCAGAAACGCAGUUGUUGGUUCGCCACUUGUCUUCCUUAGUCACCGCGCUCACAUUCCCUUCAAUAUGGUUAGGGAGUGAAUUUCCAGUUGUAUUUCUAGUACCAUCAAAUCGUAAGAUGCCUGCAUCAAUGAGGCCUUAAACCCUCCUUUUAAAUGCUAGACAAUUUUCUGUAGAAUGCCCCUGGUUUCCGGCGUGGUACAUGCAACUGCAUUAGGAUCGUACUAUUUUGGGUAUGAAGGCUUCAAGGGUGCCAUAUAAUGUAGGGAUAUUAAUUGUUUUUCAAAUAGUUUUGGGUACAGCUCUCCGUAUGACACGAGAAUUGGGGUGAACUAGGGUUUUUCAAGAUUGGAUCUUGUCGGUCUUUGUUCAUCUUUAGGUUGGCUUUGAGCUGGCAUGGUAUUCUGUGGGAACUUAGUGACUGGUCUUUGGUUAUUUGUGGCGUAGAUGGGGUAAGAAGGGUAAUGAGGUGGUGCUUGAUAGUAAGGGCUUUGAGGAUGAUAAUAGAAGUUUGGAGGUGGGCGAUAUCGAGGUCGUAACUGGGUUGGAUACGGAUUAGCAGUGUAGUGAUUCUUAUUUCCCACCAUAUAGGCUCCUGCCUCUUUUUUCUUUACAGGUGUUUCCCUUUUCGAGCUCUCGGAACCUUCCAUCCUUCCACUUUUGAUGGCAUUUUCUAUAAGUUCCCUAGAUAUUACAAUAUCUGCGAAGUCUUUCGUGGCACUUCCUACCAACUUAUCAUAAAACGGUGCUUUCAAAGUGUUGAUGAAGAGGACCAUUAUUUCAGUUUUGGUCAAUGGAGGUUCUACUUGGGCUAAGAUAUCCCUCCAUCUUUGCGCGUAUUGCCUAAAAGUCUCUGUUGGCUUCUUUUCCAUCAUCUACAGAGUUAGUCGAUCAGAUACCAUGUCAGAUACAUGCUUGUAUUGUUCGUAAAAUACUGAUGCCAAGUCUUUCCAUAAUCGGAUCCUUUCUCUACUAAGUUGAUUAUACCAUCAAAGGGCCGAUCCGACCAAGCUGUCUUGGAAAUAGUGUAUUAGCAAUUUAUCUUCAUUCACAUAACCAGUCAUCUUCCGGUAAAACAUGAUAAGAUGCGCUUUUGGACAUCCCAUGCCAUCGUAUUUUUCGAAAUCUGGUACUUUGAAUUUCGAAGGAAGAACCAGAUCGGGCACCAAACUGAGCUCUUUGGCACUCAAUGCAGAGAAGGCUUCAGUACCUUCUAUUGCUUUGAGUCUUUCUUCCAAACUCCUAUACUUAUCCUGAACAUCAUGAUCAUCCAUUUUCAACCUAGCUAUUUCUAACGGGUCAUCCAAAUCUGAAACAUUGGGAGCUGCAGGAUUAGCUUCGGGGUUCGAUACGAAUAUACCUUGCCCUAGAUGAGCAGGGGGUACGGGUCGUUGCUCCACGCUUGUAGGUUCUCCUUGAGGACGUUCUCUUUGCAUUACAUGUGCUUGAGGUGGAGUGAAUCCUGGGGGAUAGAGUGGAUCCUGAUCAUGAUUAGCUCUUGGCUGGGGCUCCAUAGUGUCAGGCCUCUGCAUAGGUCCCUUUCCUUUGACCAAAGCUGUCAUCAUCUCCAUCAUUUUGGCCAUCUGACCUCUUUACUCGAGCGAUUCCUCUCGAGAUCUUAACAUCAAAUCUCUUGCUUCCUGUUGUGACUUGGUCAACUGCUCUUGCAAUUCUUUUUGGGCCCUUUCCAUCCUUUCAAUUCUUUCAUUGAACUCGGCUUCCAUAAUUCUAGCUUUUCGACGCAUCCUAUAAGAAUGGCGUAUUUCCAGACUUGUAGUGUCGCAACUGCGGAUUAUAUGGUUUUAGCCUCAGUGAAUGAUUAUGGUGAUAUGUACAUGCAAUGAAUGAAUGAAUGAAUGAAUGAAUGAAUGACAAAUAAAUGUUGAAUAAACGAUGAAUGAAUGUUAGUCAUGAAUAAAUAUGCAAGAAUUUGGUGUUAAUUUCAAGAUAGCCCCAUACUUAGGCAUUUCAUUUAUCAAAAGAGUCUAUUACAAAAUGUUUCACCAUUUUUUUUUAUUCAACAGUUACACAAAUUUCCUAGCCACAUUGCCUUGUUUCUUCACUCGCUCUAAGAACUCUGACAUGCUUGAUCUUUGGCUCAGAGGAAAUUGGCAACUGAGAGCUUCAGCUUCAUCUGAUAAUUGCACAACUUGUAUAGCUGCCUUGCGAAUUUCAUUGAUCAAAAAGCCGAGUUGUAUUUCUUUUUCUUGGAGAGCUCUUUCAUAAGUGCUAGUGUCUCUGUUGUACUGAUCAUUCUUUUCUUCUAGAGCUUUUAGAAGAGUAUCUAACUGUUACUGACGAGAUUGCAGCAUAUUUUCUAGAUCUCGUAUUUUCCUUCUUAACUCUUGACGUUCGGACUGACUAGUCACAAAUUCUGCGGUCACCGUUUCAUACUCAGCAUUCUUUUUUCUUAAUUCUAUCAUAGUACGCGCAGCUAUUUCUUCUUCUUUCUUUGUUUGCCCUUUUCAGAAUGCCAUCCCUCCUUUGAUGCUGCUAAUUUCUUCCUUCCAUUCUGCUGACGAUUUGCCAAACCCACUAUUUUUUAUAGUGCUUCUUAAUUUCUUAUUUUUCAAAUAAAGGUCCCUUAAGUCAUUUCUCACGAUCUCAGCUUCUCUUUGGAUUUUCAAGGUUUGGGACUUUUCAAUCUGAACAUCGAUCUUUAGCUAGUAGUUUUCCUCUUGAAGAGAACUGAUAUCCCGUAACAACUUAGCAUUUUCACUUUCAAAUUCGUGUCUUGUUACUUCCAGCUCAGAUGGCAUUUCUUCUGAGAAAAGAUUCUGGAAAGUGUUUUUCGUCAAUGAGACUUGUUGACUAUUCACUCGUCGUUUUCUUCAUAUGUCAUAAUCUUGAGUGAUAGUAUCAGCAUAGAGAGCUAACUCCAUUAGGUGAAUUUCUUUCCAAGCCUUUGCAGUAUCCCGGACCCUUUUCAUGUAACCUUCACCUGUAAAGGCAAACUCUGACUGUGCCAACCCUCCGGUAGCAGGUAUGAACUGUCGUGAAGCAAACUGCCUUUGAACCAUUAACGGAGCGUAUCCAAUUCCUCCCCAUAGUCCUAGUAAAGGCACCUAAUCUUGGCUUCCUCAUUUGCAUAAUAGAACUGAAGGACAGAUCCAUGGUGCUCUCCAGGUUAUAUCUUCAGUGCAAACAUUCUAAAAAAUCGAAACCCAGUACUGCUCGGUGACAUCUUUCGACCAAUCUUUCUAAAAGUAAGCCUUUAAUGGGGUGAAUGUUUUUGAGAACAUAUGGAAAGGUAUACGCUCUACUUUCCAGAAAUGGCUCAGAAUCCGGACAUUAAGCAAUUGCACGCAUCCGGUAAAACAUCCUUCCCCUUUUCUCUUACAACUACUCAGGGAUCUAAAAGUCUCAGCCAAGAUAGUUGGGACGGGGUUGAUCCCUUGCCCCAACCUUUCGAAGAAAUCCACUACCGCGACUUCUACAUGUCCCAAAACCUUUGAGAAGACGAUCAAUCCGUAAAUGGCCAAAGCAAACAGAUCAAUUCUCUUCGCAACAUCUGGAUGGUUUUGAACUAAGUCUCGCAGAGAAAACCACGGAACACAACUGACUUCAAUCUUUUUCUUUAUCUAUUUUUCAGCACAUAUAUCGGUUAUUCCGGUCAACCUCACUAGCUUUUUCUUGAAGGUCAUUGGCUUAGGCUCUUUCACAUAUAUCUUGUUGAAUUGUACAUUGUCAACACGAAGCAAAGUAGUAUAUUCUUCUAUGGUCGGAGUCAUAGCUUCAUGAUUGAAAGUGAAACAUCGGUACGCUGGGUCCCAGAAUCGAAUCAUGGCUUGAAUUAACUGUUCGUCUACAUUGACGGUGAACAAGUGAGCUAUAUCCCCGUACUUUUCAGUGAAAAUCCCCCUAGUAUCUGAGUCUCACUGUUUCCAAAUCUGAGUCAAGUCUUCGAGGUUAUUCUGACGAACGUUCGAAGUUACAUUUUCGGGAAGAUUGGAGAUACAUCCUUCCGUUAAACUGUCCCCUUUUACUUUCUGGGUUUUCAAAGACCAAUCUCGAACCACGACAUUUUUCUCGGUUACUUGCGUAAUUGACUCCUCCAUCAAAAACCUAUUUUUGGCAACCAAUCUCUAAUCAACACAUUCCUAAUCAAGAUGCCUACGAUGCGUGAUGAAAAAUAAAAAUAAAGACAAACAACCUUGGUUAGUAAUCACAACAAAUAUAAACUGAGAAAAACUAUGGAAACUUUAACAAAUUAAGCUAUCCGAUUCAAUUCUUUUGUAUAAACAGUGUAAAUGUAAAGGAAAUGAAAGGCAAGAGGCAUUUCUCCUGUGUACUUAUUUUGGUGAUUAUUAACGGACGGAGGUUCGGCAAGACUCUAGUUAGGUGGCUCGUAUGCUUCACUAUAUGCGGUUUCGGUUCAAGACAGGUACUCGAAUUGUUUGCACUAUCGUCUACUAAGACUAAUACGAAGCCUCAAUCGUAGCCCAUCACAGGCUCACGAGUUCAAUUCGAGGGAUUACAUUCACUUAUGCCUAUGCGGAGGGAUAAGUUAACUCACGAAAGCAUAAGUCAUAUGUAACCCGAAAGUAUUCACUAGCUUGUGCGGAGGGACGAGUUAACUUACGAAAGCAUAGCGUUUACUUCCACUUAAGCGGACGGAGCCAGGGAAGAGAGCUCAUGUUAUGCAAAAAUGCAAGUGCUCGGUGUGUGGAGAGAAACUCACAAACCUUUUUGUUUUUAUUUAAAACUAAAAGAAGCUAAAACUAUAAAGACUUAGAGCUGAAAGGCAAAAGGCUAAAACAAGUUAGAAAAACAUAUUUACAACAUGAUGCAAAUGCAUGAUUUUUUGAAAACAAAAUUUUGAGGAUCAUGACUAAUUAUUAAUUUGAACAAGGAAAUUUGAAAAUUUUGACAACACGCGUUUAAUUGGACUCGACUCUCAAAAAUAAGUCCCCAGCGAAGUCGCCAGCUGUAGCGACGUAAAAAUUUUGCUUUGGUCGUUAAUUGAGGCGAUUUCUUAAAAAUUUGAAAACCAACUUUCGAUUUUAUAAACAAGGGAGUUGUCACUGAUCUUUUUCUAGGUGUGAUCAGACACCUAAUGAAUCAUCUUUUUAGAGAAGAAAAUCUAUUCUUGAACAAAAUGAAGGUCGAAUUUAGGUCUACGUCAAAAACCAAAGUAAAGUUGGGUUCGGGAGUCGGUUACGUACGAGGAAGGUAUUAGCACCCUCGCGACGCCCGAAAUUGGUAUCUUUAUUAAACAGGUGUUGUCUUGAUUUUCAAAAAUACGAAUUCAAUUUGACAUUUAAUUGCGAUCCGAUUGAAAAAUGAGAAUUUUUAGUUUUCGAUUUUUUUUUAGAAGAGGUGUCCCGUUUUUAACACGAGCCGACGAAUUUCACCCAACAUAGCGAUGAAAUCGAUGACUUAAUGUUAAAUCGGUUCAUUGCCUUAUUUCUUGAAAUUAGUAAAAAUAAAAAUGGAUAAAAAUCUUUAAAGUAGUAAACAGCAAAAUGAUAUAAAAUGGGCGGGAAACGAAAAAAUAAGAGAGUUAGAAAUACAUCGAAGCAAAUAAUAAAUACGACAAUAAUAUUAAAAACAAUGACAAUAUAUGCGAUAUUAAACAUGAUAAUAAUAGUAUUAAACACAAAAUAGAGACGAUCAUAUAUAUAAACAUAUAAUAAUAAUGAGUGAAGUGACGUAAACAUACUAUUAAAAAUACUAAUAGUGCUAUAUAUAUAUAUUAAAGUAUAUACGUAAUAAUAGGAAUGAAAAGUGUAUACAUAAUAAUACUAAAUAUAUAUAUACAUAAUAUAUGUACACAUAAUAUAUAUAAAAUGAACAUAUUAGAAAUACUAAUAACAUAAAAAAUAUAUAUAUUAGUAAUACUACAUAAAUAUGUACAUAUAUAUUAAAAUAACUACAUAAUAAUAUUAAAAGUAUAUACAUAAAAUAGUGUUAAAAAUACAUACAUAAUAUAGUUGUUAAAAUAUAUAUCUACAUAUUAGAAAUAAUAAUAAUGUUACAAAACAAUUAUUAAUAAUACUGCAUAAACAUAUACAUAUAUAUAUGUUAAAGAUAUAUACAUAUAUAAUAAACAUAUAAUAAUAAUAAUAAUAAUAAUAAUAAUAAGAUGUAUGUACACCAAAUAACACAUAAUAAUAUUAAAAUAAAAUAAUAAGUGACAAUAGUGAAAAUAGUAGGUAUAAUAAUAAAUAUAACGAUAUAUGAAAAUAAUACUAUGCAUGAAAAGUAUAUAUACCCAUAUAAUAAGAUAUAUGUACUAAUAUUAAUAAUAAAUAUAAUAGGGAUAAAAUAGAUAUAAUAAUAUAUACAUAAUAUGGUAUUAAAAAUAUAUAUAUGUCACAUAGUAUUCAAGAAUAUGCACAUGAGAUGAUAUAAAAAUAUAUACAUAAUAUAAUAAAAUAUAUGAAUAAUAUGAUAUUAAAAAAUAUAUACAAAAUAUAUAAAAAAUAUAAUAUUAAAAAAAUAAUAAUAAUAUAAAUAAUAUAAGAGUAUUAAAAUAAAUAAAUAAAUAUGGAAGGAAUAAGUAAAAAUAAUAUACAUAAUAAUAUAAUAAGAAAAUAAUAUAUUUAUAAUAAAGUACUUAAAAAUAUUUACAUUUAUAUAUGUAUAAUAAUGAUAAAAAAUAAUAAUAAUAGUGAAAAUAAUAAAUAUAAUAAUAAAUAUAAUAAUAGAAAAAGAUAAUACUAUGUAAAAAGUAUAUAUAUACAUAUAUAAUAAAAUAUAUACUAAUAUUAAUAAUAAUUAUAAUAGAGGUAAAAGUAGAUAUAAUAAUAUAAAUAAUACGUACAUGAAAAGUAAUAAUAAAUAAUAAUAAAAUAAAAGAAAAUAUGAUAAAAUAAUAGAGUAUAAAAUAAUAAUAAUAUUUACAAUAAAAGAAAAUAAAAAGAGUGUAUUUAAAAGUAUAUACGUAGUAUUAUUGAAACUACUAUUAAAAAUUAAUAAUAAUAAUAAUAAUAAUGAUAAUAAUAAUAUAAUAAUAGUAACUAUAGUAAUAAUAUAUUGAUAAAAUAAAAAAUAAUAGUGAUAAUAAGAAUAUUAAUAAUAAUAGUCAUAAGGAUAAUAUAAAUAAUAUUAAAAAUAAAAUAAAAUAGCAAAGAUAAUAUAAAAAUCAACUUAAAUUUAAAAAAGGACUAAAUUCAAAACAAAAACAAAGUUUUGGGGCCAAAAAAGAAAUAAAGGGAAAGGGAUUAAAUUGCAUGCGCGAAAAAUAGUACAGGGACCAAUGAUGCAAAAAAUCCAUUCGGCCUAAAACGCACAGCAGCAGAGAGACCGAAUUACAAAGCACAACAAAUUUCGGGUCAAAAUUUAAAACAACUAAAAACUUAAUUGCAUAAUAGAAAAAAAGCGGAUGGGCUAAAUGCGCAAAUAGCCCCUCCAAUGAAAACACGCGGAUCAUGAAGUUGGAGCGGGUCGGAUUCGGGUCAGCCAAGUCAAAACGACGUCGUUUUAAGGCUUAUGAGCUUAGGCCAAAACGACGCCGUUUUGAUCUCUUAUAAAAAUUAAAAUUUUUACAAAAAAUCUUCAUUCUUUCAUUUCACUUAAAAAAAACUAAAGCCCCUAAAAAUUUUCUCUCAACUAGCCUUCUGUAGGAGGAAUUUCGGCGACUUCUCCGGCGUCGUCCGUCACCGUCGGCCACGCACACGAUGGUCGGAGCUCCAAAAACGGUAAUUUUCUUCCCUUUUUCUUAGAUAUUAUUGAUAUACAUAUAUAUAAGACAGUUUUUUUUAAGAAAAUAUAAAAAAAAUAUAGGUAUAUAUAUAUAAUUUCGAAUAAGAAAUAUAAGGAAAGAAAUGAAAAAUUUAUAACCUUCAAUAGUUGAAUCAAUCUCCUCUGUUCUUUAUUAUUUCAAAAACUGCCCUUUUCUGCAUAUGCUUGAAUCUUUUUGUAUUUUUGUCAGUAAAAAAAUCCAAUACAAGUGAUUUUGUGGCUUUUUAUAGCCAUUUUUGCAACUUUUUUUUUUAAUCCUUCUAUCACUUCUGUUGCAGGUGGAUGAGGUCAACGGUGGCAGACUUGGUGGAGGCAGGUGGAGCGGGGGUAUGGUGGAUGGGACAGAGGCGGCGGCUAGGGGGGCUAGGGUUUCUAAUUUCUGAAAAUAAGUUCUGGGCUAAUGUUAGUGGGGCUAGGGUUUCUAAUUUCUGAAAAUAAGUUCUGGGCUGAUGUUAGUGGGCUAGGGUUUGUUUAAUUGGGUUUGGGUUUAAUAGGUCUUUAUAUGGGUUGGGGUAGGUUUAGGUUAAAAUGGGCCUGGGAUUUGAAUUGGGUUAAAUUUGGGUUUGGUCUUGGGUUUAUUUUUUAGUUGUAAUAGUUUAUUUUUGUAAAAGGCCCGGGUUAAUUUGGGCUUCUACACAUACGAAUGGAGCAUUCUUACGUAACAGCUUCGUUAAAGGUAAUGCAAUCAGAUAAAACCCUUUGACGAACCUUCGGUAGUACCCAGAUAAACCAAAGAAGCUACGAAGUUCGAACAUGUUUUUUGGCUGUUUCCACUCAGCAACAGCUUUAAUUUUCUUAGGAUCAACUCGAAUCCCUUCCGCUGUCACCACAUGACCCAAAAAGGCGACCUCCUGCAACCAAAUCUCACACUUGCUGAACUUAGCAUACAACUGUUUUCCUCGGAGAGUCUGAAGUACAAUACGGAGAUGACCAUUAUGCUCAGUUUCAAUUUUAGAGUAGAUCAAAAUAUCAUCGAUAAAAACCACUACAAAUUGAUCCAAAUACGGUUGAAACACCUGAUUCAUUAACUCUAUAAAAGUCACCGGGGUAUUCGUUCAUCCGAAAGGCAUUACUAAAAACUCAUAAUGUCCAUAACGAGUUUUGGAAGCAGUUUUUUACACAUCAGUCUCUUUGACCUUGAGCUGAUGGUAACCCGAGCGUAGGUCAAUUUUAGAAAAGAUAGACGCUUCCCGAAACUGGUCAAACAAGUCAUCAUUCCUUGGUAAUGGAUACUUAUUCUUGAUUGUCAACUUGUUCAACUGCCUAUAGUUAAUACGCAUCCUUACCGACCCAUCCUUCUUCUUAACGAAUAAUACCGGUGCCCCCCACUAAGACACACUCGUUCGAAUAAAUCCUCUAUCAAAGAGUUCCUGAAGCUGUACUUUUAAUUCAGUCAGUUCGUUUGGUGCCAUACGAUAGGGAGUAAUGGACACUGAAGCAGUACUUGGUAACAGAUCAAUUCCAAACUCCACAUUUCUAUCCAGAGGUACUCUAGGAAAUUCCUCAAGAAAGACAUUUGGGAAUUCUCUUACGGUACGGAUAUCUCCAACUAAUAACUUUUUGGAAGCAAAUUUGAUACAUAAGCUAGGAUGUCGUACACCCCUUUCGGACUAAUUUGUUUCCUACUAGAGCUGAGAUUACGUUAGUGAAGUAAUCUCGACGCUCUCCAACCAUUACCACCUCAUCAUUUUCAGUCGGUCUCAGUGUAACUCUUUUGGUUGCACAGUCUAAACUGACCCAAUAUUCAACGAGCCGAUCCAUUCCAAGAAUUAAAUUAACCUCGUUAAAGGGAAAUUCUAUUAAAUCAGCUGGAAAUAUCAUACCCUGAAGCUCUAGGGGUACUCGUCUAUAUACCCUACCAACUCGAAUUAACUAACCCAACGGACUAAUCAUAAAAAACUCUCUAGCAGUAUUCUCAGCAGUUAAAAACCCAGAGUUACAGAAACAACACUAGUUAUGUAUGAAUGAGUAGAGCCAAUAUCAAUGAGAGUAUAAUAUGGUACAAAAUGGAUAAAGAAGGUACGUGCAAUGACAUCAGCAUUAUCGCUUUUCUCGUGAUGUCUAGACGCAUAAACUAAUGCCAGCUGACGAGUCUCAGCCUAACCAGCACCUCUACUCGGUGUUAACUGUCCUCUCCCAGCUCCGUUACCACCACCCCUACCAGUACCACGACAUCUGAAAGGUUGUUUAGUCUCUCUCAGAGAUCGAACAGAGUUUGGGGCUGAAGUCUGUACCACACUUGGCACUGAAUUAGGUCAACGGGGACAAUCCCUAACUCGAUGCUCCAUCGAACCACAACAGAGGCACGCUCUUAAUUUCCUCCAACAUUUGCCUUGGUGGCGCUUCCUACAAUCAGUACACUACUGAAUAUCAAUCACUACAACUGGUGUCUCAACUCUCAGGGGCAUGUCAGACCACACUCGCUUCUUAGGGUGUUGAGCAGAACUAGAGGGACCCGAAUCCCUCUUAACUUUAUUCUGAUCCUUCUCACGGUCCCGCAGUUCAUGCUCAAUGCACUUCACUUCUUUCACUAUUUUCGCUUUAUGAACCAAAAUCGCAAAUACUAGCUCCUUCUGAGAAGCUAUCAAAACCCGCAGUUCAUAUCUCAAGCCUUCUUCGAACCUUACACACUUGUCAUAGUUAGAUGCUACCAAAGUCCAUGCAUAUUUUCCCAAUCGCAAUUAUACUCAGCCAUAGAUCGGUCACCCUGAACUAGGCUCAUAAACUCGCAUCGAUGAGCCUCAACAUAGCUUGCCCCUACAUACUUACCUUUGAAGGCAUUCUUGAAAUAGUCUCAGUUCACUUGCUCAAGCUGAGCACCAUGCUCAAUGGUAAACCACCACUGAUAAGCUUCGUCUUGGAGUAGAGACACUGCGCCCCUCAAUUUUUGAGUAGGAGUGCAGUCAAGAUCUAUCAUAAUACAUUUGGUAGCCUCGAGCCAAUACUCAGCAACAGUAGAGUGAUACUACCAAGCCCCGAGACUCAUCAAGGGCUGACAAAGAACCUUUGGGGCUGCCCUUUGGUCCGAUAACUCGACCUCGUCCAAAAGAUUCAAAGAUGCUGUUUCGACUUUAGCUAGUCGAGUAUGGAGAGAGAAUGUUGCUAGGCUCAUUGAACGAGCAUGGACAAGUCACCCGAGCAAGCCUUGCAACCUUCUAAAGCCCAUCUUGUUCAUUCAUAGACCAUUGAGCUCAACUCCAGCUCGUUUUUAACUUAGCAAUAUUUUGUUGCUGAAAAUAAGGAUUUCAAUCCAUUUUAGCUAUUUUAGUUUGUUUCUUUAGAUAUGUCAUAGUUUGAACAUUAUUAAUAUGAGUCUUUAAUUAUGUCAUAGUUUGAACAUCAUUAAUAUGUAUUCUGCAUUUAAUAAAGUCAUGCAUUGUGUAACUUUCAUGUUAGUUAAGUGUGUAUCAUUAGAUUAAGUCAUGCAUUAAGUAACUUAUUUGUUCAUUUAGUUUACAUCUUAAUUAAAUUAUGCAUUUAAACAUCUUAUUUGUUUGUAUUAGAGUGUUAUUUAAUUUGGCUGUUGCUUUUUUAUACGUUAUAGUGUGUUUAAUUUUUCUUAAAUAAAAUUAAUUAUGUGUUCAAUUUUUGUUGUAGGAAAGUUCAAAAGGCUGGACACAUAUUUUAAAGCUACAAUAGGGUUGUUCAUUUGCCAAGAAGAAUCAAAUACUUUCACAUUUAAACGGCUGUUCAAUUUUGGCAUAAAAGAGUGUGCAUUUGGUCACUUAAUUGCUGGUGCAUAAAGGGAACGUUUUUGUUGGAUAUUGAAGCACUAAAGCUCAUUAUGGUGGCUUUUCAAAUGGACCAAGAGUAUCUCUUCAAGUCUAAUCAAUUUUUGGAGUCUUUUUCCUUCAUUAUGAUACCAUUAAAAGAGGAAGUUACACGAGCUUUAUGAUUCGAUUACAAGGGAGUUAAAAUGACAUCAACUAAGCACAAUAAGAACACAUUAAGUCUUCAUUAAUUGAUAGAGUCAUGCUUUUUCAUCUAUACCAUGAUCAAAUGAAAAGACAUGACCAUUGGAUUUCCUACAUGAGAUAAAUAUGAAAUUAAGGCUUGUAAUAACCUUAGUUAAUUGCUGAAGGUGAAAGCUCACAAAUAGGUGUUCGAAUAGUCAUAAUAGCGCCUAUAAAUAGAUUGUAAAAUGAUAUUAUUUUGGUUAAGAAAACUUUUGAUACUUUUAUGAUUUUUUACAUCUUUGUGAGUUUACUUCAACUCUAAUUGUUUUUCUAAGACUCAAGUUGACUUCUCUAGCAUUGCUAGUGGCAUCCAACUUGUUUUCUUUGUGAACUUAUCAUUCUUUGAGUGUGGCAUUCAACCCGGAUGCCUUUGGUUCCUAUCUCCUUAUAGAUAGUGGGUUAAGGUCCUUUUUAACCAUCAACCUUUCCACCUUAAAAGUCAAUAUAAGAUUCCGGUCAAUACUCCUUAUAGUAUUGGUUCUUUCUUGGACCUUAAGCCUUUUUCCAUCCAUCCGAAUUAUUCCUAUCAAAAUUAUCAUUUUUUUCUUUAUUUAACCGAAAUAUUCACUUGGACUAUUCCAAAACACUUAAAAACCAUUUUUUCUUUAGCCUACACUCAACCGAAUUCACUUAACUCUAAAUUGAACGAAACUUCUCUAUUUUACGAUCAGGCAAUACUACGACUCAAAAUCAACUCACAAGACGAGAUCGUAUCAAGGAGUGACUCUUAUGACGCCCCUAAACAUUUCAGCACCAUUCGACCAGAGUCGUUCAGUAAUCGAACCUCAGCCUCCUAAUCCCAGAUGGGUCCCAGUGACCCUCUGAAGAGCCUAAAUCAUGGCCUGGGACAGUGCGUCAUCCCCAGCCGUAGGAGUCUAAGACUCCGCUUCUGCAGUGGGAGUACCAACUUUAUUUUUGGUCUCUAGAUUAGGCAUGCUACCCAUAGAGGAUGACUCGGCUCGAGCUCCUCUCCAAUUUCCUCGAUGGCCCCGUAUACCCCGUCCACGACAACCAUGCGAACUCAUAUUGCAAUCUAACGACAAUUUCAGAAUACAUAGAUCAGUUCACACAUCCAGGAAAAUGAUUUCACCAGUUUACACCAAGCAAUAUACCAAUAACAGUUAGGUAUCAUAAUUUUACAACAGAACAAAAAUACUUACUGGGUCAGCGUCGGAGGCUCAGUCGUUCCCUAAUGUUUCAAUGUUUCUGUAUUAGUUCAGUUACUAAUUGUUACUAGCCACAGUUCUUACACAUUAAGAGCCUAAACACAUUCCAAGUGUUGACAAACCUGGCUUUGAUACCACUAAAUGUAACACCCUAAACCCGGCCUAGACGUCCAAACCAAGUUAGAGAGUUACAUCAACCGUUCUAAAAGCCAUACCACCAUAACGCAAUCUAAUUAAACCAGUUGUCACAUAUUAUUCAUCACAAUAGUAAUUUAAAGACAUAAUUUCCAUAAAUCCAUAACAUCAUAAAACAAAUAUCCCUAAUAAUAAUGCUAGUAGAAUACGAAUAAGUGUCUAACUAAGCUUCUGCGACACCGACCUUAGCAAGACUGAUUACUACCUCAAACCCGAACAAGAAUAGGGUGAGUUAUGAACUCAAUGCGUAAAAAUGAAUGUAAUUCAACAACAGUGACUUAUGGAGGAUUUCCAGUUCAGAGAUUCAGUUCAUCCUAGAAGCAUGUUUGAUCUAGGUUUAAAAUAGAGGUAUUACAUAUGUAUACAUGUAUUAUUCUAGUUCAGAUAUAGUUCAGAUCAGAUUCGAAUGCAUUGUUCCUAUUUCCAUUCUUUACACACCAACUUCUGCCAUCCCAACACACCAUUGUGGACAUUUAAUUCCCAUCCAUCACUACACACCUUUAAAGUGUUCAAUGACACUUUCACAGAAAGACAACUUAGCUCCUAGUUCAAUGUGCGACAAGCGUUAGAAUCAAAUUGAUACUUAUUGUGGCAUAGCCAUGAUUUCAGUACAGACUCCCCUUUUUCCUCACAAUCUCCCACCACAUGUUAAUGCAGAAUAUAAUAGCCUGUAACACAUGUUUAGCCAUUUUGAUAAAAUACAUAAUUAAUAAAAUAGUUUAAUAACAGAGUGGUGUUACAGUGCAUAUUCAAGUAUGUGAUUCACAUAUCAGUCUCAUGUAAGCAAAUUCAGUUGUUCGUAAAUCGAGGAAACCAAUAUCAGAGUUUAGCACCCUUCUCGGCCUCAAAAAUAGUUUUUGGAUCCAAAAUCCUGCCACACGACCUAGGCACAUGCCCGUGUGCCUUGGUCAUGUGGUUUUUAAGCAUAAAUAGUGAGUUGCACUGCCUGGGAACAUAUCCGUGUCCUUGACCAUGUGGUUUUAUACUGCAAACAAUGAGUUACACGGCCUAGGCACACGAGUGGUUUUUACACCCUUAAUAGUGAGUUACACGGCCUAGGCAUACGCCCGUGUCCCUGGUCGUAUGAACCCUACACUAAAAUGGCCACACAUGGCCUAAACACACGCCCGUAUGGUCUCGUAAAAACCUUUAUCUGUCAACUCUUGAAACUGAGCUUUUAAUUCUUUCAAUUCAGUCGGAGCCAUUUUAUACGGAGUAAUAGAUAUCGGUGAAGUCCCCGGUACUAAGUCAAUACUAAACUCAACUUCUCUAAUCGGAGGUAACCCAGGCAACUCUUCUGGAAACACAUCCGGAUAUUCACAAACCAUUGGCACUAAUUCAGACAUCUUUGUAUUCAACACAUAAGCAAGAUAAGCUUCACAACUUUUCAUUACAUAUUUUUUGGCAGACAUCGAAGAAAUCAUAACAGGUAACUCACCCGACUUAUAUGAAUCAAUCUGAAGAGUUUCACCAUUUUCACAUUUCAGUUCAAUAAUCUUUCUUUUACAAUUCACUACAGCAUUAUGCAGUGCCAACUAAUCCAUACCCAAAAUAACAUCAAAUUCAUCAAAUGACAACAACAUUAAAUCAACCGGAAAAUAGUGACCUUGAAUCAUCAAGGGACAAUUCUUGCAAACUCUAUCAUGACAAUUCUUGCAAACUCUAUCAACUAAUACAUGUUUGCCUAAAGGGUUUGACACCCUAAUCACAAAUUCAGUAAACUCAACAGGCAAGCUCUUACUAGCUACCAAUUUUAUAUAAACAUAAGAAUGAGUCGAUCCAGGGUCAAUCAAUGCAACUACAUUAGUAUUAUAGAGAGAAAAAGUACCAAUGAUAACAUUGGGAGAUGUCACUUUUUCGUGAGCACGGAUGGUAUAGGCUCUAGCAGGCGCUCGAGCUUCGGAUCUCAUAGCUGAAUAUUUCAUCACACCUUUACUACUAGUUCCAUUUUCAUUAUUUCUCGGUGGCAUACCCCUAUUGGUAGUAUUACUCGGCCUUGCACUCUAAAAUUUUUCUUUUUCCGUAAUUUUAUGGCAAUCUCAGAUAAAAUGCUCUUGAGAACCACACUUGAAACAAGCCUGACCAUUUAUCCUACACUUGCCAAGAUGUCUUCUUCCACAAUGCUGACAUUCGGAUCUGUUAAGCCUUACAUUACCCACAUUUGCCAUUGACGUAUCUUGAGAUUUAAAACUCGAGUAUUGUUUCCCACGGUCUCUGUGAGAAUACCCAGCUGAUACAUUCGAACGAGAAUACAUUUCUUUAUAUUUCUUUGAUUGAGAUGAAAAUGACUCGUCAAUCUUUUCCUCAAAUCUCUAGCUUCACAAUCAACUUUCAUCUUCUCUUUAUUCAACUCUUCGGCCUUACAAGCUCGCUCAACUAACACCACAAAUUCUUUCAACUUUAAGAUCCCAACCAACACACGAAUAUCCUCUUUCAAUCCAUCCUCAAACUUCUUGCACAUGAUAGCCUUAGUGGAAACACACUCUCGAGCAUAUUUACUAAGUCUGACAAAUUCUCGCUCAUACUCUAUCACUGACAUUCUGCCCUGUUUCAGCUAAAGAAAUUCCUUACAUUUUUUAUCGAUGAACAGUUGACUAAUAUAUUUCUUUCGAAACUCCUCUUGAAAGAAAUCCCAGGUAAUUCUCUCUCUCGGUACCAUAGAUGCUAGCGUAUUCCACUAAUGAUAUGCAGAAGCUCUCAAAAGUAAGAUGGCACACUUUAAACAUUCAUUUGGUGUGCAAGACAACUCAUCAAAUACCCUAAUGGAAUUUUCGAGCCAAAACUCGGCUCUCUCGGGAUCAUCAUCCAUAUUAGCUCUGAUAUCUUCAACCCGUGCUUUUAGAUCUUAUCAACUGGGGGUUUGUUCAUUCUUACAAAUUCCAUACCUUGUGGAGCUAUGAGAACCAGUCGAGGAAUAGGUGAGGGUGGAGGAGGUUGGGUAUUCAGAUUUUUUUCGAACAAACUCUGUAUACCACUUGUUCAUCAUGUGGAGAAAGGUCUCCCUAUCCCCCUUCUCCUUGACUAACCGUAGGAGGUUUACUUUCAGACUACGCUGCCCUUUAAGCGGGAGCCAAUGCAUUACUUUCAAUGUCAUCAACCUGAGCUCAAUCAGGAUCCGUUUACUUUAUGAAAACACAAUUUAAAAUUGUCAGGAGCCAUCAUACUCUCAUAGUUCAAUUAUCGCAUGUAUAACUAGACUUUUACACAUGCUACGUUAGUCCAAGAAUCGACUAAACUGUAGCUCUGAUACCACUAAAUAUAACACCCCUUACUCGUAUUCAACUUCAUAACCGAGUACGAGGCAUUAUCGGACUUAAACACAAGCAAACAUACUUUUUCAAUCCAUAAAUUUUUGUCCAAAUUAAACCUUUUACACUCAAUCAUAAAGUCCUUAAUAAGAGCCUACAAGGCCCAAAACAUGGUUUGGGAGUGGUUUGGGACUAAACCGAGAACUUUAGAAAAUUUUACAACACUUAAAAAAAUUUUCCACUUAGAAAAUUUUUCCACUAAACAAUGGUCACACACUCGUGUGGGCAGGUCGUGUGGUCUCACACACCCGUGUCCCAAACUCGUGUAACUCUCUGUUUUUCACCCAAGAACAAAUUGAAGACACAUGGCCAAGUCACACGCCCGUGUGUUAAGCCGUGUGGUCGAUUUAAUUAUUUUGAUUUUUCAUGAAAUAAGUGCAUACUUCACAUGCAUAGGAACACACGCCCGUGCCUGAGGCCGUGUCAUCCACACAGUUGAGAUACACGCCCGUGUCUCUGCCCGUGUGCUUAAUUCUGAGCAUUCUAUUUUGUAAAAAUUAGGGUGCAGGGGACACACGGCCUAAACACAUGCCCGUGGGACAAGCCGUGUGUCACACAUAGCCUAGACACACACUCGUGUGUCUACCCGUGUGGACAAAAAUAAGGCUAUUUACCAAGCCAUUUUGCCACCCUUUGAUGCACACACCUACACAACACAACAUAGCACCAAUUCGAGCAUAUACAUACAAUCAAAUCAGCUACAACCAAGACAUCAACACAACACUCACAUGCUACCAUCUAUCAUACACAAACAUCACAUACUCAUUAACUCAAACCAAGUAAAGAUCCAUAUCCAUGAAAGACAUCAUCAAAUAAAUCACUGAUACCAAUAGUAACCAAUUUCAAAUGGCCUUAUACAAAAUGAACUAUCAACCAAUAUGAGUCAACACAAUUGGCCAAUUCAAUUAUGACACAUAACAAAAUAACCAAGUCCCCUAUACAUGCCAUAACUCAAAAUGUUGAAAUCAUUGGUACCAAAAUAAUUGUUUAUAGUGUGAGUGGAUCUCUGACAGUCUCGAAUCCCCGAGCUAGCUUGGUGACACUAUAAGACAAGGGAAAGAAAAGGGGAGUAAGCUAUAUAUCUUAAUAAGUUCCUAUGCAAAUAAUAAUCAUCAUAUCCAACAUUUUAACAUACAAUUAACAUGAUAACAAUUUACAUAAAUAUUAUUAAGAUCUUAUAAUCAUAACUUACUCAAUCAUAACCUUACCGAGGGUUCCUCACAUAUCGAACUCAUUACGUAUGAGUUUUACGUACAUACCUGAGUCAUCUCAAAUUUGGAUUUGCCCGCAAUUCAUCUUUGACAUACUCGUUAAAUUACCCGUUAAACCACUUGGAAUAUUAAAGGAUUAUAACUGUCCAAUUUCAGUGAAAUCGGAACAGUGGUUUCAUGACCACAACCCGAGCUAAAAAGAAAAUUUUAUUUUAAUAUUAUGGCAUGGUCUAUAUUAUGAUGGAAAAGUGGCAUGAAAAUUUUGAUAAGAAAAUUUUAUUGGUUUUGUAGUUAAUUGAUUAAAAAUGACCAAAUAAUAAUAAAAAAAGUGUAUUUUCGGGACUCUGUUCCAGUAAAUCGUAGUUAAUUAGGUUUUGAUUAGGUGAGUUUGACUUAAUUAGGAGUAAUUAUGAAAAAGUGCUAAAUUGCAUAAAGGGUAAAAAUUUAAUUAUAAAUUAAAGAAAGUUCAAAAGACCAAAUAGGCAAUUAUGCCAUUUUUAAAUGUAGAGGCAGUUUACAAUAAAAAAUAUCAAAGUUAUUUUAAUUAAAAAUAUAUAUUAUAUAUUAUAUUAACUUAAUCAAUAAGUAAUAUAUUAUUUUAUAUUAUUAUAUUAUUAUAUUAUUACAUUAUAUAUAUUAUAUUAUUAUAUAUAUGUAAAACAAAUGAAAAAGAAACAAAGAAACAGAGUAGGUUGAAACGAACAGGGAAGAAAGAAAGAAAGAAAAAGAAAAAGGAGAAAUUAGGGUUUAAGGAUUCAAAUUCAAUUUGAUCCAGAAAACUCAAAUACGAAGCUAGAUCGAGGAAAGGAAAAAGUCCUGGAUUAGUAGACUUUUGUUUACAAACAAGUAUCGAGGUAAGUUCCUGUAACUUAAUAUUGAUUCUUGAAAUGUUGGAUUGUAUGAUUAUGUGAUAUGAAUGUUAAUUGAAUAUUUAAAAUAAUGUGAUCCUAUGUUUGAUAUGACUUGAGAAAAGAAAUAAGUCCCGGUUGAAUAAAGGAAAUUCGAUGAAUUAUUGUAAAGGUGAUUCUGCAUAUGUUGCAGACAGGAUUUAACUUGGACGAGUAAUCCUGAUAAGUUUCUCGAGCAUUAUAAGGUAGAAGCAUAGUAAUUGGUAGUCGUAUAUAUUGUGAACUAUCGUAGCUCUUUAUGAGCAUCAAGGUAUAAAUAUAGUGAUUGGUAGCAAUUCUGCAUAAGUUCUGGGCUACCAUAGUUCUGUGUGAGCAUCGAUGUAUUGGUAGUAAUUCUGCAUAAGUUGUGGCCUAUCGUAAAUCUGUGUGAGCAUCGAAGUAUAUGAUUUACCCAAAUGACUUGAAAAGGUGGCUCAAGAGUUUUGUACACUUUAAGUGUACUAUACGAGAGUAUCCAUCGAUAUUCCAAUAAUUUCAAUAGGAAAAACUUAGAAAAUGGUUAAUUGGUUUGAAUAAAUUUCUUUUAAAAAUGUACAUGUGGUAUGGAAUUAUAAGCAAGUAUAAAUUAUGAUAUAGAGCUCAUCUAUGUGAUGAUAUUAUCUGUAAUUGCUUGACUAAAUUUUGAUGAUGAAGUUAUAUGUGAUAGGAUAAUGAUUUAUUUGCUUGAAUACAUGUAUGUUUGAUUAAAUUUAAUGGAAACACUUGGUAAGUUGGUUUCUAGUUUCAUGAACUUACUAAGCAUUAAAUACUUACUAGGUUUUAUUUUUUAUGUUUUAUAGUGCUCGGAAGCUCAGAAAGGUUGAAGAUAAGUCGAAGCAUCAUCACACUAUCAAUCUACUCAUUUUGGUAUUAAAAAAUGUUUUUAUUUUGUUAUAAUGGCAUGUAUAGGCUACUAGUACCAAUGUUAAUGAUGAAUUGGAUGAAUGUAAUCUAGCCAUUGGAAUGGCUAGUAAUGACUUGAUUUUGGUAUGUUUAUAAAGUAAAUUAUGGUUAUACAUGUAUGCUUGGUACAUUUUGGGGUAAUUAGAUUUAAACAUGUAUGUUAUGGAAAUGUAAUAUAUUAAUUAAGAUUUAAAGCAUACAUAUCAUGUUAAAUGUUUGAAAUUGGCUUAUAAAUAAUGCUUGAAUUGGAUGGUUGGUAUUAGGAAAGUUUUGUGCAGGUUUUGGAUGAAAUGGGUGAGAAAUAGGGCUUGAAAAAUAGCCUUAUUUUUUUCCACACGGGUGUGUGACUCCUAUAAGUAAGAAAAAAAUUUUGGAAGUUUGCGAAAAAAUUUCCUCGAGAUAUCGAUUAGUCCCGAAUCGAUUCUAAUGCAUGUUUUGGGCCUCAAGGGUCCAUUUAAGGGACGUUAUGACUAAUAUCGAGAAAUGAAUAGUGUUUGAAUCGAUUUACCUAAAAAUGUUUUGUAAACUCUGGUAAUGCCUCGUGAUCCUGUUCUGGUGACGGAUACGGAUUAGGGGUGUUACAAGGAUACUCAGGAAUCUCAUACAUACAGUAUCGUACCAAUGUCAUUUCCCAGAUAUGGUCUUACAUGUAAUCUCAUAUCAAUGCCAAUAGCCCAGCUAUGGUCUUACACAAAGUCUCGUACCGAUGCCAUAUCCCAAAAAUGGUCUUACAUGUAAAUAUCAGUAACCCUAAUGUCAUGACAUUUGUAUCUUAUCUAUUCCUAAGGUUCAAUGGGGAUUUCAAGCUUAUCGAAACUUUGUCGAAUACAUACAAGGGUAAAUUAAAAUUCAUACAAUAAUAAAACAUUUAAAACAUAAUUAAAACAAUGCAUUAUUUACAUAUGAACUUACCUCGGUACAAAAAUAGUAUAAAUGGGGCCUAAUCGUCAAACACUUUGUUUUUCCCCCGAUCUAAGUCCGAACCUCGUUUCUCUUGAUCUAUAAUAGAAUAUUUAACUCAUUUAUAUCCAAAUUGUUCAAUUCAGUCCAAAAUUUACAUUUUGGCAAAAUUACAUUUUUGCCCCCUAAACUUUGACAUUUUUACAUUUUGGUCCUUAGGUUCGUAAAAUGAAAUGGAUUCAAUUCCUUCGAUUCCCAAGCCUAGCCGAACCUCUUUCAUGCUUACAAAAGCCCAUAUUUUCCAUUCUUUUACAUUUUUACUACUCAUUUUAUAACUUUUUACAAAUAGGUCCCUUUUAUGUGUUUCAUCAAAAAUCACUUAGAAAAACUUGUUUAUUUAACAUUAAACUUGCAUUAUCUACCAUUAAACAUCAAAAUACACACAUGUAUAACAUGGUUCAAACCCUAUACCUUAAUCAUUUCUCAAAUUAGUGGUAGAAAUAGAUAGAUUGAGUGUCAACGACUUUAAAAAUGUAAAGAGCAUUAAAAACGAGACAAGAACACACUUACAAUCGAGCUUGAAAUUGGCCAAACCCUAGCUAUCUCUUCCUUAUAUUUUUCAGCACAAGGGGGAGAAGAUGGACAAGGUUUUUGGCUUGAUUUUUGCUUUUUAAUUCAUUUAUUUACCAAAUGACCAAAAUGCCCCUAACUUAAAACAUAAAAUUUCUCUUACCUCAUAUCCAUUUUUGUCCGCUAACUUAACAAAUGGUUUAAUUACCAUUUAAGGACCUUCAAUUUAAAGUUUCAUAGCAAUCAGACACCUCUAGCAUAUAGAACUCAAGUUUUGCAUUUUUUUGUAAUUUAGUCCUUUUAACUAAAUUGAGUGCUCAAACGUCAAAAUUUUUGAACAAAAUUUUCACAAAAUCAUUUCAUAAAACUUUAGACCAUAAAAAUAUAACAAAAAUAAGCUUUUUUGCAUCGAAUUUGUGGUCCCGAAACCACUAUUCCAAUUAAGCCCAAAAUUGGGUUAUUACAUCUAUAAUGUCAAACAUAAACUUUAAUUUAAUGUGCACUAUGACACUUAAAUUAUGUUAAUUUUGUGCAAUUGUAUAUAAUAAAUUAUGAUUUUGAUUUAAUUUAAUUUGGGUUUGAGGCUCGAGUUUUUUGGGCUGAGUCAUUAUGGGUUUUGAUUAUUUCACAUAUUAUGACAAUUCAACUGCUGUCUUUAUAGCUAAGAAUGACAAAAGUGGAAAUCGAAGUAAACAUAACGACAUUAAGUAUCUAGACAUAAAGGAACAUGUUAAAAAAAGAAAGUGGUCAUUGAGCACAUUAACACUGAGCAGAUAUUAGUUGAUUCUUUGACUAAAGGCAUGCCACCACCCAAAAUUUAAGGAUCACGUUGUCUCUGUGUGACUUGUUCCCACCUUGUAAAAUUUUAUUAUAAGAACGAUUAUAAAAAAAACUCUGUUAAAUUAUCUCUAAGUCAUUAUAAAUUUUUUAAUUAAAGAUAGGUAAAAUUAAUAGAAAAUAAAAAUAAAACAAAAACGUUGAUAAUAAGUUAAAAAUUAAUCCAAAUCAUUAUAAUUUUUUUAUUUAAAAAAUGAACUACAAUUAAAAUGAAAAAAAAACAUGCGGCGCUAUUUUGUUUUGGGGGCAUGAAUGGGGCAUUGUUUAAGGGCAAGGGAUUUCUAUUCACUGCUCCAAUGCCUAUAUAAACCUCAAUGCCAUGCUUUGUUUUCCCCACUCACAACUAUUCAGAUAAAGAACUUUGUUUCAUCUGCUUCACUUGUUUCAAAAUCUCUGAACAAAGAUGGCCUCUUUCAAUUGCUUUGCUUUAGCAUUCUUGAUGGCUUUGUCGAUCAUUUGCAAACUUUGAUGUUGGGGAAGAAGUUCAUCACCUUCUGCAGCAGCCUCAAACGCAAAGUUUUCCAUCUUUCCCUAAUCUCCCAACCCCAUUCCGACCAUCAUUCCCAUGGCCUGGGGCGCUUCCUCCAGUUCCUACCACAUUGCCAAUAGGACCGCCCCCUCUGCCAAGCAUUCCCUCUGUCCCCGCAAUCCCAACUGCAAUUCCCCCUAUUCCUUUCUCUUUUCAACCAUUUCCAUCUUUCCCUAAUCUCCCAAACCCUGGGGCGCUUCCUCCACUUCCUACCACAUUGCCAAGAGGACUGCCCCCUCUGCCAAGCAUUCCUUCAGUCCCCACAACCCCAACUACAGUUCCCUCUAUUCUUUUCUUUUCUCCACCACCUUCUCGUUCUACUCCUUGAAGUACCCUAUUUUUUUAUCCGCUGCAUACUGGAUCUGGUUUAAUAAGGUUUUUA